rnacentral:lncRNA from 1 species
UCUUCUUGAAAAAACGAUCUCCACAACAACUCCCUAAAAUAUUCAUACGCAACAUCCUCUAAGCACUCGUUUUUGUCGGAUGACUUAAUGAACCCUUGCGCCACCCAAAGUUUAAUCAAUCUUUGUACAGAGAUCUCAUAAUCAGGUGGGAACAUGCUACAAUAAGCAAAACAAUGUUUCAACUGUGAUGGGAGCACAUCAUAACUUAGUUUAAGUGUCGGUAAAAUUUCAUUUUCUUUCUGGCUUAUUUUUGAAAGUUUCUUUUCUCUGAAAUUCAACCAAUCUAUUUCAUGAUCUUUGGUGCGCAACAUUCCACCCAUCGUCCUUAUAGCGAGUGGAACUCCUUGACAUUUUCUUGCAACCUCCAUCCCAAUUGCCUUAAUUGUUGAAUUCUCUGGCUCUUUUCCAUCUUUAAAAGCCAUUUUCUUAAAUAAAGACCAACUAUGCUCUUCAUUCAAACCCCUUAAGAUGUAUGGUUUAGCUGUGUCUGAUAUCGUCACAACAAUUUCACUACGAGUGGUAAUUAGUAUUCUACUACCUUUUCCCCCACCCAUUAACAAACACUUCAAGCUAAGCCAUUUUUCCAGAUCAUCAUUCCACACAUCAUCCAACACCAGUAGGUACUUCUUCCCGUCUACUUUUUUUCUAAGAUCAUUUUGCAACUGCUCUAUCCCAUUAUGUUCAGAUUGAAGGAUUUUCUUAACAACUAUAUCCAACUCAAAUACGUUAGAGACACAUGUCCAUAUUUUCAACUCAAAAUGAUUUUGAAUCACAUCAUCGUUGAAUAUGAGUUGGGCAAGUGCAGUUUUCCCCAAUCCUCCAAAUCCAACUAUGGAAAUGGUUGACACAUUCUCAGUUGAUAUGGGAUCCAACAAAAGUUGGAUUAUUGCCUUUUCAUCUUCACCUCUCCCUAUAAUAAUAUUUUCCUUAGGAACAAAUGAGUGACCGACCCUCUCUCUCAUUAUAAAGUGUGUAUCUACACAAUUAUCUUUUAAGUCAUUGGGUCUACGAGAUGCAACUUCACUAAGCUUCUUGUUAAUAUCUUUUAUCUUAUGACCCAUCUUUAGCCCAAAAACAAGUUGAUUUGAGCUAGAAAAGAAAAGACGCACCUGUAAGAAUUUAAGUAAACAUAAUCAUUAAUUUGAUAGAAUUGUAUUAAUUAAGUUAAUAGAGUUUUGUAACGGUAAGUUAUAUGAAACAUUCAAGACAAUAAUAUAGAGGACUUUUGCAGUUAAUUAUGAGUUACUGAGAGACUUAUUGUAUUCCUAAUAGGUUGAUAUCAAUAGGCGUAUGUGACUAUGAUAGGGUGCUACGAGAUGCAUUCUCACCAAACCUCUUGUUAAUAUUUUUUAGGGUUAUUCUCAGUUUGUAAAAUGAAGUUUCGUGAUUUUCAACAUAUGAUACAUGAAGUUUUUUUCAUUUAAGAGUCAUACCUCAAGUCUUAAUUUUAGGACAGUCUCAUGCAUCCUUUAAGUUGUCAAAACCUUUGUUAACUAAUGAUGCGGUGUCCACGUGAACAAUGACAUGACGCUAUGUAUCAAUAUGGUGCCACGUAAACAUAAAAAAUUAAAAAAUUAAAAAAAAAAACCCUAAAAGUUUGGCCCUACAUAUCCCUCACGCACUUGCCUCUCUCUUUCUCACGCCAUUGAUUUUUUUUCGGUCAUUAGUUAAAUUUGGGGGUGGGGGGAAUCGAACCUUGGAUGAGGUGGGAGUUUUCUUGGCUCUAGUGCCACUGCACUGGCCCCCAUCCUCAGGCCCAUUAUAAUUUAUUCAAGCUCUCUCAGAUUACAAAAACCCUAAUCCCAUGUGAAUCCAAUUUCACAGGGAGAUUAAUUAACCCUUAAUCUCAAUCCUUAAUCUGCCAUGAAUUUACACUAACAGCCCAGAAAUUCUAAUCCUAAUUUCUCAAUUUUCCAGUUUCUGCAAAUCUCCCAAUUUUUCCAGUUUCCAGUCUCUGCAAAUCUGAGCUUGGCGUAGGAGUGGGGACGGCGGGUUCUGGUUGUUUUUGAGUGACGGCGCCUCCUUCUUCAAGUUCCCACCACCCUCAACGCCCAAUCGAAUCUCGUCCCUAUGAUCCUUUCCCUCUUCUCCCGCUUCAAACCCAAACCAACAAAAAACAAUAGAUUGACCAAAAUCACAAGAACAGAGUGAGAGAAAGCAAAGAGCGAACCUUGCUUGUUCUUCUUGAAGGUGCCUUUAGAGUUAAAGCCAAAACCUUCAAGCCGCCCUCUUUUACGAGUAUCCAUAAUUCCAGAAUCCAGAUCGAGAUCCGAAACGCAUCCAACCAACUACAAAACGACAACGGAAAAAGCAAAGAAACGAUGAAAGUAUCCCUAAUUGGUGCCUGGGUCCGAUUGGGCGUUGAGGGCGGUGGGAACUUGCGAGAUAUGGGUUCGGUGGGUGAGGACAUGGUGGGUUUGGGUUUGGGUCUGGGUCUGGGUUGGGGUGCAGGAUAAGGAGGAGGAAGAAGACGGUGGGGGUUAGGAGAGGAAUGGUGGAGAAGGUGGUGGUUGUGGAGACAAAGGGGGAGAGGGAGAGGGAGUCGAAAAAGAAAGGGGGAGAGGAAGGUUAAGGUUUAUUUUUUCAAAUUUUAAACUUUUAAAAUUUAAAGUUUUUAAGUUUUUAUUUUUUUAACUUUUAUUGUUCACAUAGCCUUACAUUAAGGCAUGAUGUUCAAUCAUUAUCUAUAUGGAUGCCACGUCAUCAGUUAAUAGAGGUUUUGACGGAAAAUUUAACGGAUAUAUGAGAUUGUCCCAAAAUAAAGAUUUGAGGUAUGACUCUGUAAUGAAAAAAAAAUCAUGUACCAAAGGUUGAAACCACGAAACCUUAUGAUAGUAAACUGAGAUUAAUUCUAUUUUUCAUUUUAUGAUCCUAUUUUUAGCCCAAAAGCAAGCUGAUUUGAGUAAGUGAGAGAAGAAGGUGCGUACCUUUUUUGACAUCUUUGUAUUUCUAGGCACCAUUUGUGCUUCAGUAUUAAACUCAUCCAGUACGUCAUCGGCUUCAUAGACUGCAUUUUCUACGCUUUCGAGCCACAGUUUGACUUCAUUGUUGGCUUGCUUUUGCUCAGCGUCAAGAAGAACAGCUUGAAAUCCUGCAACUGUCUCCUUAAGCUUCUGGAACUCAUCUUUGACACCCCAAAUCAAUCCAAUCUCUUUGAAAGUAAGGGAGCCUAGCCUCUCAAUGAUCCCUCCUGCAACGUUGAAGAGAACUCCUUCCGCCAUUUCUUGGAUUCAGGACAAGAAAAAACAAAAAUGUAGUGAAGUAGAAGCUUGUAAGUGAGAAUAUGGUUUUGCGUAGUGAAAGAUUGGCUUCUCCUGCUAGUCUUUAUAUGCAGCCACUCACAUAUAAUUGCAUUUAUAAAAUGAAAACGAAGACCGGUCAAUAUGUUACUGCUGGUCUCAAUAAUUGAAAGCUGAUGGUUUGCUAGGGACAUGGAUACUCUCCAGAUCCAUGUGUUCUAUAUGCAGCCACUCACAUAUAAUUGCAUUUAUAAAAUGAAAACGAAGACCGGUCAAUAUGUUACUGCUGGUCUCAAUAAUUGAAAGCUGAUAGUUUGCUACGGACAUGGAUACUCUCCAGAUCUAUGUGUUCUAAUCCCAGGGAUUCAUCAAUCUGAAUCAUUAAAAUUUAAUUUAAUAGUUAAAAAAGAUUCACUUUAAAAGUUAUAAUCAUUUUAAUUGUUUAAUUAAAUUUCAAUGAUCCAAAUAGGUAGAUCUCUAAGAUUAUGACACAUGAAUCCCGAGAGGAUCAAUGUCCGUUUGCUAGUGCUCUAGUAAAUGGAGAUGGAUUCUCUACUCUCUCACUUCUUAUAUACCUCCAUCAUUCUCUGUUUUUGUGGUCACGAUUUAACCACAUCAAUAUUUUAUAUUAUUAUUAUUUUUUAUCUUAUUAUCUUUAUUAAAAAAUUAAUAUAAAAUAUUAACGUGAUUUAACUGUGAACAUACAAACAGUGAAUGAUGAAAGUGUAUGAGAAGUUGGAUGGAAGAUUGAAUCAUUCUGCUUUAGUCUAGUGGCUUAAUAAAAUUUUGAUUGAUUGAUUACAAUCAGACAAACUUGAAAAGACAAUCAUUCUACUUUAGUCUAGUGGCUUAAUAAGGUAUUGAUUUUUUUCUUUUUUUGUCAUUAGUUAAGCUUGGGGGUGGGAGGAAUCGAACUUGGGUGAGGUGGGAGUUUCUUUGGCCACUGCAACUAGGCCCCCAUCCUCUAAUAAGGUAUUGAUUGAUUACAUUACACCAUUCCAUACAUAAAAUAAAAAUAAAGAGUUCUCACAAUCUUUAUAUUGGAGAUGGAAUCUCUUAUCUUCCACUUCCCAUACACUUUCAUUCUUCACUGUUUAUGUGGUCACGAUUAAACCACGUUAAUAUUUUAUAUUAAUUUUUUAAUAAAGAUAGUAAAACAAAAAAUAAUAAUAAUAUAAAAUAUUAACGUAACUUAACUGUAACCACACAAACAACAACAAAUGAUGGAAGUGUAUGGAAAGUGGGAGAGUAGAGAAUCCAUCUCCUUAUAUAUAAAGCUACAACCUUUUUUGGGAUCACAAGCUUGACUUGAACAAAAAAAAUUGAACAAAAAUGUCCCUAAAACAAAAAAUUUCAAAAGCAACAAAAAAUAAUGUACCAAAUAAUGCAGGAUAUUUUCAUCAUUUUAACAAUAUUUUUUUAAUAAUUAAUUUUUUUUGUACAAUUAUUAUUUUUAAUUAGUACUUCACAAUAUGCUAGUAAUAAUGUGAUUCAAUCAGUUGUUCAUUAAAUAUUAUUUUUUCUAUUUUUAAACACGUUCAAAACAUUUUAAGAGGAGUAUAAUGUUGGUUAUAAAAAAAAUGUUUUUCGCACACACAUAAUAAUGUGAUUAAAUUAGUUGUCAAAUGAUUUUUUUUAUUUUUGAACAAACGAUACUAUCUACAAUAGAAUGUAGAUGGAAAUUGAAAGAUCGAUUUUAUUAUGUGAAUUCAGCUGGUUGAUUGGUUUGUGAGGGGUUUUUUUUUAUAGCAUGAUUUAAGAUUAUUCAUUUACUUCAAAUAUUUGACUUUUCUUUUGUCAAUUCACGCAUAUAAAUAUAUUUAAAAUAUGUAAGUUGCGCGCAACACAGCGUGAUUCAAAAAAUACCUUCUGCACGUGCGUGAGCGCGUGCAUGAAAGCUAGUUGUAGAUAAUGGCAUCUAUGCUUUGACAUUUUAGCUUUCAUACCCCAUGUUAUCAUGACCAAAUCUACUACUGAUGCAAUGCAACAUCAGCUACCACUUGGCCAAUAUUUUCCUACCUGAGCGAUCAGCUUGUAAACCAUGUCAUAUAACAUAUCACGGAUUUGGAUCUCAUCCGAAUUCAAGUUGUGAGAAUCUUAAGGAUCUUCAUAUCUUAACCAUUUAUCAUGCAUUGUGCGAUUAUAAAUUAUUUUAAAUUUAUUUAUUUAAAAUUAAACAUAAAUAAUACCUAAUAAAAACUGAUUGCACGAUUUACGAUAAAUGAUCAUUACGCGAGAAUCCUUUGAAUUCCCGAGUAUCCUCAUCCAUAUAUCACAACUACAGUAUACUGAGCAUUCUACUACUCAUGCAAUAUCAAACAUCUUCGUGGACUAUAUUGUGGCCCAUUCAUUGGUCACGGUCUAAACCUCCAGGUCAGAUCGUGCGGCGGAGACUGAUAGAGAUAAAAGUGUGAUUGGGAUAUUGCCAGAAGAUUUGAGAGUGAGUUACGCUUCUUCGUUUGAUAGCAGAACUGUUCUGAUUAUUUAUAGUUAUCGAUAGUACUGAUUGAAUUUAUUGACAUUAAAUACAAUAUCAGAUUAACAAUCGUAUUAUUUAUAAUUCAAAGUAUUAUUACAUAAAAUUGAUGAUUAAUGGAAAUAAAUUUUUACACAUUCACAACCACCAAAUGGGUCAAAUUAAAAAUGAACAGAAUCUUCCCUUAUUUAAAUCAAACUUAAAAAAAAUUGAAAUCAUUUGUCUUUCCAGAUCUCUCCGCCGCACACCCCAACACCCUCACUUCCCCAGAUUUCUCUUAACCGUUAAUUAUGACAUUAAUUUAAGGAAAAUUAAGCAUUAGACCUUUGACUGGAUCAUCCUCAUGAGAUUUUACAACGAUUUUUUAUUUUAAAUAUGCAUUCCCAAUCCGGAAAUCAAAACAUGCUUCGAUUUAGAACAACGAAACAGAAGCAGUAGAUAAUGUCAAACCAUAAUCUGAAACUUCAGAUGAAACUAAUGCCUCAUACGAAAACAGCAAAACUCCCCAAAGAGCGGCCUUACUUCUCAGAAGAAUUAGGCCCCCUCUUCUUCCCGAAUCCAACAACGGCGGUGACGAAUCUCCGGUUGUACUGCAAGCGCUUGUGGGCGCGGCCUCUGGGCUUCUUCUUCUUGUCUUGCUUGGCGACCUUCGGGGUCUGACCCCUGACCUUCCCGGCACGCGCGAGCGACCCGUGAACCUUACCCAUGGCUGAUUGCAGAUGCUGCUGCUAUUUGCCGGCAGCUUUUACAACGAUUGGACGAAAAUGAUAAACAAAAUUAAAAUCAGGGGAGCAAAGUCGUUUUUGUCAAGCCUGCGUGCCUGACGGUGCCGGCAAGAACGACGACGGGGAGAACGACGACGGCGAGAGGGACGACGGAGACAGCAGGUGUCGUGGAGAACCAAGUGAGAGAGAGAGGGAAGGGAACGGACUAAUAAUCCCCUCCUUUUGGAAGGAUUAGUAGAGUGAUUAAAUUAAUUCGACCACUAUUUAAUACUGUCAACAGUAAUGAAGGAAAGUACAGAGAGAAAAUGUAGAGAGAGGAAGGAGAGAGAGUAAAAGAAUGUUAUGUAUAUUCCAAGAUAUCAGUCACCAUAUGUUUACAUCCCUUAUAUAUAAAUACAAUCACCUUAUAACUAACUCCAUAUUCUCUACUCUACUAAUGACACCUGGCACUAACCUAAGUCAUUCCCUAACAUUCCCCCUCAAUCUUAUGAAGGGAAGAACCCAACAUAAGAUUGGAACAAUGAACCUGAAACUGAGAGGAACAUAAACCUUUGGUGAGCACAUCAGCACAUUGUUCUGUGGUAGAGACAAACUGAAGCAUGAUUGUCCCUUGUUGAACUCGUUCACGAACAAAAUGGCAAUCUAUCUCGAUGUGCUUGGCUUUGGAAUGAAGGAUAGGAUUAGUAGCCAAUGCCAUAGCAGAAAGAUUAUCACAAUGAAGAAGGGGUACAGAUUGACAUGAAAUAUGCAGAUCCAGUAACAGCUGUUGAAUCCAUACUAUUUUAGCAGUAGUGGUGGCCAUAGCACGAUAUUCGGCUUCAGUAGACGAGCGACUCACUGUAUUGUUUCUUGGAACUCCAAGAAAUAGGAUUAGAACCCAAAAACACAACAAAACCAGUGGUGGAACGUCGGUCAUUGGGGUCUCCAGCCCAAUCAGCGUCAGUAUAUGCUUUAAUAUCAAGAGAUCCAGGUGUAAAAUGGAUACCAAGAUGCAUAGUGCCACAGAGAUAUCGUAAGAUCCUUUUAACAUCAAUGAAAUGAUCUUCAAGAGGAGCAUGCAUAAACUGACAAACCUGAUUCACGGAAUAGGCUAUGUCAGGUCGAGUAAAAGUUAGAUAUUGAAGAACCCCAACGAUACUCCAAUAUUUGAAAUGAUAUGAGAGUAAGGUACUGCCAUGAGUCAACAGCUUGUGAUUAGGAUGACAUGGAGUAAGGCACGACUUGCAAUGGAACAUAUCUGCCUUGUGUAACAAAUCCGUGAUAUACUUGGAUUGAUGGACAAAAAUACCACUGGAACGAUACUCAAUCUGUAAACCAAGAAAAUAAUGUAGAAGACCAAGAUCUUUCAUAUCAAACUAUGCAGUCAACUGUUGUAUCACACUUUGAACCCCAGCAACACUAUUGCCUGUAAGAAUAAUGUCGUCCACAUACAACAAAAGAACAACAAUAGAUUGAUUCUCAGACUUGACAAACAAGGAUGGAUCAGCAUAAGAGGAUUUGAAGCCCAAAGUGAGAAGAAAUUUAGUAAAACGCUCAUUCCAGGCUCGGGGAGCAUGCUUCAACCCAUAUAGAGAUCUUUGGAGUUUACAUACAUGUGUGGGGUGAAGAGGAUCUACAAAACCCUGAGGUUGAGCCAUAUAGACUUCCUCGUCAAGAAAGCCAUGUAAAAAAACAUUUUUGACAUCCAAUUGUUUGAGUUGUCAACCAUUAGAAGCAACUAAAGAAAGGAGAAGUCUCACUGUGGUAGGUUUAACCACAGGACUAAAAGUCUCAUAAUAAUCUAACCCAGCCUCUUGUGAAAAUCCCUUAGCCACUAACUUGGCUUUGUACCGAGCAACAGUACCAUCAGGAUGUUUUUUUUAUCUUAUAAAUCCAUUUACACCCAACCAAUUUCUUAUCGGGGGGAAGAGGAACCAAGGUCCAAGUUUUCUGCUGAAGAAGAGCAUCUAUUUCUUCCUGCAUUGCUCCUCGCCACUCUGACAAUUUACAUGCUGCAGAGUAUGACUGAGGUUCUUGAGCACCAGAUUGAACGUCAACAGAAAAGGCCUGCUUUUUCUUAAAAAUGCCCGACUUGGAUCGAGUCUGCAUAGGAUGAGAGUUAACAGCAACAACAGAAACUUGUUGCAACUCAGACACUUGAGACAGAUGAGUAUCAGGAUGUAACUCAGACAUAACUUGACCAGAAAUAGCUGCACUGGACAUGUGAUCCAUGGAAAUAUCCCCUGGUAGUGAGGGAAUGGUACCAGAAGAAACAUCCCCUGGUAGUGAGGGAAUGGUACCAGAAGAAACAAACUCACUUGGUGCUGAAGAACAUACUGGAGGACUAUGCUGAGAACUGGAAUCCCUGGAGAACACUUGUGGAAACGGUAUAGAUGCUAAAGGAGGAUGAUGAAAAGUAUUGGAGGGUACGGUGGAAGACAUGGAAGCCACCUUGGAACCAGAGGCAAAAUGACUAGCCAUAUAAGUCGCAGGAAAAUGACGUUCAUCAAAUAGAACAUGCCGAUAGACAAUUAGUUUAUUGUCUUUAGGAUUAAAGCAGAUACACCCUUUAUACUAAGCAUCAUAUCCCAAAAAUAUGCAUUCACUGGUCUUUGGUGCAAGCUUAUGAGAUCUAUAAGGCUUCAAUGACGGAUAACAAGCACAACCAAAAAUCUUCAAAUGAUCUAGUUUGGGUGAAGAAUGAUAUAACACUUCAAAGGGAGACUUCAUAGACAAGACCGGUGUAGGCAUUCGAUUAAUAAGAUAUACUGCUGUGGCACAUGCAUGGUACCAAAACUGAGGAGGAAGACAGUGUUGAAGAAGAGUGAUAGCUGUCUCGGUAAUAUGCCGAUUUUUCCUCUCUACGAGCCCAUUUUGUUGAGGAGUGUAAAGGCAAGACUUAUGAUGCAAAAUACCCUUGUCCUUAAGAAAAUUCUGAAAAUGAAUCCCAAUAUACUCUCCACCACCAUCACUUUGCAAUAUUCUGAUAUGAACAUUAAAGAAAUUUUGCACAAAAGCUUGAAAUUGGACAAACAUACCAAAAACAGCAGCUUUAUUCAUGAUAGGAAAUAUCCAUGUGUACCUUGUACAUUCAUCAAUAAAGGACACAUAAUACCGAUAUCCUUCACUAGACAAACUAGGUGACGGAUCCCAAACAUCAGUGUGAAUGACUUCAAAAGGAAUUACAGACUUUGAAGCCAAAUAAGGAAAAGGGAGAUUGUCAAAUUUGCCUUGUAAACAAGCUUUACAAGUAUAGGAAGAAUCGAGACACUGAAAAGGAAUAUCGGCCUUAGAAAGAGCUGCCUUGACUACUGAAGGAGCAGGAUGACCCAAUCUGCAAUGCCAGAGUGCAGAAUUUAUUCUUUGUCCAAUAUAUGCUGCGGGAGAAACAUGAGAAGACUUCAUUACUGGUAAAGGAUAGACAACAUUGUUACUCAAUCAUCGAUACAGAAUUUCCUGAGUGACCUUGUCCUGUAUGCACACAGAAGACUCAUCAACAAUACACCUACAAUUAUUAUCCUUGCACAGUUGAUGCAUAGACAAUAAAUGUUGUGAUAAUUGAGGUACAUGUAAGACAGAUUUGAGACAAAGAUUAUGAGACUGUAAUGGAAGAGUAGAAUGUCCAAUAUGAGCAAUAUGUAAAACUUCUCCAUUAGCACCAAUGACAGUAUCAGAGGAUGAGUAAGGAUCAGCCAUUUGAAUGUUAGACAAAUCAGAAGUCAUGUGAUGUGUGGCCCCUGAGUCAAGUAACCAAUACUCUUGCUGUGGUGCAGAGGGAGAAGAAGUAGACUGCGCAGUCGUAGCAACCGGAGAAUGAUUUUGAGAGCUCAUCAUUGCAGGAUGAAACUGAGGAGGAUGAACCACAUGGGCAGGUGGAAAUGGUGUAGGAAAAGUAGCCUGUUGAGAGGGUUGAAAUUGCUGUGGAGAGAACCCUUGUGACGAUGAAGAAAACUGGGGAGGCACCAUCGAAGAAAAACCACUAUUUUGAUCAAAACAAGGUGCAGCAGUAUGCCCUUUCCGAUUGCAAAUUUGACACCCUUUUUGAAAACAAUGAAGAGCACUAUGACCUUUCCUAUUACAUAUUUGACAAAUCUGCAAAGGUUGAUACACUUGCUCAGUAGGCAGAGGAGAAUGGACAGACUGAAAAGAAGAGCCCUGAUGAAAAUUAUUUGAUGAUGACUGUUGUGGAAAUGAAGCACCAGUUUGUUGAGGUUGCUGAAAAUUAUUAUAAAAUUUCUUGCCUUUCCCCUUUGGUUUGAAGUUAUUCCCCCUGAAAUUGUUAUAAGUCCCUGAACCACCCUGAGAUACAAAAGCAAGAGGACUAUUCAUCUGGAACAUUUGAUUAGGAAAUGGCAUUUGUUGAAACAUUGGGGUUGAAGAGAUCGGAAAAUGGGAACCAUUGAAAGAAUGCUGAGAUGCAUUAUGUGCGGCACCACCAGAUGAUCCCCCAACAUCAUAGACUGAAUUAGAAGCAUACAUAGCAGACAUUAUAGGAGCCUGUUUAAUAACUUCGUCCAAAGUAGCCUCUUCAGCUUUCAAUUGGGAGCGCAAUUCUUUUAAAGACACAAGAUUCUCUCUGCCCCUUAUAACUGCCUUGAUAGUAUUAAACUCAUGUGGAAGCCCUUUAAGAGCAACAAUUACAAUAUCCUCAUCGGAAAUAAACACUCCAACAGCAGCAAGUUGAUCCCUACAGUCCUUGAUUCACUGCAGAUACAAAUCAAUAGACUCGGACCCUUUCCUUAUGUUCUGCAGGUCAAUCUUCAUUUGAACAAUACUGGUUCUAGUCAUGUUAGAAAACUGUUCCCUCAGAUUAUUCCACAUUUCCUGUGAACUUUGACAACCAAUAACACAGGACAGAGCAGCAGUGGACAAUGUAGCAGUGAUGAGAGUCAUGAGAGCUUUAUCAUGAAUCUUCCAUACUUUGUAAUCAUCAGUAAUAUGAUGUGAAUGAGUAACAGUUUCGUCCUCAGAAUCAGAAUCCUGAUAUUUAUCUGGGCAAGGAAUGGAUCCAUCCACAAAGCCAAAAAUUCCAUUUCCCUCUAAUAAAAGUCCCAUUUGAAAAUUCCAGGUAACAUAAUUGGAAUCAUCCAAUUUGACAGUGACAGUGUUACCAACACUAGGAAUCAGCGAAGAAAUUGGUGACUGAGUAAGUGCUAAUUGAGCAACUGUAACCAUGAUGACUGUAAAAGAUCAACGUAUCGUCAAGACUCAGAAAACAACCAAAACACACAAUUUGUCAACAGGAUUCUCCACAGACGAACAACAAUACGUAUGCAAGCAAGAGGCACAUCAAGAAACCAGAUCAAGCAACGCAAUAACCUCCAAUCAAGAUAAUAUCAAGAAAAUCUCGACAAUCCAACUGAGCAACAAUCGCAAAUGAGCGAGACAAAAUGACGAUAAAACUACACCACAGUGCCUUCAAGAAACACACAACAGCAACAAUUAACGAAGGAAUUUCAAGAAGAACAAUCACCGACCGACAGACGAAAAAGCCCCAAAUUUUUUAGGGUUGCAGCAACCGACUGAGAUCCUCGACGACGAAACGAGACGAGCAAGACGAGAACAACGAUUACCAAGAUGAAAGCACGAACAAGACGAGCGGAAGCACAGAGAUCAGGAACCGACGACGGUGUUACCCUUUGCCGGCGAAGAUACCAUGUCAACAGUAAUGAAGGAAAGUACAGAGAGAAAAUGUAGAGAGAGGAAGGAGAGAGAGUAAAAGAAUGUUAUGUAUAUUCCAAGAUAUCAGUCACCAUAUGUUUACAUCCCUUACUUAUAUAUAAAUACAACCACCUUAUAACUAACUCCAUAUUCUCGACUCUACUAAUGACACCUGGCACUAACCUAAGUCAUUCCCUAACAAAUACGAGAGGGUAUCAAAAAAUCGGAUCUGUAUUAUUAGUCAUAUCUCCUUGUACGAUGCACCAAACGAGGCUUUAGUUUGUUAGGAUACUGUGAAACUGAUGAAUACCAUCUCACCGUACUUUUUUAAUAGCUAAGAAAUCAAUACAAGAAAACUUUCAGAUGUUCCGCUCUUUCACUCUGAACCUCUCGAACCUCUCCUUCAUACUUUCACCUGCUACAUUUUCUGUAGAUUAACAGAGACCUCAUUGGAUUACGGGACUAAAUAAUGGAUUAGUUCUAAUUUGGUGACAACUGAGGAUAAAUUGUGUCCUAAUUUGUUUCGUGGUGGGUUAAAAUCAUCAAUCAGUGGGCCAUAUAGCACGUCUAUUUGAAUAGUAAUUUGAUAAAAAUAAUGGGAAAUAAUCUUCUUCGGAUCAUUUCUACCAAAUUCAUCAAGUCAUCAAUCAAGAUUUUUGAAAUUUAAUUCGGUGGAAGGGAUUUUCCAAAAUAACGUGUGUGUUGUUUUUAGGGCUGGAAAAAAAUCCCAAAAAUCCCAAACCAAACCAAAAAAAUCCCGAUCCCAAACCAAAAAAAUCCCAAACCAAAAUUCCCGAAAUUUUCAGGACGUAAUCCCAAACCAAACCGAAAGUUUCGGUAUGGGAUUCGGUAUUGCAUUUCAUUUUUUCGGUAUUCCCAUACCGAACCGAAAAAAAAAAAAUAUAUAUAUAUAUAUAAUUUUUUUAAUUAUAAGAGAAUUAUUUCAACCAUUGAUUGUUUUGGAUUUAAUCUAUGCCGUUGAUUUGUUUUUAGGUCAUAUCACAUUUCAGUUCCUCCGUUCAUUCGAUCCCUCAAGAAUCCAAUCCUACGACCAAUCCUAUUCCUACCAGGCCUAUUACCCUACAAUCACCCCCAACAAUCCGACCACCAACAACAAUACCAACAAUACUACAAUCCCACCACCACCACCCAGGAUUACGCCACCGCCCACCACCACCAAUACCAUCAAGAACCCAUUUCGAUUCAUCCUCCCGGGGUCCCACUUCCGCCCCAACAGCCACAAACGGCGGAUCCUGACCCGACCCAUUUGCAGAAUGCGUAUUACCCACAUGGGGUUGCGGAGGAUCAGAAGCAGCAGGUGGAUUCGAGCUCGGGCUAUGGUGGGUUGAAUCCAGCGGCCGUGGCAGCGCUUUCGCAGCUCUCGCAUCUUACUGGGAACAUCGAGGCGGCCCAGCGGACUGCUCAACCCCCGGUAAGUGGUUGGUUUUCUUAUUUCUGGUUUCAAUUUAGCAUUUUUUGUUAUUAGGCACUGGGAAUUCUUGUUCUUAUAAUAAUGCGAUGCCUUUUCUCUUUAUCAGUCCAGUCUUAUGAAUUUGAUGUGUAUAAUCUACUUGUAGUUCGGGGCAUGUUUUCGCAUUUAAUUUGAUUUGUAGAGUGUGAACUUUGUUUUAAAACAUGUUAUAUAUUUUCUCGAAUGUCUUCUUUCAUUUGGUGAAAUUCGGGUGGGGGUGAAUUUAUGGAACUUUUGGCUUUCGAUAUGAAGGUUAUAUCUUGACAAAAUUCGUGCUAUUUAGUUUUGACUGUAACUAGAUAAGCAAAAGGAGUGGAACUUGAGUCGCAGAAACUGAAGGUCAUGUCUUCUUGACAAAAUUCGUGCUAUUUAGUUUUGGCUUUCGAUAUGAAGGUCAUGUCUUCUUAUUUGAUUGAAUCAAGUUAAGCCCAUAUGGGGCUGUUACAUUCAGUGGGCACGGCCCAAUAUUAGGUUUUUGUCCAAUUGGACCAAUAUUAGCUUUUUUUUGUCCAAAAGCCCGAAAGCCCAAAAUUAUUUCGGGAUUCCCGAUUUGUCCCGAAAUCCCGAAAUUAUUUCGGGAUUCCUGAAAAUUGGGAUUCCCGAAAAUUUGGUUUGGGAUCGGUAUUGAAAUUGGGAUUCCCGAAAAUUUCGGUAUGGGAAUCGGGACAAGAGUUUCGGUAUGGGAUCCCAUACCGAACCACCCCUAGUUGUUUUAAGUCGUAACCACCGACAACAAACGUCCAAGCGCAGUGGUGGACACGGCAUCGCCUACCACCUUUGAAAAUACAAAGUUUAGUUUGAACUUGAGAAGUCGAAGCCACGCCAUUUUUCGCUUGGUUGAAUUUUCAUGGGGUACAUGUCACAUUCAUCAACUAUUUACAUUUUUUUCUUUUCAAAGACAUCUUCAUCCGCUCAUUUCAACCAUGUGUAUUCUAGAAAUGUUGGCUAAGUUAUGAAUUACCACAAUCCCACAUGGUGACCAUGACUGGUAGGCACUCAUUUCUUGAAUCACUAGCUAUUCUCAUUCGUGUUCGUCGCCAGUCAAACGAGGCUGCUCAUCGACUUGCACGUUUUGCUUUUCUAUCAGCUCAAAUUGUAAUUGGGAUCGCGUUCCUCCCGACCGGAUUUCAGAUAUUUUGCUUGAAGAUCUAUCAUGUAUAGCUACUCUUUUGAAAUGAUAAUCUAUCGCCUUUUCAUAAAUUUAAAAAAAAAAAAAGCAAAAUUUUUUUUGUGAAAUUUCAUUGUUGUUCUUAAUUUUUUUUUGUUGUGAUAGAAAACAAAAAUAUAUUUUCAUCAUUUUUUGGUUGACAAAUAGGGUUUUAUUAAUGUGUAGUUUAGAUAAUUUUAAAGAAUAUUUAAACUAUAAUCCAUAAUAAUAAUAAAAUUUAAAAAAAAUUGGUGAAUGAAAACUCCACUUUUAUUGAAUAAUAGUUGGUAAGAUAACACACUUAAAUGUCAUAUUUAUGUCACUUAGUACCAUGGUCUAGUGAUAUUCUCUCUACUCUUGUAAGUAAGAAGUCUUAAGUUCGAUUUUCGACAAAGACGAGUUUGAACUACAUUAUUACUAGCCCAUUAUGAGGUUAAACUCACCUCCUCCUCUUAGACCAUCUCCAACCCUUGGGCUAAAAGCCAAAUUUUUUAGCCCGGAAAAUUUGGCUUUUAGCCCAGAAACAUCUUUUCUGCUCCAACCCUUCUGGCCUAAAAUUUUAGCCCGGAAUUAUUAAAGAAUGAACUUAGGCUAAUUUUUUCUUAAAUCAAUAUUUAAAAAAAUAAUAAAUAUGUAGAUUAUUGUAAAUUAAUUUUAUGAACAUUUUAAUCUAAAAAAAUUUAAAUUCCGAUAAAUAUUGAAAAAUCAUUAAAUUUUUUACAAAGCAAACUACUUUCACCAACCUUUCAACUUUCACCAACCGUUCAUCUUUCACCAACCGUUCAACUCCAAACUUUCAACUUUCACCAACCAUUCAACACCAAACUUUCAACUUUCACCAACCGUUCAACACAAAAUUUUCAACUUUCACCAACCGUUCAUCAAUCAUUCUCUAUAUAAACACAGGUCCAAUAUUAGUUGAUCACACAAUCUUUCAACCUUCAAUCAUCCUCUAUAUUCACCAAUCUUUCAACUUUCAAAGAGUUUUUUGUUCCCUAAAAAUUCUCAAUAUCUCAUCAAUGAGUGAUAGAAGAAGGCGUAGCAGGGCAAUGGAGAUGACACAAUACCAAGCAAGGCUUGACAUUGAGGAUUUAGAACUGAUCAACGCCGAAGCUGAACUUGUAAACUCGUUUAUGCAAUAUGAGCACCAUGGCGAAUCUAGCCGUCGUGGUUCUCUCACGGGGCGUUCAUUCGUGCAGCGUGAUAGAGAAGAGUGUCAUGAGCAAUUUAAAUCCAAUUACGACCUCUAACAUGCUCUCUUGCCAUGUUGAACAAUUUGGAAAUGGAAAGAAAUAAUAGAAAGAUAAAUUGGAAGAAUAGUAGGAGAAAAUUGAAUUUUGUGUGGAUGUUUGAACAAAUAGAUAGGUAUUUAUAGAUUUUUGGGGUAAAUUUUGUGUUAAAUAAAUUUAUUUAAUUAUUUUAGCCGUUGGAUUUAAAUUUGGGCCGUUAGAUUUGAGUAUAUUCAAUCUCAACCGUUGGAUUCAAUGUAUUUUAAAAUAAUAUAUUUUUUAAAAAUAAAGUUUGAAUCUGGACCGUUGGAUCAACCAACGGUCCUUAAAUCCUGCCCGUUUGAUUUCGAAAAGAGCCGUUGGGGCUCUGAAGAGUGGCCGACAAGGCCUGACGGUGGGACCCCCUCUUGUCGGGCUCCGGUUGCAAGUUGUGGGCGUGGGGCGCGUGCGCGAGUCCACAGGCCGAGAGUGGCCCAAAACUGGGCGAGUCCACGCGGCUGGGGGGGGGGAAUUUGGCCCAACUUUAGCAUUCCCCUUUUAGCCCAAUAUUUUAGCUUGGGUUGGGGGGUGUUUGGGGGGAAUUUUGGGCUAAAUAUUUGGCAUUUAGGCCAGGGUUGGAGUAGGUCUUAGUAUAGAUAAUAUCGUUUGUUAAAAAAAAAUAUAUAUUUAUAGCACCACUUAGGCCUAAAAAUUCUUUGGAGUCUAAAUAAGAAUAAAAUUAAACAAAUAACAAAAAAUAAAAACGUCCUUAAAAUUUAAAAAGCCCAUACAUCAUUGCAAGGCGAUGAGUUCCAUGUGCAUUGCUAAUUUGCUAGUAUCACUAAUGUCGGCUCGGUUCUUAACGUUGUUUUUUAUUUAUUUAUUUAUUUAAAUCCAUUUGUAAUUUUAUCGGUCCGUGAAAUACUAAUAUAAAUUGAUUAGAUUAAAAUAAACACCACCGUCAAUAUAUUGUGAAUUAAUUGAGCUUUCAUCCAACAACCCAUACAUCAUUUCUUGAAUAAAAUAAAGGAAAGUGUUAUUAGCACUCUAAAAAUCUCAUUUUACACUCUUCACAAAUGUAUUUUUCUUCUCUAAUAUAAAAAGUUUGUAAUGUAAAAUAAAAAUUUUGGAAUGCUAAUAAUAAUUCUCUAAAAUAAAUAUAUUAAUAAACAGGAGAAGUGGAAUAACAAUAAACAAUAUAACGAAGCUGUAGUUCUCCAAAAAAAUAUAUAUAUAACGAAGCCGUAUGAUUGAAAGUUGUACUUUUUAAACACAUUUGCAAUUUCAUCGGUUUCCAACAUGACCAACUCUAGUUUAUUCAUCCACGCAUUCGUCCACCCUAAUGUAAAUAUAGAUUUUAUAUAGCUAGACAAGAAAUGCUAAGAGGACACUCUUAAAAAUAGCACACUCCAUAAUACUAUAUAAUGUUGACACAAUUCAUUGGGCUCCAAUACCAAGUUUAUUCAUCCAUCCUUUUUAUAUAAAAGCAUAAAGCAACGGCACUAAUGCAAUAAUAUAUAUAUUUUUUGGGUUAAACUAUGUUUACUACCUUUAUGUUUUGUGUUUUUCAACGUUUAGUAUAUCAAGCUUUUUUCGUCCCAGAGUCAUACAUAAAGUGUAAAUUUUGGAACAGUUUCAUACAUCCGUUAUUCAAACUGUUAAGUCUCCCAUUAAAUGAUGACGUGACGUCCAUAUGGACAAUGAUUGAACGCCACGUGUCAUUAAAGGGUCCAUGUGGAUUUUUUUUUUCUUCUUCUCCUUCCUUCUCUUCAGAGGGUUCACGUUUUUUUUUCUCCUCUUCUUCUUCUUCUUCUUUUCAGAUGAGGGGUUCACCUUCACCCCUCCCGACCCCCUCCCUUCUCUUCCCUGCACCUAUCCUCCCUGCACACCCAGAAACUCAAAUACCAAAACCCACAAAAAUAGAAACCCAUUUUUUUUUUGGCAGAAAAAUCAGUUUCAAGCAAAAAAGUUUCAAUCUUUACUCUAUCUAGCUGGGUUUUUCUCAAAGUUUUCUCAAAGUUAUCAAAGCCGUAAUUGCAAUAUCAGUGGGUUUUCCGGUCGACUCGCUCACAGAGGAGGAAAUCGAGGCCAACCGGUCUGUCAGCGUCUCUCCCUCAAUGCCCAAUCAGAUCUCCUCCAUAUCACCCUUUCUUUCUUAUCUUGCUUCGACGUUGUCACCAAGCUCGCCCUCAAAUACGACCCCAGAUCCAUUGGCGACGAGAAAAAUGGGUCUAGCAAAUUGGAUGCUUACAGCAAUAGUGAUUUGACCAUGGGGAAGAGGUGGUUUGGCGAUUCGACGAGAAGGGAUUGUUGGAAAUUAUAUAUUAUAAUAUAAAAUAUUGUAAUAUAUAAUUUUAAUAAUUGAAUGAAAAAUAGUGUUAACCAAUUUCUUAGAAAGGUUAUGUUGUUUAGGUGAUACUUGAUAAGUGAUGUAUACCUAUAAAUGAAAGUUACAUCUCUUUAAUAAGUAGAAGUUGGAUUCUAUAUAAGCCCAUGAAACCAUUGGUAUUAAAUAUAGAAAAUUAGAGUUAAUGUUUACUUUUGAGAAAUAGGGUUUCCCCACUUUGUUUCUCUCAUGCUUCGUGUGUCAAAUUUCGAGUCGUGUCUUGAGAGUACGGAAUAUAUGAAGUUCGCCAGAAUCCGAAGAUUGAAGUGCUUUGACUUCGGAUUAUAAAUUGUUGAAUCCUGGGAGAUGGACGCCUAUUGAACUACAAACACAAGAGUAGGGGCGAAAUUCUAUUUUUAGGACAUUGCUUUUAUGCAAGCCUCAAUCUCCGAGUUUGUCAGUUUUUCUCACUUUAUCUCUAAUUGUUUAUAUUAAUCUCAUACAUAAUUGAUGUUGUGAUUUUCUUUAUGAAUACUUUCAUUGAAAUUCUUUUGUUAUUUUUCAUAUUUUCUAUUAUAGCUCCAACAGGGAUGGGCUUACGAAUAGACGGUGGAGUUGGGAUGGUGGGUCGGGAACUACAAUCCGCUCUUACCGGUAUGGGUAUGGGUCGAUAGAACUGGUAGGGCCCCGACUGGAACUGGAGGAGCCGGUUUCUUCAAGCAAUGGGUUUUGGGGUUGACCUCGGGAGCUCCCUCGGGGUGAAUGGCGGAUAUGGUCUGAAGAUUCCGUCUCAGGUUGAAGUCGUCCUCGACAGAGCGAGGGAUUAAGAGGCGCUCGAUCCCGUGGAUGACGCCGUCUGGUUGGGUCACAUCAUCGGGUCAGAUGAUUUGCACGGAGUUAACCGAUUUGCGGCUGGUGGGCUUGUGGGUUAUUGUGAAUGGCUGAAAGGUCUGGGGACUUGGUGACGGAGAAGGUGAACCCCUCUUCUGAAGAUAAGAAAAGAAGAAGAAGAAGAAAAAAAACGUGAACCCCUCUGAAGAGAAGGAAGGAAGGAGAAGACUUAACUGGGCGCCAUGUCAUCACUUAACGGGAGACUUAACUAUUUGACUAACGGAUGUAUGAGACUGUUCCAAAAUUUACACUUUAGGUAUGAUUUUAGGACGAAAAAAACUUGAUGUACUAAAUGUUGAAAACCACGAAACAUGAGGGUAGUAAACAUAGUUUAACCCUUAUUUUUUUAACAAACGAUAUUAUCUACACUAAUUAAAAAUAAAAUAUAUUUUAAUACAUCCCACAUACUUUCCUCUAAUACCCUCACACCCCAACUCUCAACAUACAUCACAAAUUUCCUACCUACACCCCACACUCUUCACAGCUUAGAUGCAAAUACAUAAAGUCAACCAAAGAUCUUAUUUGUUUCUUGGAAUAUGUGAUUUCUAUGUUGUUUCUCCUCCCUUCCAAAUACUAAGGAUGUAAAUUUGAGAAUCUAUCAUUUUGUGGCAAAAAGGGAUUUAGAAAUGCAUAGCAUAAUUGUGGCAAAAAGGGAUUUAGAAAUGCAUAGCAUAAUGGUUCUGCAUUAACAUCGUGAAUACUAUUUUUGAAUUGCUUCAUACUUUUCCAGAUGCUAACCUACCUUUUGAUAAUGAAAAACCUUGAAAAUUCGGCAAAAAGCUACAAAAAUACUACUAUAAUAUUAGGCAUGAGCUUGCCUAAACCUUUAAAACUUGCUACUUCCCUCCAUUGCUUCACAAAAUUCUAACCACAUCAGAAGAAAUAAACAUUAAUAUUAGUUUCCUCCCUUAUCAUUAUAACUUAAUUAGUGUAUAAACCACUAAUAAAAUAAAGCAUAUAUAAAAGAUUGUUGUUGUAUAAAACAUUCCGUGGUGCUUAAAAGGUCUGAAAGAAAGUAAGCCCAAACAAACCUUAAAAAUCUACAAAUUGACAAUUAUAUGCUAUUUGUAUAAGUCUAAUAAGAAUAAUUUUUUUUCUCUUCUUAUGAUUCUUGUUACAAAGCUAGAAGUUUUUGGUGAAUAAGCUAGCACGUCUCAUUGCCAAACUUGAGACAAAAUUUUAACACGGUAAAUUGUUACAUGUAAUGGAGGAAGGUGAGAGUGGUUUUGAGAGUUAAAGAAGAUAAAUAAUCUUAGGAUAUACAUGCUAAAAGUGAUUUGAGGUUUAUUUAGAGUUUAUGUAUUUAUUUUUAAAACCUUAAAAAGUCGAAAUUGUCAUUCCAUAUUAAGGUAUAUAACUUAUUUAAUAUCAAAUUUUAAAGUGGAGUGUAUUCAACAUAAUGUGGGUUGCUAAUAACAAAACCCUCUCCAAUAUCAUUAAGGGAAAUAUAAACUGCAGGUAAAAUUAUCCUUCAAAAAACCAAAGUGCCUGAACCAAACCUUGCAAACCACUCGAGUAUUCCACUUGCAAUUGUAAAAACUAGCAUGAGAGCUACGCAUGUGUUCCUUGUUGCAAAAAUAUCCUGCAAAUCUAAGCAGAAGUGAAGCACACGGCAUUUUUUGAUGAAAAUCAUCAAUGUGCAACUUGUUGCAAAAAUAUCCUGCUCAUAUGUUCCAAUAUAUUAUGAAUUAAUUGUGCUUUCAACCAACUACUCAUACACCUUUCCAUGCAUAAAAUAAAAACAAACGGCAUAUAAUUCAUCUCAUCAAACCAAUUGCGUAGUGGUGGGUCAACCAACGGCAUAUAAAAUUGGUUUGAUGAAUUAAUUGAAUGAGAAUAGAGCCAAUUGCGUAGUGGUGGGUCAACCAACGGCAUAUAAAAUUGAAUUAAUUGAAUCACAAUAUCACUAAUGCCGGCUUGGUUUUAACGUUGUGUUGGUUUUUUUUAAAUCCAUUUGUAAUUUUAUCGGUACGUGACACAUAUAUAAAUUGUUUCGAUUAAAAUACAGACCAUCACCAAUAUAUUAUGAAUUAAUCGUGCUUUCAUCUAACAACUCAUACAUCAUUCUAUAAAAAAAAAAUAUUAAUAAGAAGGAGAAGCUGGAAUAAUAUUAAACAACAAAAAGAACAUGUAUGAUUGAAAGUUGAACUUUUUAAACCCAUUUGCAAUUUCAUUGGUCUCCAACAGGACCAAAUACCAAUAUGCUUAGAGGACUCCCUAAAAAAUGAAACACUUCAUAACUCUCUACCACCUCAUAUUUUUUGCUUGAUGCAAUAUAAUGACACAAUUUCAUCGGUCUCAAAUACCAAAUUUAUUCAUCCAUUCUUUUUACAUAAAAGCAUAAAGCAAUGGCACUAAUGUAAUUAUAUACCUUUUUAUAUAUAAACCAAAGGCAGUGGCAUUAAAAAUUGGAAUUGGAUCCUCUCCGAGGCAAAUUCUUGGGAUCCUCCUGAUCCAAUAACACGAACUAUUGAAUUUUGAUCUAACGACUACAAACAUGAAUUUUUUUUUAAAGUUAUAAUAAUUGUAGCAGUUGGAUUUAAUAGGUCUGGAGGAUUCCGAAGUUUUGCGAGGAUCCAAUUCCUUAAAAAUUGAAUGAGAAUAGAGCCAAUUGCGUAGUGGUGGGUCAACCAACGGCAUAUAAAAUUGAAAAUAUGAAAAAAGCCAAAACCACGCUCCAAAUUCUCAUCUCAUCAAACCAAAUUACAGCCGUUGGUUCUCUUUCCCUUUCUUUUUCUCUAGUUUUGUGUUCCCAUGCAACCUAGCCACACCAUAAAUUCAGGGACGAGUCUUAGGAAUUUUCACAUUUUAUCUGUUCAUCAUGCAUAUUGUGAUUAGCUUUCAUUAGGUGCUAUUUGUAUUUAAUUUUACAUAUAAAAUUCAAAAUGAUUUAUGGCUGCACGAUGUACAAUGAACAGAUAUGAUGUGAGGAUCACAAAACGGAAAGAAUGUGAGAAUUCCUGGGAUCCUCACAAAAAGGAUCAUGAUGGGAUCCAAAUCCUAAAUCCAGCUAUCCACCACAAUCCCUCUCCCACUCUUCAGGCCCCACACACAGGGCCAAUCGUGAUAAUUUUUGAAACCAGAGGCGACUCAAAAUUGCGACACAGCUCUUCGAGAGAUUUUUUAGUGUAUCUGGAACAUCGGGCGAAAACUAAAUGUCAGUAUAAGAGUUACACUUACUAUAUAUUUGUACUAUCAUUUAUAUCAUCUUUCUAAUAAAUAUAGAUCUCACCAACACGUAUAGAUCUAUUAAAAAGAUGAUACAAAUAUGUGGUAUGAUAAUUUUUUUUAAAUAUAAAUUGACCAAAUCCAAAUACACGGCAUUGCCAAUAUAUUUUGACUUAAUUGCGCUUUCAUCCAACAACUCAAUACAUCAUCAUUCCAUGCAUAAAAUAAAAACAAAGACUCCAAUCCCAAUUUAUUCAUCCACCUAUUUUUUCUUUGUCAAAUAUUCAUCCACCUAUUGUAUAUAAUUGGACGAGAAAUGCUAAAGAGGAUUCUCUACGGUCUCUUUAUCACCUCAUGUUUUUUGCACAAUAUUUUAUAAUGUUGAUACAAUUUCAUCGGUCUUCAUGUCAAUUUAUUCAUCCACCCAUUUUAUUCAAGGUUAAAAAAGACGCUAAGCGUCAAUCGGACGGCGGACUAGGCAGAUUUAAGUAAAUAUAUUAUAUAUGAAUAAGUAUCUAUUUAUAAUCACUGUUCUAAAAAUCUCCGCCUAGGCCCUAGGCCCCAGCUCACCGCCCCGAUUAAUGCCUAGGCCCUAGCCCACCGCCUAGACCACCUAGGCACCCGCCUAGGUUGCAACUCACUUAGACAGAAAAUACAUAACUUUCAUUUUGCAUUUUGUUUUUUUUCAAUAAAUCGUAAGAAACUUGUUGCAUACUUGAAUGAACAAACAUUAUAUCCUUAUUUCACAUGUUUUCAUUAUGUUCCAAUACUUCAUGAUAUAUAUGCAUUCGAUUUUAUAGUUUAUGAUGAAAUUAUAUAUAUUUCAAGUAGAAGCAGACAUGCCACUCAUAUAAAUAUAAAUAUUUUAGCAUAUUAUCACUAAAACAUAAGUGAUAUAUCAUGAUUAAGGUGUUGGAGAAGUAAAAUGGGAGGGGUUCAAAUCCUCUUUGUGUUUUUUUUUCCUCCCUUUUUGCCCUUUUUUUCUUUUUUUUCCUUACAUUGAUAUUUUCGAUAUUUUAACGAUAUUACACCAAUAUUUUGACAAAAUAUUACUGAAGUGUGUGCGAAAUUAUCGAUAUCGAUAUUUUCCGAUAUUAUCGUCGAUAUUGUCGAUAUUUGUAUGAUAUGUACAUGGAUAUGUUCCGAAAUAUCCGUGAUUCGAAAAUACCGAAAUAUCCUCGAUAUUUCGUCGAUAUUAUCGAUAUUUCGUCGAUAUUAUCGAUAUUUCAGACUAUGGUUACAGGUGAAAGAUUUGAAAACGUCAGAUUGUUCAUAUGCACAAAAAAUAGGGGUAUCAAUGUUAUAGUGGCCUAUUUACAUGCAAAAAAUAUGGAGAAGCAUUGUUGUUUUAACAAAAGAUGAUCAGACUCUUUUCUAUAGCAGCAAAAAUUUGUUCCUUCUGGCAGUAACUGCAAAUAAAAGAUGUGCAAAUGGACAAAAAAAAGAUGUAAAUGCUAACUAAGCUGUAAUCAAGUGUGUGUGCAACUAUGGUUACAUCAUAUAAAAAAUAGGAAUGGAGCAAAGUUACCUAGUUUUUUUUUCGAUAGAGGAGGGUCUUUUUUCAUGCUUGUUGGGAAUAUGUUUUUUUUCAACAAUUUGAUUGGAACCUGAUGAAAAUCCUGCACAUCUGCUUCAAAGACUUCCUCUAUCUCACCGUGCCAAAGAUAUUAAAGAGAUUGGAAAAAUUGAGUUAGAUCAGAUUGAAAAUAAUUUGAGAAUGAGAAAAAAAAUGUUGUGAUGCAGAAUAUAACCUGUUUUCAGCCUCUGUAAAAAAAGGCUCUCCUCAUUGAAUCUCUUUUCCUCUUGUGCGUUUCUUUGGUUUUUUAGCUGGUGUAGUGGACGACGAAACUGUUGUCGAAGACACUGUAAUUUCUUUCAUAUUAGACUGUGGUGUUGUUGGUUGGAUCAUUGUGUCUUCGAUAACAUUGUAGAUAAGGAGAUCAAUUGAAUUCAACAAAUUUCGUCGGCUUCGAAACCGGAGGUGAAAUUUUUUUCCUUUGGCCUAUAAGUCUGAGAAACUCACUUGGCAAUUGCUUAUGAUAUGUUGAUCUUUGAUUGUAAACCAAAUCUUUGCAUGGCAUGCAAAGACCUUUUCGCCUAAUUUGCCGAUAAUGAGAGCAUUGAUCUCAUUUGUUUCGUCUUCAAAGACCAAGAACACUUUGUACCUUUAUUCAAAUAGAAAAAACAUUAAUUACAGAGGAUAGAUAGUGUAAUAAGUCUACAAGAAAAAACAUUAAUUACUUUCCAAAUGAGUGGCGAACGAGCACUUUGGUGCCUAUCUACAAGAAUAAGGGCGACAUACAAAAUUGCAUGAACUAUAGGGGUAUUAAGUUAAUGAGUCAUACAAUGAAGCUCUGGGAGAGAGUCAUUGAGCAUAGAUUGAGGCAAGAGAGGGACAACCAAUUCGGGUUCAUGCUAGGGCGCUCAACCAUGGAGGCAAUCUAUCUCUUACGAAGAUUGAUGGAAGAUAUAAAGAUGGGAAAAAGGAUUUACACAUGGUCUUUAUAGAUUUGAAAAAAGCGUAUGAUAGGGUCCCAAGAGACAUUCUUUGGAGGAUUUUAGAGAAGAAAGAAGUACGAGUAGCAUAUAUCCAAGCUAUAAAGGAUAUGUAUGAAGGAGCAAAGACUGCCGUAAGAACUCAUGAAGGACAAACCGAAAGCUUUCCCAUAACUGUAGGAUUACAUCAAGGCUCAUCCUUAAGUCCUUACCUUUUUGCGUUGGUAAUUGAUGAGUUAACAGGACAUGUUCAAGAUGAUAUUCCUUGGUGUAUGCUUUUCGCAGACGAUAUAGUGUUGAUAGAUGAAACUCAGGAGGGGGUAAAUGCAAAGCUUAACCUUUGGAGAGAAGUGUUGGAAUCUAAAGGUCUUCGCCUAAGCCGAUCAAAGACAGAAUAUAUGGAGUGCAAGUUCAGUGCAAAUGGAGGCCAAAACGAGUUAGGGGUGAGGAUCGGAGAUCAAGAAAUACCAAAGAGCGACCGUUUUCGUUACCUAGGAUCUAUCUUGCAAAAGAACGGAGAAUUAGAUGGAGAUCUCAACCAUAGAAUACAAGCUGGAUGGAUGAAGUGGAAGAGUGCAUCUGGCGUGUUGUGUGACCGCCGUAUGCCACUGAAGCUCAAGGAAAAAUUUUAUAGGACGGCAAUAAGGCCGGGGAUGCUGUAUGACACAGAAUGUUGGGCGGUGAAGCAUCAACACGUACACAAAAUGGGUGUAGCGGAGAUGAGGAUGCUUCGUUGGAUGUGUGGGCACACGAGAAAGGAUAAGAUUAGGAAUGAGGAUAUCCGGGGUAAAGUAGGAGUAGCCGAAAUUGAAGGAAAGAUGAGAGAAAAUCGGUUACGGUGGUUUGGACAUGUGCAAAGAAGGCCUACUGACGCUCCGAUUAGAAGAUGCGACUAUGGGACAGAGGUUCAGGGCCGAAGGGGUAGAGGAAGACCUAGGAAAACUUUGGAAGAGACUUUAAGAAAAGACUUAGAGUACUUGGAUCUAACGAAUGACAUGACACAGGACCGAGCACAAUGGCGUUCUAAGAUUCAUAUAGCCGAUCCCACUCAGUGACUUGGAUUUUCCAAGUCUCUAACCGAGAAGUUUUCCUCACUCGGAAAAUUAAGGGAACACUACCCCAACCUACAUGCUCCACUCAGAAAGCUUCAACAAAAGAAAAUUCAAAGAACUUAGCGAAGAAGGCUUUGGUGUAUUUAACACAAUACGUUGAAAUGAAGGAAAGCUUAUUUAUUGAUAUCCCCGAUAAGCUACAAAUAUGUACAUAUACAUGAGUCAAAAUAAAAAAACAAGAUGGAGCCUUCACAAAGGUUGCUUAGGAGAAGUCUCAGCAGUCGGUAGAGCCCCAGAAAGAGAAGGCAUCGGAGGGGGAUCAUUCGGAGCCUCAGUACUGGACAGAACCCUAGAAGGAGGAGGCAUCAGAGGUUGAUCAUUUGGAGCUUCAUUACGCGGUACAGCCCCAGAAGACGAAGGCAAUAAAUGCCUCUGGAACAAACCCACAAAUCUCUGAUGAUCAAGUAAAACCUGACCAUCAGUUUCCUUCAUCUGGUCAAGCUUCCUCUUCAUGUUUGUAGUAUAGUCAUGUGCGAGCCGGUGCAACUGUUUAUUCUCAUGCUUGAGCCCUCCAAUCUCCUGUUUGAGACUCAUUACUUCGGCCGCCAAUGAUUCAACUUGGCGGGUUCGAGCAAAUAGGCGUUGGGCCAUAUUAGACACAGAACCUGCACACUGAACACUGAGAGCCAGCGAAUCCUUAACAGCUAACUCAUCAGACCGUUUGGAAAGUAGUCUGUUAUCUUUGGGAGUGAGAAGGUUCCUGGCCACCACCGCAGCGGUCAUAUCAUUCUUCAUCACGGAAUCCCCAACGGUAAGAGGACCAGUAGGGGAAACGAAGGAUGGGCGCCAUAUGUUGUCUGGAGAAGGCGGGGCUGCCUCUUCAACAAGGUUCAAGUCAAAACGACGGUCGGAGGGGCCAGACAUUUUCAAAGGUGUUGAAGAGAGAAGAGGUCGGACAAAUCAAGAUCUUAGAAGUGUAAGAAUGGAGCUUCUACUGGUGGAGAUUCAAGUGUGCUUUUGAACUUAAUGCCAGCCCCUAUAAAAAGCUGCACUCGACGGGGCUUCAGACAUCGAAGAGGCGCCUGCUCAGAAAUCGAAGAGGCGUUUGCUUUCUCAAAAGCUGGGCUGCUUAGAGACCACGAGGGUUGAUCUCAUAAAUCGAAGAGGUGUUUGCUUUCUCAAAAGUUGGGCUGCUCAAAAGACCACGAAAGCCGAUCUUAGAAAUCGAAGAGGCGCUCGCUUUCUCAAAAGCUGGGCUCCUCAGAGACCACGAGGGCCGAUCUCAGAAAUCGAAGAGGCACCUACUUUUCCAGCCUUGUCAGCACCUGUCACACGCACACUCAGCUUUGCGAAAAUUAUGGGUAUUCUGUCGAAGAUUUCUGGGGAAGUAGAAAACACAUGAAUCUUACUGUCCAAUCACCCACUUCCCACACGCAACAAUAGCUCAUGGGUACCACAGAUAACUUUGCCAAAGUUCUCUGCCAAAGUUGAGCACGUGAAGCUUGCAGCUCCCACUACAUCGCUCUGACCAAGAAGGGUAAAAGAAUAGCAAAGAAACAGCACUAACAAAGUUUAGACCCAUAAAUUUUGAAGGUUUAGCUACCAUAUUAUUACCCACAAGGGUAAAGGAACAGUACCACUGCUGGAUAAUUGGAAAGUCCUUGUGUGUCAACCUCUGUGCCUCGUGGCAAGGUAGACUAGCAAACAUGCCCAACCUUUACUCACAUUCGAGAAAACACUCCCAAUAAGAUUGCUUGCUCCAAAAUCGAAGAGGCACCGUCCUCCGAAUCUCGAGAGCCAGACUCCCAACAUGACUACUUUCUCAAAAAUCGAAGAGAGGGUAAAGGAACAGUACCAUUGCUGGAUAAUUGGAAAGUCCCUGUGUGUCAACCUCUGUGCUUCGUGGCAAGGUAGACUAGCAAACAUGCCCAACCUUUACUCACAUUCGAGAAAACACUCCCACCAAGAUUGCUUGCUCCAAAAUCGAAGAGGCACCGCCCUCCGAAUCUCGAGAGCCAGAUUCCCAACAUGAUUACUUUCUCAAAAAUCGAAAAGACACUGCUCCCCGAAUCUCGAGAGCCAGACCCCCAGCAUGAUUGCUUUCUCAAAAAUCGAAGAGGCAUCGUUCUCCGAAUCAAUCGAAGAGGCGCUCGCUUUCUCAAAAGCUGGGCUGCUCAGAGACCACGAGGGCCGAUCUCAGAAAUCGAAGAGGCACCUACUUUUCUAGCUUUGUCAGAACCUGUCACACGCACACUCAGCUUUGCGGAAAUUAUGGGCAUUUUGUCGAAGACUUCUGGUGAAGUAGAAAGCACAUGAAUCUUACUGUUCAAUCACCCACUUCCCACACGCAACAAUAGCUCAUGGGUACCACAUAUAACUUUGCCAAAGUCUCUGCCAAAGUUGAGCACGUGAAGCUUGCAGCUCCCACUACAUCACUCUGACCAAGAAAGGUAAAAGAAUAGCAAAGAAACAGCACUAACAAAGUUUAGACACAUAAAUUUUGAAGGUCUAGCUACCAUAUUAUUACCCACAAAGGUAAAGGAACAGUACCACUGCUGGAUAAUUGGAAAGUCCUUGUGUGUCAACCUCCGUGCUUCGUGGCAAGGUAGACUAGCAAACAUGCCCAACCUUUACUCACAUCCGAGAAAACACUCCCAACAAGAUUGCUUACUCCAAAAUCGAAGAGGCACCGCCCUCCGAAUCUCGAGAGCCAGACUCCCAACAUGAUUACUUUCUCAAAAAUCGAAGAGACACUGCUCCCCGAAUCUCGAGAGCCAGACCCCCAGCAUGAUUGCUUUCUCAAAAAUCGAAGAAGCAUCGUUCUCCGAAUCUCGAGAGCCAGAUACCACAUACCACUUUUUCAAAGUGCUCUGACAGAGUUAAAACAUGUGAAGUUGGCAGCUCCCACUACCGUGCUAUGACCAAGCAGGGUAAAGGAAUAGCAUUACUACUUGUUAGGGAGACUCCUAUAUAUGUCGACCUCCAUCCCCAACGGACAGGCAGACCUGCAAAAAUGCUCAACCCUUCCUCAUAUCUGAGAGGGCACUCCCAACGAAACCUUUCCAAAUAUUCAGCUUUCUUUCCCCCCGAUAAUACCUCUGCAAACAAGCUAUACUAGAGCAAGAAUAUCUCAUAUCAUCAGGGUUAAAAGCAAGAGUAUCCCAUAUCAUGCUUUUUCCCUGUCUUUUCCUUUGGCCUUGUUUUUACCUGCAAGACAAGGAGAAAGAGAGCAAUCAUUCAGCACUUGAAAUCAAGCUCCCAGCCAGGAACUGACUGCCUGGAACCCCUUACCUGAUUACUUACCUGGCAUUGCUCUCGAGUACUCAUCUUCAACAUCUUAUGUUUCCAGGGAAGAUACCGCAUCUGCUUGAGGAACAGAUAGGGCAAGUGCGAAGGAUACAAGGAAGCAUGUGGAGACAAGCGUAACAGCAUACGUGCCGAUACAUCCAUUACUCUGUCAAAAGCAAAAGUAUCCCAUAUCAGCAGGGUCGAACGUACUCUAGAUUUGAUGGACUUGUUUUGACCCUCAAAUUCUUCAGUCGACCUUAUACUCUGGAGGAAACCAGAAAACCCUCCAGCUCAGUUCAAGAAUAAGCAUGUGGAAAGUUACUUCUUCAAAAGCAAAAGUAUCCCAUAUCAUCUCUUCUCAUUUUUCUUCUCUUUAUCAUUCAUGCUGCUGCAAGAUGGGGAGAAGGUGAACAAUCAGCCGGAGCUCUGAUUGCUUACCUUGUCUGUCACCUCUUUCAGCAGAUCCCCUAGCUCGGCGACUUGGGGGACUCCUACUACAUGGUUUGUAUCGCGCUGGACCAAGCCUGAAACUACAAGUAAGCUUCAAGUGAAAUUGAUACAUUACCUUGUGCAUCUCCACCAGUUAAAGAUACCACCCCUGGAUGGAGGAAGAGUACUUCCAGAGAAGCUGCCACAUCUACCUAUGAGACAGAUAAGGCAAGUCAAGAUGAUACCACACUCCGAUACUUAGAAGUUUCGUGAUUACGAGAUCAUUCUCCCCACAAUAUUUCCUAAUGUCAUUUGUACUCUAAUGUCAUUUGUACUAAAUCAUUCACUGGUACUCACUAAAGGAGAGCUUGAACCUAUGUACUUGUGUAAACCCUUCACAAUUAAUGAGAACUCUUCUAUUCCGUGGACGUAGCCAAUCUGGGUGAACCACGUACAUCUUGUGUUUGCUUUCCUAUCUCUAUCCAUUUAUAUACUUAUCCACACUAAUGACCGGAGCAAUCUAGCGAAGAUCACAAAAGCGACCGUUUUCGCUACCUAGGAUCUAUCUUGCAAGAGAACGGAGAAUUAGAUGGAGAUCUCAACCAUAGAAUACGAGCUGGAUGGAUGAAGUGUAAGAGUGCAUCCGACGUGUUGUGUGACCGUCGUAGGCCACUGAAGCUCAAGGGAAAAUUUUAUAGGACGGCAAUAAGGCUAGCGAUGUUGUAUGACACAGAAUGUUGGGCGGUGAAACAUCAACACGUACACAAAAUAGGUGUAGCGGAGAUGAGGAUGCUUCGUGGGAUGUGUGAGCACACGAGAAAUGAUAAGAUUGAGAAUGAGGAUAUCCGAGGUAAAGUAGGAGUAGACGAAAUUGAAGGAAAGAUGAGAGAAAAUCGGUUCCGGUGAUUUGGACAUGUGCAAAGAAGGCCGACUGACGUUCCGGUUCGAAGAUGUGACUACGGGACAGAGGUUCAGGGCUGAAGGGGUAGAGGAAGACCUAGGAAAACUUUGGAAGAGACUCUAAGAAAAGGCUUAGAGUACUUGGAUCUAACGGAGGACAUGACACAAAACCAAACGCAAUGGCGUUCUAGGAUUCAUAUAGCCGACCCCACUUAGUGGGAAAAAGCUUUGUUGUUGUUGUUGUUGUUGUAUGGUUUAAUGUUAAUACUAAUCAUAUGAAAAAUACAAGGAUAGGUAUGCAAAGUUUGAUUUCAAAUUUAAUUAAAUUUAUGGCUUGUAAUUUUGUUACAUGAUCAAUGAACUAUUAAUUGAAAAUAUGUAAUUAAAAACAUAAUAAAGGAUAAGUUUCAAUUUAAGGAUAUGAGACAACGAUCAAUUGACAAACGCGAAAUAUAGUGUUUAACUCAUUACCAAGGAGUUGGCAUUUGAUUUGUAUGUUUUUGGCACAUCAGUUGACCAAUUGUUGGGUCCUUGUACAUUUGUUUGGCACAUGUAGGGCAAGCAGCAUACCACCAUUCAUAUGACGUGUUAAAUCGCUUAAUUGAUGCCUUGCACAAAAAUGUAUUAUCCUGUUAAAUAUCCAGAAAGAUGUUUAGAUAGUUAAUAAUCAUGAAAUAGAAAGCUUAUGUAAAAGAAGUAAAAAUUGAAUAAGAUUAUUUUGAUUUAAUAUGAUAAAAUAAAAGCAUGUUGUAUACCUUAUAUAAAUCUGGGUCUAAGUAGCCCAACUCUUCAAUUGUGACCAUUUUUCCAGUCUGUAAAGCUUCAGUUUCUCUUGCCUGAUUAGAGGGAGUAUUGUAACAGGGUGAGGCAAGCCAGAAAACCUGCAACAAUUUUUGAGAAAAGAAUAGCUAUUUUUCUUUUAAUAAUUGUAGGUGUGUUAUGAUUUUGAUUGUGUGAUAAUGAAUGAACUUACACUGAUUUAUAUGAGUUUAAUUCUGGAAUUUCUGGAUCAACAAAGAAAAGUGUUGCACCGGUGCUGUUGAGGAUGAUGCUUUUUGUAUUAAAAAAAGGAAAAAAUAAGAAAAAAGAAGACAAAAAACAAAAAUGAAAAUAUAAAAAAGGAAAAAAGACGUAUCAGUUGACAUUGUAAGCAGUUACGUAAAAAUGACUAAUCCAAACCUACACUGAUUUUUUAAGAACAAAAUUAAAAGACAUCAAACAAAGCAUAUGUAUGAACACUAUGUUGUUCAAAGACUACAUGACAACAUAACAAUUUUUACUUUCACAGAUCAAAAUAUUUAUGUUAUAAACUCGCAUAAUAGUUGCACUUACUUUUAAAAAUAGUUGAAAACUCAAUAAAACCAUCUAACACUGUCUAGGAAAAACAGGAAAACAAACUUUGAAAACUAAUCAGGCAUGUAAACAUCUGGAAGAAAGAAUAGCAAAAAAAUGAUUUCUUGAUUGAAAUAUAUACCUUCAAAUAGCUUGACUUUCAAGCACGUAAAAAAAAUAAUUCUUGCUUCAAGUAGUGAAUCAAACGAUAAAGAAGUAAAGCUGUGUGCAACGUCUAACCACAAUGUAAUCUUAGCUUCGUCUUUUCUGCCAAAUAAAAUGAUAAAAAAAAAGAUAAUGAAAAAGUGAUAAAAAUGUGACAAACUUUUUUAUCCAAAAUAGAUUUUUUUUUUUUUUUUUAAGAAAAGUAUAUGAUUGCCUAAUGUGAUAAGAAGCCAAAACAACAGUUUGGAUAUCGACGAUAUACACAAUAUUGAUACAAAAAACAAUUAAAAAGUGUGCUAUGCAGAGGAAAUAACCUGAUAUUUUGAAUAACCACAUCACACUUGUGAUCAAUUCUUUGGUUCACUUUUACGGGCUCCAAAUGUUGGACUCCAACCACAUGACCAAUAACAUCUGCAAAUUUGAAAAAAGAAAGAAAACCAAAACAUAAUUAGGUGAGGACAAAAUGUUUCAUAAAACAUGUAUCAAUGCAUUGUAACACACAGCUAUAUAUACAUGCGUACAUAUUUAUUACCUGUUAGGAUAUCAGUUUUGUUCAGCCUAGGAUACAAUCUAUUAUAAUCUUGCAAAAAAAAAAUCUAUGACGCGGAAUAGGCGGAAACACACUUGCCAACUUGUUAAAAACUGUUUUGGCAGUUAACACGACAUGGGUGUCAUGUGGGACUACUCGAUACUGGCCUCUCAUUUUGUUGGUACAAAAAUUCAUAAUCUCGUAGCAAGCACCUGCUUCAAUUUUUGGGACUAUUAUAUCAUAGUCCAUUUCGUCAAAAGACGCUUAUAUCGCUUGUUCCUUGAUAACCAAACAUUGAGAAAGGAAGAAAAAGAAAUUGUCAAAGAUACCAUGAAUAGGUAAAUAACACUGAAUUUGAAACUUAAAAUAAUAUGAAAACAUUUGCAAAUGACAAACAUUAUAGACUAAGAUGAAUACUAAAUACUGAAAGCCAAGUUAUCAUUAUAAUUAAUAGUUUAAAGGCAAUGGAUACCCAUAAAAUAAUUACAUGUCACAAAGACUUAACAUGAGAGUUGAUAUAUUUAAUACUUGAAAUAAUAUGAAAAUAAAUGUAAAUCACAAAUAUUAGAGAAUAAGAUGGAUAGCAAACAUCGAGAGUGCAUAUAUUAGUGUAAUUAACAUGUUAAAGACAAUGCAUAUGCACCCAAAAAAAAUUUCUUUAUCACAGAGCCAGGAUGAUAACUAAUAUGCAAUUUUCCGAUAGAAAAUAAAAGAAUACAGAGAUUUGAAAUGAAUUGGAGAUUGUGUUUAUCCCAGAGAGUAAAAAUGUCAUGUGAUGUGUAUUAGAACAAAUACAAAAUUCUUAACACGUGUUGUGAAGAGCUUAUCAAACAGUAUUAUUAAAGAUUGAUUACUUACCUUUUCAUCAACUAAUACACAGUGUAGACCUGCAUAUUUUUUAGUCAUGCCUGAAAAUCUUGGUCUCCAUAUUCUGCCGAUACGAACUUCAAUUUUUCCUAUUUUUUCAUAUGGGACCAAUCGAUCAAGAGGAGUUGGACCUCGAUCUUCCAUUUUAAACUGCUGAAAUAAGAUUUAAGGUUUGUGACUUGACAAAUAAUGCAGAAAGAAAUUUCAAAAGGCUGAACGAUGAUGUAACAAUUACACUUUCAAAACUAUAGACCUAUAACAGUUUGUUUAAAAGCGUAACUGAUUAAAAGAAUGAGAUUGCUAAAAGAAAACACAGCAUGACCACUGCUUAACUGAACCACAUUCUCAUCACACAAACAUAAACGAAGUGAACCUAUUCAUCUAUCAUAUUCUUUUUCUCUGUUUCCAUAUCCCUGAUCCCAAUUCUUUAUUCCAUGCUUUCUGUGUUGUUUUUUCCUCACUCUCAAUCCCAUUUUCUUCGAAGUCCAGGAUAAAAACCACAUGCAUAAACAGGCUACAAAUCUGCCAAAACCCAAAACAUAGCCUAACUAAAAAUCUGAGCGAUUAAAACUUUCACUUAAAAAAAACAGUCUAUCUCCGAUAAAACAGAAAUACCCCAAAAUAGGAAUGCUUAGUAAUAAAAUAAUGAAGCAACAAAUGGCAUGAAAUAAUCAAAAAACAACCCUACAAAUUCAAAUAACCAAAACAAAUAAUCAUAUGGCCAUUUCAGUUCGGAAAAUAAAAACAUCACACAAAAAACUAAUACCUGACAAAGAACCCAAUCGGGGAUAGCGGAAAUUGCGACUACACGGUCCUCCAAAUGGCGAUCAGACAGCCGUUCAACCACUGCAAAAACAACCAUCAAAAAACACAAAGUCAUAGCCUAUCAAGAGUGUAAGUAAAAUAAAAAGAACAAAUCGAAAGAUCCCUGUCCUGAAUUAAAAAUUGGAAAGCGAAAACAAAGGCGUUGAAAAACAAAAGCUGAAAAUCGAUCGCACAAACUGAAGUCCUGCAACAGCAGAAACCAAGAAGAAAAACAAAAGACAAAACGAAAACAAAAAGCAUAAACAAAACGAAAGAAACGGCAAACAAAGCUAACUAAGCAAAUUUGAAACGAAGAAAAACGCACAUCCAGCUUAAACCAAGGUUCUGAAGUAAAGUGAAAUGAACUGAAAGCGAAAGGUAUCAGCAAAAAUAAGAGAGAAGAGACAAAGCCACGGUCAAUUUGAUGAUCGACACGUGGUCAUAAGUAGAAAAGGCAAAGCCGAGCAACACGCGGGUAAAAAAAAGAUAAAGGAAAGGGGCAAAAACGACAUUUCAUGUAGCAUCUUCAAAAUGCCAAAAAAGUGGGGUUAGAUCAGGGGCAAAACCGGGUGGGCACUGUUAAUGAACAUUGGUUUUCCCAUCGGGUUUUAGUAUAGAGAUAACUAGAAAUUGCUGCUUGCGCGUUGUUGCGGGAUUAGAAAUCAUAUCGAAGAUGGAUAAGCUAAUUCUAAAUCAUCAAAUUUGCAGCUGCAUUGCAUGACAAUCAAUUGAAACCUUCUCUCUAAAUUAUUAAACAACAUUUAGCAUAAACUAACUUGCAAUUCAAAUGCAAGAAUGCAAAGGAAGAUAAAUUGUCAAAUUUCAUACAUGUCAAACUUCAUUUAGGAAACUGAAAACCAUAAAAAAUAAAUUGAUAAAUGACACACCCCGUCUCGAAGGAGGGCGUGCUGGCCGUCACGUAAGAGUGACGUAACUCUUUGCACAGUAAGGAAGCUAAAAAGAUACAUAGAAAUACGAAUGAAUAAAAACCAAAUCACUAGCAAUUCUAGCUAAGAAGGAAUGCUAGUGCGAGUCUAAGUGUAUAAAUACACAUUCAGAGCAAUAAGAACGUCUCGUUGCAAUCAAUUAGGACAAUUACUAAGAUAUAACACCCGAAUGUGAAUCCUACUUUUGUGAAUUCUGUCAGAACACCGUUGGAUUCCUCAUGACCACCAAAGUACUGCUACCUAGAACCUGGAGAGGUGCAAAACAAGGUUGAGUGACUUAGUAAAACAAAGUUAACUCAUUAUUAAAACGCUAACCCCUCACGGUAAAACCUGUAUAAUUUCCCAGAAAAUAGUAUACAUAUGUACAUAUCUCAAAACCAUGCUCAAUAUAUCCAAAUCCACAUGCCCAAUAUCACAAUAUAAUAAACGUAAGCCAAGUGAUGCAAUUCAAUAUAAAUCAUUUGUACAUGAGUCGAAACCAUUUCAUGUGGUCUGUCCGACAGAAUCUAGAGCUCAUCUCAAUCACAUAUCUUAUCAUGUAUAUACGUAUCUCAAUCUCAUAUCUCAUCAUGUAUAUACAUAUCUGCACACAAGUCGAACCCACUUAUAAUGGUCUAUACAACAGGCUGGGUGUAUAACAAUACGCUAUAGUGUUACAAUCACGUGAGGCUGUGCGAAUUAUGAGCUAUAAUAUAUCUCAUCAUCAUCAACAUCAUAUCUCAUAACCAUUACCAGCAUAAAUAUACUCACCGGUAGAUUACCUGGGCCUCUGCAGCACCAUGCAACAAUAUGCAUAAUUAUGACAAUGCAUAUGCUUAAAAUAAAAUGUAGGCAUAACAUGGCAUUUAAAUCACAAUCCUUUAAAUACGUUUUCUGGAAAAAACGUCAAGUAUAUAUAUAUAUAUAUACUGAAAAUAACCACCCACUCACUGGUAUGUAGCCGGGUCGUAACCCCAUGUCUAGCCUGGUUACGCUCGUCCUCCGGAUAAGUUUCGUCUAUAUGAGAAGUAACUGUAUAAACGUUAAUUAAUAGCACAUAACCAACUCUUGCUAAUAACUUCUCAUAUAUUGCUCAAUUUGGGUAUAUGAAUAUACCACAGUGACCCACACAACCUUAGGAUCAUUCCCAUAUUUUUAGAAUAUUUUUCUGACGUCUCAUGCGCCGACGAAUGCACGGACCUACGCACCCCCACGAGUGGCCACGUGACAGUCACACUGAGUUAAGGCUGUCAGGUAUAUACCAAGGAAUAUUCCGUUAAGUCCUAAUGGUAACUGUUAAAGAUGACUGACGGCGUUGGAAUAUUCCGUCAUCUCCUACCUUGGGACUCCGGCAAGUCUUCGGUUACCGGAAAACCGGGAAAAUCCUAUUUUCGACACUAACUUCUUCGAUUUUAACCAAAAUUCCAUGAAAUUUACACCAAAGGGAAGCUGGAGAUGAGUAGAACAACGUUAUACCUGUUUUGGGAUCUAAAUCUCACGGGAUCUCGCCGUGAAAUUUCGAGGGAAACCGACCAAGCUUGAAACUCACGAUCCCGAUGUCCAAAAUCUUCAAACGAACUACUCCGAGCUUCCUUAGGACCUCCGUAAGCUUCCUAUAAGCUUGAAAUCUCCUAAAAAUCAACAUUUUACGUGCACAUAAACAGUGCAUAAAAACUGGGGUUAGGGUUCUCGGGGUUUUCGAAGGUCUCACGCUCUAAAACUUGUACCAAUGAACUCAGGAGUUUAAGGGGAACAAGAAUAAUACCUCUUUACCUUUGAUCUGUGAAGAAAUGGAAGGUUUUGUGUUCAUCCAUACGUGUUCGAAGGAGAGAGAGAGAGAGAAUGAAACCGAGAAAAGUACGGGGGAGAAGAGAGAGGACUUUUUGGGUGUUUUUGUGUGGUCCAAAAGCCACCAAUCAAACCCAAUUAGUUUCUUACUUCCUAUUGGGUCCCCAAAACUUGGGGAAAAUUUUGUAUUGGUUCAAUCCCUUUGUCCAAUACACCCACACACCCACUAAAGCUCAAGGGCAAUUUAGUAACUUCACAUUUUCGAGAACGAUAAUCCGGGACGGGCUGUCACAAUAAACAUACAAAGAUAGUUCACAAUCAUAAAUGUUGAAUGCUGAUAAAGUUGUGCAGUGUGUGGUACGACCUUGAACGUUUGUUUACUGGAACGACUGUGCAACCGUGUGAUAUCAUAUAUACAACCAACUUGUAUCUUUGGAGCUACUAUCUCAUAGUCUGCUUCUAAGACCGAUGCUUCAAUGGCAUCAUUGUGAAUUAUAAAAAUUAUAGAGUUAAUUAUAGCUUUGUCUUUGUUUUUCAAAUUAUAGUUUUAACUAUAUUACAUUUAAACAAAAUGGUUUUCUUACCAGUUCAUCAACCAGUACACAUUGUUAGCCAUUGAAUUGGUUCUGAUGUCCAAACAUUUUGGGUCUCCACAUCCGGCAAAUUCUUACUUUGAUCUCCAUAUCAUUUCUAAGAGGCUUUAAUUCACAUAUUGGUACGAUGCUCAUUGUCUUGUAAAUCUGCCGACAAAAUAUACAGAUUGGUAAUAUGCAAAUUUUUACAAACUUGCAGUGAAAAAAAUAAGACAAUUCUAAGACACUCAAUUAAUAUAGUAGGGAAGAAUAAAAAGGAAGAGCUAUGAAAAAAAAUGAUAAGAAUGCAAUUUAGGUACAAUUUAAAAGAUCAAACUCAAAUAUAAAAAGACUCAAGCACUCAUAAAUUCAGAUACUGCUUGAAAGAUUAAAUUUAAACAUUGAAUCACUCAAGCAUUGAAAUGUUGUCACAUUGAACUCUACUGAAUCACUCAAAGCACUAAAAUGCUGUCACAUUGAACUAUACGUUUCUUUCAUACUUCCAGAACUAAUCCAUUUUGAUUAGAAACUAAUUAAGUGCUAUUUUCCCAUUAAAGUAAGCUGUAUAAUGGGACCACAUAAUGGGUGGAGGACCAUUGCCCCGUUAUGGAGAUAUAUGAAGAAUAUAAUUAACCCAAAACAAAUCAAGAUUUAUAUUCGCAUCUACGUAACAGUUUGAAUUGUACAAAUCGAUAUAUGAAAGCUAACUAUCAAUUUGACAACAAAUUUUGGUCACUGGAAGAAGCCAACCUUUUUCUUCUACAUUGAUCACUGUUGUAGUACAAUGACUUUAAUUUAGUACACAAAUUUAAAUUGAAAACGUUAACAUUCCAACUCAUGUUAGGAUUUCAUACCUGAAGAUCACCAAACGCUAUCAAAAUGAUACACCGAAGCACACUCUCUGCCAAACAUUGGAUACACUGGAAAAAGAGAAUUCAUAAGAUUUGCUAUGGUAUAAGAUUCACAAAUUUGCAAUAAUCAAGUAAGUGUUAAAAGAAUAUGCAACAUGCUAUCUAAUAAUGCUUUAAAACACUAACAAACAAAACAUGUGUAAUGCAUAUAUCCUAUCAGUACACAUAUUCUAAAAUACAUUUACGUAUCAAUACGCUUGUGAGCAAGAUAAGGAACAAAAGGAGCUCCAACAAUUUCCAAUGGUAAGGCAAACACAUUCAAAAUAAGAAACUCAUCAAACAUUGUUCCAAAAGGAUGGUCAUCAAGUUAGAGAAGGGAAGCGGUGGAAUUAUUUUCAUUACGUUAACAUCUGUCUCACUUCUUAAUUUCUUUAUAUCCAAACACUUUGAGUUCUGUUUUUCAUUCUUUUCAAGGUAUCAGGAACAAUUGUGCCCCACAGCUGUUGAUUACAAUCUUCCUUGUCUCUAUUUCUCUUGUUUCUUCAUUUAUUUGUUUGUAAUUUUGAUUGAGACUCAAAAUUGCAGGUAGCUACCCCCAUGGUCUUCCGGUUCCCAAUAAAUGUCUGUGCAUGUUGAUUUUCCAAGGGUGGAAGAGGAAAUUAACAAUUCUUCAUAUGUUUGAAGAAAAAACUACAUGCUAACCCAAGGGCCCAAAUACAACAUGAUUAACAAACCAUAAUUACAUAUUAACUCCAUUGAACCAAAUCAAAUGCAAACAGCAAAACAUAAAGUUAAGAACAAACCAGAAAAGCCAUCCAAAAAUUCAAUCACACCGCAGAAUAGUUGAGGAAAAGCAGGAGAGUAAGAGUCAAAGCAUCUGAAACUUUGGGGAAAGCACAUUUCUAUUGACACCAACAUCUCGAGCCUUUCCAUCCUGCUCCACACAAAGGCUUAAUCAGAAGCAGUGAUUCCAAAAUCAAAACCGUAAUUGCUGGUGUUAUUAAGAAAUAUGUAUAGCUUAGCCUCAAAUAACGCAAAAAUAAGAAUGGAAAUAGCAAGAAACAAUACUUCCAACACAAAGCAAGCUUCCUUCAUAGUCCACACCAUUCUAUGUACCUUCACCAGCAAAAAUGGAAGAAUUGUAAUAAUUAGUGCUUAAAGUGAUAUUAAAAAAAAAUUAAUAAAGGAGUAGGCAGGUACCCCAAACUGGGCUGGAAAUCAACCAAAAAUUCGGACAGAAAUUGAAAAUCCCACACGGAAAAAAAAAAGACGAACAUAAGAGAUUAUUUUCCCAAAAUCCACCCAGCCUUUGCUCGAAAGAAACAACGAUCAGCAAAAGGAACCACAGAGACUAUAGUUCAAGUAAAAUAAAACAUUCAAACAACUCAAAUCAAACAUUCAAAUAAAGUAUACUCUCGAGAUAAGACUCAGGAAACCCUAGCUUUUCAAAUUAAACUGAAAAUUUGAAAAAGGUGAGAAUCGUGACAGAGAGCGACAGAGAUAAACGAAAGGAAAAGAAAAGCGGAAAAGAAGUGGAAGCAGGAGUUCCAACGAUGAUCGAAAUUCAGUCCCGAAUUGAAAAAAAAAAUUAUGUGAGAGAGAGAGAGCAAGAGACAAACCUGAUUUGCUUGAGGAGGCUAGGGUUCCGGGCUUACGAGAGAGAGAGCUCGAGAAAUCUGUGGAAGCAAAUGGAAGAGCUCUGCUUUUCCACCUUUCUUCCUUUCUCAGAUGACUAAGAGCAAGUCCACUUGAAGACUUUGUGCCAGCACCCAGCGCAUUUAUCUACUCAAGUGAACAGUAAUAGACCUCAGUAACCAAAACAUCUCCAUCCCUAAAAAUACACUGGCACCCAGCCUAUCUAAUAUUAUAUUAUUUUAUUCAUAUCAAUUAAUAUUUUAUCAUUUAAUUUAUUUUUUCUUCUUUCUUCCUUUCCCUUUCCGGUCAUUUCUUUAUCAUUUCUUUUUUCUUUUUCUUUUUUCUUCCUUUCCCUCACCAUGUCAGUACCAAUCAAUACUCAACCUCCGACCAAGACCUCGACACCCAGGGCUUCAACCUUCACCGCACGAUCGCGGGGCUCAACCUGGACCACCUCAACAAGGUGUUCGUGGCCGUCGGGUUUCUGAAGCGGGACCCGGACAAGAUCCGGAUGACGCAAGAGCACACAGACUCGCUGCUGUGGAUGGAGUACAGGAAGACGAAGCGGCCGGUGGCCUUCACGAGGUCGACGGGAGACGGCCUCCAGUUCAAACUUCCUUCGAACGCCAAGCUGGCGUCACCGUGGCAUCAGAUAGGCCGAUCCUAAGGUCUGUUGAUUUUAAGCUGGCCUGUGGACUGGCAUGGGCUGGGUGCCCGUCAAUUGGGUCUGCUGGAGCAAAUUCACUGGGUCCUGGCCUAUUUUUUCGGCUAGGUGCUGGGCAAAAAGUCCUCCGAUGGAUUUGCUCUAACACGUGUAAAUUUAGCAUCCUUACUUUACCAACACGCGUCCAGCAUGGACAAAAUAAAGAUUUUUGCACCCCAAAAACCGAAGAGAAGAACAACCGGAGGAAAAAUCCAGGGGCAAAUUCGUCCACCCACUGGUCAUCCAUAGUACCAGCGUGGUUGGGUUUUAGUGUAUAGAGAUGUCUUCAAUUAUUCAAAAUGUCUACCGCGGUCGUCAAUAAGAUGAAUAGAAUCCUUUAGGCGUGUUAACUAAUCCGUAAUCAGAUUAAGAUGAAUUGGAUUGAGGAGGAAUUAGAAUGAGAUGGAAUCAGAAUUAGAUUCCUGUUGAAGUUAUUUACCAAAACUGUCUGGAAUCGGAGUAGAAUUGACAUUGAUGUAUAUAAACUGUUUAUUAAUUCACAUGAAUCGGAAUGAUAACUAAUGUGAUUAAUAAAGUACCCCUAUUUUAACUAAUUUAUUUUAUAUGCUAAUUAUUUUUAGUAAAACUUUUAUUCUUUUAUUUUUUUAAAUUUUUUACUAGAGAGAAUAAUUUUUUAUCUUUUAUAUAACUUUUAAAUUUUCCUAAUCGCAUAAAUUACUUCAAAUUUGAUAUGAAAGAAUCAUUUUUUAUUUGCUUCUAACUCUUAAUCACCCUAAAUCCUAUUAGAAAUACCUACAUAAAAUAAACUAAAAUAACAUUUUACUUCCUUCUCUCUUCCCCCUUUCUUUCUGCAUUCUUUUUCUGCAACCCUUUCCCCUUUCUUUCCCCAGUACGCAGUAUAACAUUUACUUCCUUCUUUCUCUUCCCCCUUUCUUUCCCAUUCUUUUUCUGCAACCCUUUCUUUCCCCUUUCUUUCACCAGUACGCAGUAUCCACACCCCACCAUCCAAUCUCAGGAGGAACUACGAAGCCACGACCCACCCCACCAACAAAAAUAAAAAAUCCAAUUUUUAGGGUGAGAGUGAUAAAAGUUCUUUCCUUCUCUUCUGUUUGAGUCUGCAAAUCGCAAUUCCCUUGAGGAUUUGGGCGUUCGUUGUUCCAGAUCAUGUUCAUCGUUGUGCUGUCGUUUCAAACCCCGGUCGAUCGUUGUUCCAAAUUGCAGGCGUUCGUCGUCCAGUGCUACUGCGUUUCGGAUUGCGAAGGUGGGGUGGUAUGUGCUGUGAGAGAAACAAAUACAAAGGAGAGUGAUUGAUGAAGGUAGAAGUUGUUUUAGGAAAUAUACAUGGGUAUUUUGGGUAAAAAACUUUGAUUCGUGAUGGAGCUCUCUACCCGGAAUUCAAUUACCACCUCAAUAGAGGGAAUCCAAAUCCGGGAAAAUCCGGAAUUGAACUCCUGAAAUUGGCUGGACCCUACAUAAAAUCUGAUUCCCCAGUUGCUAGUAAACUGUAGAAUGCUUGGGGAGGAAUUCAAUUCCGUUUCUCCCCAUUCCACUCCCGAUUGGUAAACACUCCAUUAAAGAAUAUCCAUUCCAUUUCUAUAUAUGCAAUGUACACACAGCCCCCAUCCAGUUUUGAUAAUCUCCGGACGUCCUAUCCUUUAUUCAGUUUCAACGUCCUUAUCUGUAGACAUUCAUCCACAGACGGGCACAUUGUAUAAUUGUCAAAAUCCUCAACAUACACUCCACUCCACAAUAACUUUAUUUAGAAUUCUGUUACAUGUAGUUCACGACAACCGAGCAUGUCUUCUCUCGCCCAACUCGAUCGCCAUCCAGCAACCAAUUCUGCGUCAAGAAUCAAAGAAAAAUCCAACAGUAGUUACAUUUCCGUCUUAUAUAUACAUAUACAACACUUUCGGAUCUAAUGAGACCUAACUUUCAUAUCCAAUCAGACCAGCUUUCAAAUCCAUGUUCAGUGUAAAAUCAGUAUUAGGAAGUAACUCAGAUAAUACAAGGUUUGUUUUCAGCCUCAUGUUCCAAAAGAGCGACAAUUAAGUUCAAAUGAAUGUAUGAAUAAGAAAAAAAAUUCAUACCUCCAAUAUCAUUAAGGGAAAUGUAUACUGCAGGUAAAAUUAUCCUUUAAAAAACCAAAGUGCCAGAACCUCACCUUGCCAACCACUCGAGUAUUCCACUUGCAAUUGAAAAAACCAGCAUGAGAGCUGCGCAUGUGUUCCUUGUUGCAAAAAUAUCCUGCAUAACUAAGCAGAAGUGAAGCACACGGCAUUUUUUACUGAAAAUCAUCAAUGAAGGGAAGAUCAUCAAUGUGCAACUCUGAUGACCUCCUUCGGUUCUACCAUACAACUUUUUUUUUUCUUUUCAAAUUUUUAUAUUUAUUGAACCUACCACACGCCUUAAACGUUCAGUUUGACUAAGUUCAGUCUCAUUUACCACUGCCAAUAAGUUACAGUACAAUAUGGUAUCAGGGUGUGCUGAUAUAAACAUGGCCACGGCUUCACUGAGACUAGGGGUGGGCAAACGGGUCCUGGACCCGCGGGUCGGGGCGGGUACCCGCGAUUUGGGGCGGGUAAGGGGCGGGUCCUAAAUUUCAAAACACAAAACGGGGCGGGGCGGGGCGGGUACAAGAAAUUAGCGGGGCGGGGCGGUUCUAGAAAUAAGAGGGAACGGGCCCCCGGCCCGGCCCGUUUCUAGCAAGAAUAAUUGGUUUUAUCCUCAUUUCAGUCUUCUCAGUUCUCAUAUACUCAGAGUCACUCACUUUUCCUUUUUCCCAACUCAAUCUCUCAUCCCGACUCGCUCUCACUGUCCCAGCUUUGUCUGCCGCCGCCAUCAUCAGCUCCGUCCGCCGCUGCCAUCAUCAGCUCCGUCCGUCGCCGCCAUAUCAGACCUCGAUCCAGGGAAGCUGAAAUCGUCUCUUCGUUUUUUUUUCAUUCAAUUUAUAGCGAAUUUCUUUGUUUUAUGUGGCUUUAAUUUUUGAAUGCAUGCAAGGAAUUGGGAUGGGGAAUGCAAUCAUGGUCGAUGAUCUGGAGCUCCUUGUUUUCUAAUGUAAUCUUAAACCGCUGCUGCUGUGUAUCUCUCUCACUCACUCUCUCGAAAUCAGUCUCUCUCUGUCGAACUCGAAUGGACGAACGACGAAGUCAAACAACUCAAAACGACGAAUCAAUCAUCUCCUCCACCUGACUCAGACUCAUAUUUGCAGCGCAGUCGAGCUCUGUUAACAGUCAUCUUCAGUUAAGGUAAUAUGUUUUAGGGAUUUAGGAUUUAAAAUUAAAUUAAGGUUUUCUAGAUUUAGAGAUUUUGUUGGGUUUUGAAAUCUUGACCUCUGUUAUGUUCCAAUUUCAAAUCUUUUGUUCAAAUGAUUUGGGUGGAAGGGGUCGAAAUCUGGGAUUAAGCAUUAGCUGGUAUCAGUUUGUGAACCAUUGUUAAAAUGAGAUCAUAUUAAUAUGUGCUGAUGUGCAUUUGUGCUUCAACAAUCUGUGCUUCAAUAUUUCUGUGAGUGUAAGUGUAAUAUGUGCUGUUGUGCACUGCAGUGCAGCGGCAGGCUGCAGCUCCAUUUUAUAAAAUAAUGUAUUAAAAAAAAAAAAAAGUUGGACCCGUGGACCCGCCCCGAAUCGGCCCGUUUGAAACGGGCCGGGUUAGGUCCGGUUCCAAAACUCAAAAUCUCUUUACCCGGCCCGUUACUAUUUAAAACGGGUAAGGUCCGGUUCCUCCAAAAUUGGGCCCGGCCCGGCCCGUGCCCAGCCCUAACUGAGACAUCAUCCUGUUUUAUGGACAGCAGUAUAAGCAAAGAAUUAAGGUGAGUAUGAAUGUAUAUUCAGUUACAUUACAAAUGAUUUACAAGUGCUCUUUAUAGGAGCCAGACAACAAUCGAUCAUUCAUGGCUAAUGGAAGCAGUCAUGAAAGGACAACUAGUGGACUUAGACGGCUUAGUUGACAAGCAAUGAGUCAUGAAAGGUUAAUGGACAGCUAGCGGACUAGACACAAUCAUGAAUAGCUAAUGGAAGCAAUCAUGAAAGGACAGAUAGUGGACUUAGACGGCUUAGUGGACAAGCAGGUGAGUAGAAGAUUCCCUUUUACGCCCUCGCAAGACGGUGGUCCCGUCAAAGACACCAAUCUUGGAUCGUAACAAUUGGAAGCGUGGACGAGGAAGGGCUUUUGUGAGGACGUCUGCAAGCUGAUCCUGAGUAGAAACAUGUGACACUUGAAGAAGCCCACGAUUGACUCGAUCACGAACAAAUUGAAAAUCAAGUUCAAUGUGCUUCAUGCGACAGUGAAGAACAGGAUUGACACUAUAAAAAGUUGCCCCAAUAUUGUCGCAGGAAAUGGUUGGCUUAUCCAUUGAGGAGACACCAAGCUCAUGGAGAAGGGAAUGAAGCCAAGCUAGUUCAACAGUAGUAGAGGCUAUGGCGCGAUAUUCUGCUUCCGUGGACGAUCUAGCGACAGAACGUUGUUUGCUAGAGCUCUAAGAGAUUAAGUUGCCACCCAAAUAAAUGACAUAACCCGUGGUAGACUUACGAUCAUCACGAUCACCAGCCCAGUCAGCGUCUGAGAAAGCAUAUAGACGAGAUGAGGUAGUGCGGCGGAAGAGAAUGCCAUGAAAAAUAGUGCCUUUCAGAUAGCGGAGGAGACAUUUCAAGGCCUGCCAAUGAGACUCAGUUGGUCGAUGCAUGAACUGUGAGAGUUUAUUGACGGUAAAUGAGAUGUCAGGGCGGGUAAGACUGAGGUAUUGGAGACCUCCAACAAGUUGUCGAAAGGUAGUAGCAUCAGUGAGAGGAGAGCCAUCAGAAAGAAUCAAAGGAGUAGAGGUAACCAUUGGUGUGGUCACAUCCUUAGCACCAUCCAUUUUAGCUUUAGCUAGAAGAUCAUGGAUGUAUUUAUGUUGAGAAAGAAACAAACCCAUGGUGGUGGGUAUCACUUCAACCCCAAGGAAAUAAUGAAGGUUCCCCAAAUCUUUGACAGAAAAACGAUUUGCCAAGGCUUGAAUGAAUGUAGAGAUGAGCCUGGUAUUAUUUCCUGUAAGAACAAGAUCAUCAACAUAAACUAGAAGGAAGAUCACAUCAUUAGCCUGACGAAAAAUAAAGAGAAAGGUAUCUGAGAUGGCAUUGACAAAUCCUUGAUUGAGCAAAAAGGCGCUCAACUCCUUGUACCAUGAUCGGGGUGCCUGCUUGAGGCCAUAUAAAGCUUUGUGGAGUUUGCAGACAUGUGUUGGAACAGUAGAUUCACCGAACCCUGGGGGUUGCACCAUGUAAACAUCCUUAGAGAGUGAUCCAUGCAAAAAAACAUUAUUCACGUCUAAUUGACGAAGAGGCCAACCAUGAGUGAGAGCCAAAUGAAGAACAAUACGGAUGGUGGUGGGUUUGACAAUUGGACUGAAGGUGUUUAAGAAAUCCACGCCAGGACGUUGGUGAAAGCCUUUAGCAACAAGGCGUGCUUUGUACCUAUUAAUGCUGCCAUCAUAAUGUCUUUUGAUGCGGAAGACCCAUUUGCACCCCAUAAGAUUCUGUGAAGGUUGAGGAGAAACAAGCUCCCAAGUGCCAUUGCGGAUUAACGUAUUGAACUCGUCGGACAUGGUUGCACGCCAAAGAGGAUCUUUGAUAACCUGAGAAACACAUGUUGGUUCAAUGGGAGAAUGAAGUGGGUAUUUGGUGGCAGUGCAAAGUUGUUUAGGUUUAAAGAUAAUGUUUUUGGCUCGGGUGGUCAUGGGGUGAUGGUUGAAAUUAUUUGGUGGUAGUGGUGGGGGUAAGGGAAUGAUAUAUGUGGGUAUGAGAUGAUGUGGUGAUGGGGGGUGAGCAGUCGCAGAUGGUGAUGGUGCAGGGGAAAGACACAACUCCGAGACCUCCGAAGACGUUUGAGUGUCAGCAUGCUGAGAAGAUGAGGUGUGUGAUGGAACCGGUGGUACCUCGGGAAUGUGAGCAGGAAUGGAGAUGGCUGCUGUAGUGACAAUAGACCAUGCAGUGGAGUUGAGGGAAGGAACUACGGAGUCACGAGAAGAAAAAGGAAAAGUGUUUUCGUCAAAUCGAUCGUGACGGGAAACAAACAUAUGACGGGAAGGGAGAUCAAGACAUAGAUAAGCACUUUGAGUAGAGGAGUAACCAAGAAAGAGACAUGGACGAGAUCGAGGAAGAAACUUGUUGGAAUUGUAGGGUCUUAACCAAGGGAAACAUAAGCAACCAAACACACGAAGCGUAAUGUAGUUAGGAAGAUCACCAAAGAGAGCUUUGUAUGGAGAGAUAUUAUUGAGAACAUGAGUGGGCAUCCUAUUAAUAAGAUACACAGCAAUUUUGAAAGCAUAUGACCAAUAAGUUAGGGGUAAGGAUGCUUGGUGGAGAAGUGUUAACCCUGUUUCGACAACAUGACGGUGGCGGCGUUCAGUAACACCAUUGUGUUCGGGAGUGUGUGAAGGAGUGGUGAGGUGAGUGAUGCCAUUUGUGGAAAGAAAAUUCUUGAGUUUAACAUAUUCUCCCCCUCCGUCAGAGUAAAAGGUGAUUAUUUUGGUGUGGAAGUAGUUUUCUACAAGAGCUUUAAAGGUUGUGAAGAUUGAAAAAACAUCGGAUUUGUGUUUCAUGGGAUAAAACCAAAUAUAUUUCGUGAAAUGAUCCACAAAGAUAACAUAGUAUGAAAAACCAUCAGUAGAUAAAUAGGGAGCAGGACCCCAUACAUCACUAUAAAUUAGUUCAAGGGGGACGCUUACUAACAAGCGUAGAAUGACCAAACGGGAGCUUGUGGCUCUUAUUGCAAUGACAAGAAGUGCAAACAGAAGGAGUUGAAGACAUAGGAAUGGAGGAGGUACGUUGGAUUUGAAGGAAGGUUCGAUGGUUGGGGUGACCGAGUCGACGGUGCCACACAUUGGAGGAGUCCAUCACACUGCUCAUAACUUGUUUUUGAGGCAUCAAGCACGGCCACUCAUAUGUAUCGUCCUUAUUCGGGCCUCGAAAAAGUGCCGCUCCCGUGUUGAGAUCCUUGACAAGAAAGAAAUCAGGAAAAAAUCAAUAGAGGUUGCAUUUUGUCUAUUAAUUUUGGCAAUGGAAAUAAUACUACGAGAAAUGGAAGGAACACACAAGACAUUAUUUAAGUGAAAUGGGGUGGUAGAGGAAGAAGAGAGUGAUGUGGAACCAACAUGUGUAAUACUCAAACUUGUUCCAUUUCCAAUAAUAAUCUGAUCAGGACCAUCAUAGGUAGUGGAGUCCGGGAUGUUCUUGGAGUCAAAGGUGACAUGGUGAGAGGCACCCGAGUCGAGCAGCCAAGGAGAUGAUGUUGAGGAGCGGAUAGUGGUGUGAUUGACCAUAGGUGGAGCGGAAGAAAGUUGAGGGCAACGUUUUGCACUAUGCCCUUGAGUACCACACCAUUGACAGAAACCACGAUACCCCGUACCGGAACAACGAUUAUUGGAGUUGUGAUUGUUAGCACGGUGAGAGUUGUAGGUGGUAUUCGUUGAAUGUUGUUGGGAGGCUUGUGUGGACCUGAAGUCACACUGGGAGGAGCGGGGAGCUUGAGCAACAAGGGCAGUCAUAGGAGUAACAACAGCUAGUGGUGCAUCCCGUUGGAGGAAAGUUUCAUGUUCAAUGAGUUUGUCAUACAGAUUCUCAAAGGAGAUGGAGGUAUCGCUAGUCCGAACAACGACAGCUAUUUCUUUGAAGGCAGGUCCAACACCAUUGAGGACGCGUAGAACAACAUCAUCGUCGGAUAGUGGAGAAUCAAUGAUGGCAAGCUCAUUGAUGAUAACUUUGAUAGCUUGUAGAAAAACUGACACAGGUUGUGUAUCAUGACGCAUAAGCGUAAGACGCUAUUUGAGGUUGAGAACCCGAAAGCGUGUUUUAUUGGCGUAGAGCUUGGUGAGCUUGUCCCAAGCCUCCUUGGAGGUUUUAGAGGAGGAAAUGAGAGAUAUAAUCUGUUCAGAGACAGAAGCUAAGAUAGCAUGUAGUAGGAGCUGAUCUUGAAAAAUCCAAAAGGUGUAGGACACGGCAGAUGAGGCAACAAAACAUGGUUUUGAUCCAUCAAUGUAACCCAUCAGGUUAUAUCCAAGAAGCAGGGCAUUGAAUUGAGCUCACCAGGAAGGAAAGUUGGUGGGUGUGAGUUUUAGAGGUAACUGAGCAGCAGCGCUAAUGGUGACAGGUGUGGGCAAGGGAAGUGAGUUGGUGGAUUCAGCCAUGAGGAUUGGAAAGAAAAAAAUGCUCGAUGGAGUUUUGUUGCUCUUGAUACCAAAUUAAGGUGCUCGAUGGAGUUUUGUUGCUCUUGAUACCAAAUUAAGGUGAGUAUGAAUGUAUAUUCAGUUACAUUACAAAUGAUUUACAAGUGCUCUUUAUAGGAGCCAGACAACAAUCAAUCAUUCAUGGCUAAUGGAAGCAAUCAUGAAAGGACAGCUAGUGGACUUAGACGGCUUAGUGGACAAGCAGGUGAGUAGAAGAUUCCCUUUUACAAAGAACCAGCUGAAUCCAACUUCACCUUAUGUGCAGGUCAGCAAUAAAGUCUGACAACCUUCAAAUGCACGGUGAUUGGGUGAGAGAUGUAGCGUGGGCACCCAGCUUGGGACUACCAAAGUCCACGUAGUCGCAAGUGCUUCACAGAAUCCCUUGCCAUUUGAAUGUAGUCUCUGAAAUCCCCAAUUCCAAUUCCAAUCCCAAUUCCAAUCCCAAUUCCAAUGUUGAUUCUUCGUCACCAAUAAAGGGAAAGGGAAAGGGUCAUGGCUACUCUGGCUCACGCCCUGCUCGGCAUUCCAUCGCACUGUGGUCUUUGCCGGGCCGUUAAUCCCAAGGACAAUUACAAACUAUGUGUUUAGGGUUUUCUAGAGCAAUUGCUGGCUACAGAAUCUUCACUUCCAGGUAGGGAUGGGCAAAUACCCAUUGGUUAUGGGUAACCGCGGUUACCCACUCAUUUAAAUUAAAUAAUUAUGGUUAUGGGUAACCGUUUAGAUAAAUAAACGGUUAUGAAUAUAAUCGUUUACCCGCGAAAUUUAAAUGGACGGUUAAGGGUAUUAACCGUAGUUAUAAAUGGGUAACCGUUUACCUAUUUAUUUUAUAUAUGUAAAAUUAACACAAAUCAUGUUCCCUAUCAAACAAAACUUAAAUCAAUGCUAUUGACUAUAGUACAUGAUUUCUGUAGCAUAAAACCUAUAUGAUGUGCUCAAUAACUUAUAUUUCUAUUACUCUACUUUUUAAUACAAGCCUACAUACCAAGCAUAAAACCUUUUCGGCAAGCCACACACUGUUUGGCGCUAGCCAACAUGCAUUGUUUUAUUUUUUUACACUAUGCUAAUUACAAGUGCAUAUUGAUUAUGUCGGUAACAUAUAUAUGCUUAUGUGCCGAGACAUAGCCAUCACGGUUUUACAUGAUAUAUUUAUAUGUACAAAUUAUUAGUCAUAUAAUUUUAUUUAGAAACAUACUACUAGAGAUAGGCAAAAACUCGCAGUUAUGGAUAACAACAGUUACCCGCCCAUUUAAACUUCAUGGGUUACGGUUAUGGGUAACCGUUGAGAUACAUAAACGGUUAUGGGUAUAACCGUUUACCCGUGAAAUUUAAAUGGGUGAUUAUGGGUAUUAACCGCGGUUAUAAACGGGUAACCGUUUACCCAUUUAGUUUAUAUAUGUAAAAUUAACACAAACCAUGUUGUCUAACGGACAAAAUUUAAAUCAAUGCUAUUGACUAUAGUGCAUGGUUUAUAUAGCUAAUUAUAAUAUAAUGUAGCUCAUUAUAUUUAUUAUGUUAAUACUUUACAUAUUAACAUUAUGAGUUAAAUAACCCAAGAAUAUUGUCUUCUAAACAGUUUUCAUAACCCAAGAAAACUUAGCAAAUAUUAUAUUACAUUCAUUGGUAACAGUUAGAAAUAUCGUUCGUAAAUUAUUAUUUCAAUUAUUGAAAUGAUAUAAGGAUUUAAAAAAAAAUUAAAAUACGGAAAUGUAUAAUGGUGUUUAAUUGUCAAAAAAAAAAAUUAUGACAAUUUUUUUUUUAAUUUUCAAGUUGUUAAAUGUAGACGGGUGAAAAAGGGGAAAUAGUAAAAAAUAAAAUAAAGAUAAACGAGUUAAAAAAGGUAAAUAGGUAAAUGGGUAUUAAACAGUUACGGUUAAAUGUGUAUGCGGUUAUGGGUAUGGUUAACUGUUUAUAAACGGGUAUGGGUAUGGGUAUAAUCGUUUAGGCAAUUACCCAAUGGGUAAACGGUUAUGCAGGUAUGAGCAUAAACGAUUAAGGAUAAAUAAUCGCGGUUACCUGUCCCUCGUAACCAUUGUCCAUCCCACUUCCAGGUUCCUACGAGGAAGAAGGAGGUUGGUAAUCUCUCCGGCCCAUGGGCACUGAAUGCAGCUGACGCCCUCAUCGUUAUCCACAGUGCUCCGGCUCACACCACUGUCGAAAUCCCCGUUGCCUGUUACCAGGUCACUGCUUCAUUCCACUGAUAAAUUGAUUAUCUUUAAUUUCUCUCUGUUUGUUUUGAUAAUUUUUUGAAUUGGGUACUGAUUGAAUUGUUAUUUGUGGGCUAUCUUGUAACAAUGUAUGCGAGAUGCGGUAAGCUUGACUUGGGGGAACAGGUUUUCAGUAUGAUGAAUAAGAAGCAUGUUGUUUCAUGGAGUUCCUUGAUCUCAAGUUAUGGCAUUCAUAGAUAUGGGAAAAAGGCAAUACAAAUUUUUGAAGACAUGAUCAAUCAUGGAGUUUCACCGAGUCACAUUUCAUUUGUUAGUGUCUUGGGGGCUUGUAGUCACGCAGAUCUUGUUGAAGAGGGGGAAAUAUUGUUUGAUUCUAUGGUUAAAGAACAUGGAUUAUAUCCCAGUGUUGAGCACUAUGCUUGUAUGGUGGAUCUUCUUGGUCGUGCCAAUCGGUUAGAUGAAGCAGCCAAAGUCAUAGAUAAUAUGCGGAUUGAGCCAGGAGCUAAAGUUUGGGGCGCUCUUCUUGGAUCAUGUAGAAUACAUUGAAACGUUGAGCUAGCGAGAGAGCAAGUAGAAGGCUAUUUGAGCUUGAGCCUAGGAAUGCUGGGAACUAUGUACUUCUAGCUGAUAUUUAUGCUGAAGCCAAGUUGUGGGACGAUGUAAAAAGAGUGAAGAAGCAUUUAGAAGCUCGAGAACUCCAAAAGGUCCCAGGUCGGAGUUGGAUUGAAGUUAAAAGGAAGAUAUACUCAUUCAUUUCCAUUGACAAGUUUAACCCACAGAUGGAGCAGCUCCAUGCAUUGUUGGCUGAAUUGUCGGCAGAGAUGAAAGACCAGGGAUAUAAGCCGCAAACUAAAGUUGUCCUGUAUGGUCUCGAUGAGGAAGAGAAGGAACGAAUAGUAUUAGGCCAUAGUGAAAAAUUAGCAGUUGCAUUUGGACUCAUAAAUUCCAAAAGAGGGGAAACUAUUAGGAUUUCCAAGAACUUAAGGUUAUGUGAAGAUUGUCACCCCGUUACAGAGUUCAUUUCUAAAUUCGCCAAUAGAGAGAUUCUGGUUCGAGAUGUGAAUCGGUUUCACCAUUUCCGUGACGGGGUUUGUUCAUGUGGAGAUUAUUGGUAGUUCCAGGUAGAUAUUUUUUCCUAAUAUAUAAAGGGGAGACUUUCGAGGUUUAUAGAGAUCUUAAAGGUGUAUAGUGUAUACUAGGAACACCGUUAAGAAUUAAUAAAAAAAUUUGAUAUUUUAUGAUUCAUAUGUUGGUUUGUGAUCUUGUAACUCUCUUCUCUUCUUUGUACUCAAUUGGAUUGACAUCCAUAAAUUAAAUGAUUGAUCCGUAAACACAGAUUACAUGUGCAUUCUUUUCAUGGUGGAUGUACAAUGGAACGAAGGUGGUCCGAGGACCACUCAAGGCUGGGAAAGAAGCAUGUGACGGUCCUACGGAGAUCCUCCGAAUAUUUGGUACAAGUUUCUUUUUUACCAAGUGUGAUGUAAUGCCUGUUAGGCAUAUUCACGGUAGCACUUGGCAGGUUGUGUUGACAACAUUCAAUAAAUGCCCUCGAUAGCACUCAUGAAAUUGCUUCGGCAAAUGUUGAUAUUUGUUGACAUAUGCAUAAUAUGGUUCAAUUAGCGAUAGCAAGCCCACUAAGUGCUCCAUUUAUUAUAAAACCAAAGGGUACGUAGCUCAAUUGGUAAACUUUUUCUUCAAACAAGGGGUAUGUUGCUCUGAUACAGAGUUUUCACCCCUGGAAGGUCCCGACUCCUGAGUUCGAUUCUUCCUUCCCCCAAUAUCGCUUGUACAAAGAAAGAAAAAACAUAUUCAAACAACUUUUCUUAAAUUCAGGCAUCAAUAGUUGAUAGCAACUUCUGAACAUUCGUGCGCCAUUGCGGAUAAAUUUAGAAAUCUGAACAUGAACAAUGUAAUGUUCACCGUCUCUUGAGAGAUUGUGCAGAAACAAACACUUGAAUUCAAAGCUUGAGGAAGCCCUUCUCUUUGAGGCUUUCAAUAGUGUCCCUAAGACUUACUUCCAAUGGAAGAAAAUUAACUCCCAAACUUUUUGCUUUUUCCUUUGAUAUUUGAUAGCCUGGUUCACAAGGUUUGUCAUCAUCACAUCUGCCAAACAAUGCAAGAAACAGAUAUUCCUUAAAAAUUUACCUCAUUCGGCGAGCUUUGAUCAAUGGCGUAUUUAAUGAAUAAGAAAACUGGGAAUUUGAUCGACAGCAAUCUUUUGAAGAUCGAUCCGCAUAAACUUGAAGAAACAAAAUACAAAUUUGUGGGAUUUUGAAAAUGAAAACUUACUUUUCAGGUGGGAAAAAAGUGGGAUGGAGUUCAUGUAAAAUACUCAGAGCCUUGGACAUGGGUGUAACAUGGCCAACGAAACAAUAUCUGCCACUAGCCGAAGGGACUUCAAAUGCUUGAACAUGAGCAAAGGCAACAUCUCUGACAUCACUAGAUGGAUAAUUUGAACUGAUUAUACUUGGGAUAUCUGCAUAGAAACGAAACAUUUAAAACUUGAAUCGCAAGAAAUACUUGAAACUUGCAUCGAAUCAUCUAAUUUGCUAGGAAACGGCCUGCGAGCAUCUACAAACAAUCAUGUUCUGCCCUAACCAAGAAAGAGAGAAAUAAUCCGGUUGUAGAAGUGUACCAUUUUUGAGAUUCAGAAUCAUCUCCACAGAGAGAUUAAGAGUUGGCUGUAGGAGCGGACCAAUCACAUAUGAUGGAUUGAUUGUAACCAAGUCAAUCCCAUUUUCUUUGGAAAAUUUCCAAGCAGCCUCCUCAGCUAAAGUUUUUGAAAGAAAAUACCAUUCCUGCACAUAAUUAGACAUGGAAAUUUCACAAAUUCAUUAAAGAAUAAAAGGUGAAAACUUGGAAGAAAAUAAUACGUAUGUAUGGGAACACACAAAACGUACCUUCAACUGCUCACAAAUUGCUUGAUCCGAAUACCAUGUUUCGUCAAUUACCACAUCAGGGUUCAAAGGUCUUCCAUUCACCAUGACUGCCGCCAUGGAAGAUGUUAAAAUCACUCUCUUGACAGUAGGAAAUUUUACGCACGAUUUUAGGACAUUGAGUGUGCCCUUCACUGCAGGGUCAGUUAGUUCUGUCUGGGACGCAGAACGAAAGAAUCAUUCAGUGUUUACAUAAAGAAUAUGUAUACUGAAAAGAGAGAAAGAGUCCGUACCAUUGGGUAACCUAGAAACUUAACAAGACUUUCAUGGCGAAAGCACACUUAGAGAUGGUUUGAGAGUGAGGUGCUUAAAAAAAAAAAACACUCAUGAAAAAAAGCUGUGAGAGUUUUAGGUGUUUGGUAAACUGAAAAAAAAAGGCUUAUUUUAGAAGCUGCUGUGAGAAUAAGCUGAAAUCAAAGGAAAAGCUGAAGCUGCUAUUUGCAGCUUUGGAAAACUGUUUUUUUUUCAAAGCACACGGAGCUACAGUGCUCCUUUAAUGAAAAGACCCACUAUCAGACUGCUUUUUUUAAUAAAAAAAACUUUUACAAAAAAGUUUACAAAACACUAUGCUGAUUUAUUUCACAGCCGCUUAUUCUCACAUCAGCUUUUUUUUCAAAACACAGCAAUACCAAACCAGCCCUUAGUCCUCGUAAUUUGAUAGGGUUCCCAAUCUGAUCAAAGUUCAACUAUAUAUGUAAGUAAAAGGAUGAAGUACCUGCGGAUCAGCGGCUGAAAGUUGUACAGGCGAUGCUGUAUGAAAAACACCUUCACAUCCAUCGACUGCAGGGUCGAAAGAUCCUUCUUCUAAUAAAUUUGCUUUGAACAACUGAAGCCUUUCUUUUGCUCCAUCAAGUGCGAGCAGGUGUUCUGUUUUCCUUGAAUCAUCUGCAUGCAUACACAAAACAUUCAUAAUAUGUCCUUGAAAUAAUCCCAAUUGCCAUUCAGCACUAAAAUACUCUAUCCGAAAAGAAUACUCAAAGAACUUGUAAUUAAUAUCCUUGUAAUAGAAGUAUUUUGUGAUUCAAAAAAAAAAAAAAAAAAAAAACGAAAAGAAAGUGUUUUGUGCUCUACCCAUAGAUAGCACAAUUUCUACCUCUUCCCUUGCUACAUCUUCGCCUUUACACGAGGGAAAUUAUUUCUGCACAUAUUUUUCAUAUUUUGCAUAUUCAUUUUAAUUUUGUCCUGAAUUUUGUCUCGCUAUAUUCAAUGUAAAAACUAAUAUAUAUAUAUAUAUAUAUAUAUAUAUAUAUCAAAAGACAAGAACUAGAAGCGUGUGAAAGUCAUUUUCCUUGACUAUAUUGCCCACUUGGCUAGUUGGCUCACUGCAAAAUUCAAUCCAUAUCUAAUUAUUUUCUUCAGAAUUUGAAAUUUCUUAUCUUAUAUAUGUUAUAUCCAAAACUCAAAAAAAUGCGGAUCGAUUUUUAGUUGAAACUACAAGUCUACAAUUCAUCUUCAAGUCCAGAGUAAAAUGAGCAUAAGAGUUCAUUGUUGUAACUUGUAACUUGCAGAGUCGGUCUUGAGACUUUAGGGGCCCGUGCCAAAGUGAAUUGAAGGCCCUAAAAAAUACUAAGAAUUUAAUUUUUUUUGUCAAAAUAAUAAUUUUAGUUUUUAAUUGAGCUUCUAUAAAUUCUAAUAGCACAAACAAAUUUAACAAAUUAACAGGCAGAAAGGUGGCGUAUUGUUUUUCCUUAACUAUUUAGAGGAUCAGGUUUUGAAUUUUCAUGUUAUUGUGUGGAAUUUUUAUAUUAUUUUAUGGAAGUUUAUGCAUUUAAUAAAAAUAUAAACUAACAAAAUGAUGGAGAUGAGUUUCGAACCCAUCCCCAUCCCCUAGGCCGAUGUAAAGAAGCAAUAAUUCCACUUACACUAAGACUUAAGUUUGUAAUAUUCUACACUUACUACUAUAUAUACGUAUAUGCAUGCAAAAUUGAAACAAACAUUUAUUUGUUUACCAAAAAAAAAAACAUUUAUUUUACUGCGUUAAUCGCUUGUGUUAAAAGUUACAUCGAAAUUUUGUUUACAAAAAUCUGAAUUUUCCUUCGAAAAGCAUUCAAAAGGAGUCUUUGGAUGAGAAAUAACUGAAAAGUGCUUUUAUACUGCAUAGAGACCAGUAAUUUUUCGUGGAAUUGGAUCCUCUCUUGAGCUCAGGAUGAGGAUUCUCUUGAGUAGCCCAUCUGGACCGUUGAAAUUUGAUCCAACGACUCUAAAUAAGGAGCCCCUCUAAAAGUUAUAAUAAUUGCAGCCGUUGAAUCAAGUUUAAAUAGCCUGGAUAGGUUGCUCAUGAGGAUCUCCAUCCUGAGCUGAGGAGAGGAUCCAGUUCCAUUUUUCGUUACCAAACAUUGUCAUAGGUGCAGUAUUCAUCUCUUACAGCCCUAGCCUCUAGGCCAUGAAUUGUUAAUCAAUAAAAACCCAGACUUUAAAUAAUGAAAUUUACUGAAACAAUGUAUAUAUAAGAUGAGCAAGAUUAUUAAGCAAGAAACUAAGAAAAUGGUAGGGAGGGAGAUAUAUAUACUGACUUGGUUCACGAACAGUGGCUUUGACAAUAUAACCUCGUUGCAGUAAGAGCUUCACCAGCCAUGAUGCUAUGUAACCGGAGGCUCCUGUUACGCACACCACCUUCCUCAUCUUCUCUCUUUAAAUCUCUCUCUCUCUCUCUGUCUCUCUCUAUGUGUGUGAAACUCAGAAAGAAGGUUUAUCUUAGACAUAUAGUUGCCAGAGUUGGUGCUUUUAUGGUGCGGUGAGAGAUCAGAAAUGUCAAUGAAGGCAGCGGCAGCUAAACACAGCAGUCGUUUAUUCUAAUUCGUAACAAAAAUGGAAACAAAUACUCGUUUAUCCUGUAUUACAUAAAAAAUAAUAUCUUGAGAAACUAUUAUUAACACAAUAAAAUAAAUCAUAGUCGUCUUUUGUAAAAUAUGUUAUUAUAUAUAGUGUUACUACUUAAGGAAAUUAAAUGGGUAAACUAAAUUUUGUAAAUCAAAUAACAUAAAUAUUAAUGCUUAGAUUAUUACUUAAUUACUGAGCAAUGUGUUUAUUUUUAUUGGUGAUACAUAAUUUAGGUUGCAAAAUUAGUUUACAUAUUUAGUCUUCUUAGCACUAGUUAUAAUAUUUUAAUAUUUAUAAACUGACCCUUUUUUGUAAAUAUUUCGCUCUAUUAAAUAAAAGUGAAAACGACCAAUACAAGAUUUCAUAGUAUCUAAUAUUCUUACCAUAUUUUAUAAAACAAAGUUGGAUUAAAGAUCUCAUAUUGGAUAUAUCAAUUUUUUUAUAUUUUUUAGUCAAGAAGUAAUUUUAUUACCAACAACAAUACAUUACACUCAAAGAGCCUAAAAAUACACUAAAUACAAAGAAACAUGGACCCAAAAACACACAAAAAAGCCCAAAGUCUACUUGGAGCCCAUCACUUGCAAACCAUAAAAAUAGGAAAAACCCUAAGCACCCACAGCUACUGGAGCUGCAUUCCCCACCGCUAAUGCUUCCCAAAAUGGAGCACACAGUGGCAGAACUAGAAUUUUAUGUGAGGAGGGGCCUCACAUACAUGUCCAAAAAAUAAAACAAAGAGAUAAUAUUGUUAAGAGAGUAGAAUACAUGCUUGAAUUGUUAGCUAAUUAAAAUUUUUUAGGCGCUAAAUUUUUCAGAAAUUAGCCUUCUAAUAUCAAGUCAAUAUAGAGAGUAAUUAAUUGAGAUUUUUCGAACAAAAAAAAGAGAAAAAUGGAUUGAGAAUUUAAAGAAAAAAAUAUAUGAAAUUUUAUAAAUUUAGUAAAAAGUUAAAGAGAACAUAUAGAUUUAUAAACAUUAAUAUUGUUUUGGGUUGGAAUUUGGAGGACAAAUAUAUGAAAUUUCACGAAGGAGAGGAGAAAAACUCAAAGUUUAUUAUUCUUCGUGUUGGACAAUGUGAAAAAAAUAUUUUUUGAUAAAACUAAAUAAGACUUUACAUUUUGAUUUUAAGAUUUGAUUUUUUUUUUAUAAAAUAAGAUGUUAAAUUUAGUUUUAAGAUGAGUGGUGUUGGAAUUGAAAAUAAUAAGAGACCUAUUAUUUUAAUUAUUGGUAAAUAGAAUUUAAGAAUUUUGUAUAGACUAAAAGAAAGAUAAUACUAAAUUUACCAAAAAAAAAGAAGAAGAAACAUAUUACAAAUUAUUUAGAAAGGAUGAAAAAGUGAGGGUAGGCCUAUGUAGUGCCUCCGCCACCAGACAUCAAACCAUCCAGAUUCUCAAAUUUAAAGAAGAAAUUGCUGCUCCAUCCUCCAUGGACCACCAAAAUGAACGCCAACAAGAAACAAAGGAAUCCAACCGGAAGUGAGAUCUGACAUCACCAACCAAGGCGAACAUCAGGAAGGACCAACAAAGGUCAACAAGGGCGGUGGUGUGAACAUCCGAGCCAAAACUCUAUAAACUCUCCAGUAAAAAUGCGAGAAAUCACAGGAAAAGGUAGGUGAAUUGAAUUAUGAGUUAAUGGAUAUAUCUAAGAGCCUGUUUGGUACUCUACUUGAAUCCAACUUUUUAAACUAAAAAACAAUUUUCAAGUUUUAGGCCUUAAAAAUUUGUUUGGUAGGACUAUUUUAAAAAACUGAACUCAACACUAACUAAAAAAUAUAGUCUAUUAUCUAAAAACACAAAAAGUGAGUUUUUAAACUUAAACUCACUCCUUUCUUUCCCCCCCCCCUCCCCAUCUCACUCCAAAUCUAUCUCUUUUCUUCUUUUCCUCCCCCUUCUCUUUUUUUUUAACAUUUUUAGUCUCUCCUCCAAUCUGCUCUUUUCAUUCUCUCGAUUUUUUCUCUCACUCCUCUUCCUCUCUAUCUCCUCCGAUCAUCUCACUUCUUUCUCUUUCUUCCAAUCAUCUCUUACUUUCUUUCCUCCUCACUCCUCUUUCUCUCCCGACCCUCUCUUUUUGGAUCUUUUUGUCCAAUUUAAGUUGUAAGAUUUAAAAAUUUUAAAUUGAAUACCAAACAAGUUUUCGAGUCUUAAAAAAAAUUGUUUUCAAGAAAAAUUCUUAAGAAAUGUUUUGAGAAAUUAUAAAAAAUUUCAAAUAGAAUACGAAACAAGCCCUAAUGUUUUAGCAUUGAUGAUUUUGUUCUGUUGCAUGUGUUUGUCAGUUGUCCCACUCCGCUAUUUUUAAGUUUCUAAAUUUUUAUUUUGAUAUAUAUAACGAUAUUUUGGCAUUUUACAUUGAACGGGUUUUGAAGUUUUUGUUACAUGUGCAUCUCUUCAAACCAUUCAAAACAAUUCUAUCCUUUUUUCUCUGCACAAUUUAUGUGAAAAAGAAAGAAUGAAUGACCAAGACAUGGUUUGGGUAGUUCCAAAUGAGGUACACUAAAUGUGCUAUGAACAUGACCAAAUGUGUCGGGAACAUAGUGUGGUACAUCAAGUAUAACAAUAUAAGUGGUUGAAUUUUAUUUUCAAGUAUCCAAUCACUUGUAUUGUGAUAAUUGAUAUAUCAAACCAUGUUUCUGGUUACUAAAAAAUCUCUCAUCUUUGUAUAUCUCUAACAAGUUUAGGUAUGUAAUUUAAUGGUAGAGUUGGUGGUUUCUUAUGGUGGAAAGUUAGCUGAACAACAUAAGUUACGAACUUAUGUAAUGUUUCAGUCAGAAAUUCAAAAAAUUUGAAAUCUCUAAAUGCAUUCCAAUUUCUAUUCCAAAUUUUCAAAAAUAUUCGUAUUUAGAAUUUUCGGGUUCGAAUUCACAAAUUUUAGAGUGGAAAUUGGAAAUACCGCUCCAACUUGCAUCUCACAUUUUAAUUUUAUUAGACUAGCUAUUGUAAUUACAGUGUGAAUCAUAGCUUAAUUCAGGGUUUAGACUUGUUCACGAAUUGGGGCGUGAAAGCUCAUCCUAACUAAAUUGUGUAGGUUUAUAACUAGGCAAUCAAAUAGGGUAAACAUAAUGAGGUCGAAUUAUAUAGGAGGCUUGGAAUUUUAUUAUUUCUUGUAUGCUUGUAAAGAUUAUUAUUUUUUAUAAGAUUUUUUUUAUUGUAGUUAUAUUUUAUCCUAUUUAGUUUUCAAUUAUUUAUUAAAUUUUAACCCUGAAUUCGGAUUCGAGGUUUUCACCGAUCCUAGGCCCGGGGUAUGACAACUACGAAUUACUUUGGUUGGUGAACCACAUGGAUUUUCAUGUACUCAAGAAAUCUUAGUUUUCAACAUGAUAAAUUCGAAUAUGGCUAGUUUUAUCAAAUUUAUAAAUGCGAGGGUGAAUAAUAUCUCAAUAGUAGAUACGGAAUUAUAUAUGUUUCCAUAACUUCACAACAAAAUUCGUCAUUUUUCACUAUAAAUAAACCCGAAUACUCUUCUCGAGAAAACAUUAGAAAUUCGUGAUUUCAUAGCAACUAACGAGUCACUCAAAAAGGUUUAGAACAAGAGAAUUAUUUUCAUAACACAAUCAAACUAGCUAUUGGUGUUGUUAAGUUUCUUUAGUCCUACAAAUCUAUAUCAUUUCAAGUUGUAUAUCUUUGAAUAUGCAUACCAAGAAUGAUGAAGUUCAUGUUCAAUCGAAUCGAUGAAUUACCAGAUUAUAUGAAUACGUUCUGCCCAGUUUAGGAUAUGACUAAUACAUCUCCUUUAUAAUUACUUUAAAAGUUCUUUUUAUUGUCCAUUCUAAAUGUUUUAUAAUUACUAUUCUGUAGUUUAGUGGUUGUAGGUAACCACCAAAGAAUCUCUUUCAUCCUCUUCUUCUUCGUCUUCCUCAUCAUAAGAGGAAGAGAGGGAGCUGCUAGCAGACUUGGAGGUCAAGCAGACUAGACUCCCAAUCUUUCUGGAUCUAAUGUGGCCUGUCAACGCCGGUGGAGAAGUGUGAAGAGAAUGGAGCAUCGGUUGGGGCUACGGAUGGACUACUCUUUGAACUUGCAAAGAAGAACAGGCACAUAAACUGUUUCAGAAACAAGUUUUUGGAAUUUUGGAGAGGUAAUAAUAUUCAUGUGCAUAGAAGGAUCAGAGGGUAUGUUGCUGUAAUUUGUAUUGCCAAUUGUAAAGGAAGUUUUCGUUGUUGUAGUCAGUUUUUUAGUCAACUAAUUAGAGGACUUAGCUUGUGUAUGUUACUAGAUUGUAUAGGUUUUGUAGUUACACACAAAUUUUCUUCAUAUAUAGUAGGUACUAAACAAUACUUUAGUUUGAGUAUUUAAAUAUUCAAAAUCCAAAAGCCUUUUUUUUUUUAAAAAAAUAAAUUUGGAAAACCUCUAUGGUACGAGGGAAAUUUUAUUGAUAAAAUAAAAUUAAGUUACACUUAGUCACGGGAGACAUAAACCUAAUCCCUCAUAGUACAAGGAAAAAAAAAAGCAAAAAAAAAAAAAAAAAAAAAAAAAAAAAGAAAGAAAAAAACAUGAAAAAGAAAGGAGGACAUAAAACCUUACCCUUCUAGAAACAAAAACAAUAAUGGUACAGGGAAAAAGGGGGGGGGGCAUGAAACCUAACCCCUCUAAAAGCAAACCUAAAAAGGUCUAAACUUGCAAAACAAAUCAAGCAACAUCACAUGUUAAGAAAAGAACAUAAGAAAGUCAGACAAACAUGUAUGCCGAGAUGCACAUUAAGUUGAGAAGCGGAAGCUAGGAAACCCAACAUAGUUUGAAAACAAAGCAGCACGAGCCGCCAUUGGAGGGGAAUCAUGCAAUACCAAAGUUGGUGAAGACAAGCCUAUGUUAGCAAAAUUGUCUGCAACAACGUUUCCCUUGUGAUAUAUAUGAGAGGCGUAGAAACUCGUCUUCCGAAUAUAGUCCAAACAAAUAGACCAUUGUGUACAAAGAGGCCAAGGAGGAACAAAAUCAAUUAAUUGGAGAGCAUAAAUAACACUAGAAGAGUCACUUGCCAACCAAAGACAAUGUCAACCCAACUGAUAUGCAAACUCUAUACCAAUAAUAAUUGCUGAUAAUUAUGUAAAGAAAGAGUUACGAAGACCGAUCCCUUGGUAGAAACCACCAAGAAAUUGACCAUGACAAUCCCUGAAAACUCCUCCACAGGCAGCGGGACCAAGAUUUCCUUUACACAAACCAUCUGUAUUAAGUUUAAUACAAGGAAAACAAGGAAAAGACUAAAGCACAGGACGAAUAGCCGACACCUUGCGAGGAAUAGGUUGGAUUCACAAAGAAGAAAUGAUACGUGUGUCAAAACUCUGAGAGUAACCAGGAAUAAACUUCCCACCAUGCACGAUCCCAGAGUAUAUAGACAUGCAAAGGCGAUGAAAAUAUAUUGGGCGACCCUAAAAAAUAGACUUAUUUCGAGCUUUCUAAAUAGCUGAAAUAGUAGAAAGACCCACAAAAAUCCAGAGAUUAUGCAACUAUUUGGAAAAAGGCUUAUGUAUAUAAGCAUCCCAAAAGAUAGCCAAAGAAUCAGAUAAAGGCAAAUAGGUACCAAAUUGACAUGCUAACCACCUUUGAAGUUGCUUGAUAUUCGACAACCGAAGAAAAGAUGAACAGGAGGUUCUCAGAAUUAUGACAUAAACAACAAAUGGACACCAAAGAAAUUCCACGUCAUUGUAGUGCACCUUCGAUAGGAAGUUGUCCUGAAAAAGAUGCCAAGCCAAAAUAGAUAGUUGAGGCGGAAUAAAAUGUCGCCAAAUAACUUUAGCCUAAGUACAAUCCGUAUGUUUUCGGCGAAUAAUAUGACAGCUAGAAGAAAAGGAAAAUUUCCUAGUAGACGUAGGUUCCUAAAUCAAUUUGUCAUCUUCUACAUUUAAAGGCAAAGGUAAACGUAGAAUCUGUUGCACCACAUAAGGGAAUAAAUCUCCAAAAUAAUCUGGCAAAGACCAACUUUGAGCUUCAAUAACAUUUAAAACCCUAGGAGGAACUGUAGGUGAAAUGACCAAAGCGAAUGAAGGGCCAAUAAUCGGGCCAUCCAACCAUUUGUCGAACCAAAAAGAAACUGAUCUCCCAUCACCAAUAAUCCAGCGACUAUUGUUAUUUAGAAUAGGCAAAGUGCGCUUCAAACCAUGCCAUACAGAAGAUCGUAAAUAGAUAUCUUGCUUUUUGUAAGGUGCAAGAGGAAAACAUUGGCGAGCAAAAGAACCCUACAAAGAAGAGGAUUGUAAAGCAUCCUAGCCAAAACUAAGCAAAGCCGUCAAGUUUAAAACAACCAAAUCAUAAAGACCAAGCCCCCCCUUCAUGCUUAGGUCCACAUACCAUACUCUAAUCAACAGUUACUAACUUUCGUGUUGCCAAGUCCCCUGACCAAAUAAAAUUCCUUGCACAAGCAGAAAUAUGCUUUAAAAAGCAAGCUGACCAUUGAUAAACUGAGAAGCUAUGAAGAAACAAGCUUUGAUAAAUAGAUUGUACCAACUGGAGUUGUCCAGCCAUUGAGAGAAGUUUACCUUUUCAACCUGAAAGUCAAGUUUUAACCUUAUCUACCAAAGCUUGGAAGUGAAUUCUACUUGGCUUACCACGAAAAAUGGGUACCUCAAGAUAAGUGAAAGGAACAACACCUAUACGAAAGCCAAGAUAUCUCAAGACAUGCACUCUACGAUGGGCAGAGGUAGAGUCGAGAUAAAAAGUAUCCUUAGUUGCAUUAACAAGUUAUCCUGAUGCACAACCAGACUCAUCCAAAAACUUUCGAAGAGAACGAAGAGAUCGAUCAUUCCCACGACAAAAAAGUAAAAAGAUCAUUAGCAUAUAUCAUAUGAGUUGGAGGUCAACAACCCCAUGGAGUUGAAAUAGUAGUGAUCUAUUCAGUAAAGAAAAGCACAGAUAAACCUCUGCUAGACAGAAAAGAAGUGGAGAAAGAGGAUCUCUUUGAUGUACACCUUGAGAGUAAGAGAAAAUUCCAUGAGGUGUGCCAUUUAUCAAAAUUGAAAGACGAGGUGACUGUAACAAAACAUGCACCCAAUCCACAAAAAUAUGAGAAAAUCCAAAGCUAGAAAGCACGUGGAGAAGAAAAUUCCAGUUUAAAGUAUCAAAAGCAUUAGCAAUAUCAACUUUUAUGCCCACAUUACCACUUUGUCCAUAAAAUUGAAGCCUUCUGAAACUAGCCCAAUGCAGUCAGAAAUACGUCUACCCUUAAAAAAUGCCAUUUGCUGAGGAGAAAUUAUGCGAAUGGCAGCCCCAUCAACUUUAAGGAUAAGCACCACAAAGUUGCAAUUAGCAUUAGGAUAAAGCCAGUCACGCUUAAAAAAAUCUUGAACAAAAGCAAUAACAUCAAAACCAAUAAUAUCCCAGCAUGACUGAUAGAAAAAACCAGGAAAACCAUCAGGUCCUGGAGCACUCGAAUGAUCCAUAGAAAAAACUGCAUUUUUAAUCUCAUCAGCUGAAGGUAAAUAAUAAAAGGCGAGAUUUUCCUUUUCAUUAACCAUAGGUGGAAUUACACCACAAAUAUCUUCAAUUCCACUUGGAAUGAACAAUAAGUUAUAUAAAGAUUGAUAAUAGUUUAACACAUGACCAACAAUAUCAAUAAGGGAAGAAAGUACAUUAUCACCAUCCAAAAGAGUAACAAUCUUGGAAGAUGAUCACUCCAGAAAGCUUCUUGCAUAUGAAGAGCAUUGAGGACAGUUGUCUUAGCAACAACUUCCUCAUUAAACCUCUUUUCAGACUUCCCAUUAGAAGAAAUAAUAUUUUGGAUGUUAUGAAGUCUUUAAUUAGCAAAAGUAACAUUUCUAUGAACAUUACCAAAAAGAUUAGAGUUCCAAUCUCAAAGGCAGUGCUUAAGAACCUUGAGCUUUUCCAACAUAAUAAACAUGGGACACCCAUAGGCAAUAGUUGACUGCCAGCACUUUACAACCAAAUCCAAAAAGCCUGAAUGUAAAGUCCACAUGGAUUGAAAUCGAAACGGUAGGGGCCCUCUAAGAACCUUAGCAGAAGCUGAGAAAACAAGACAAUUAUUAUCAGAAACUACCUUGGGUAAAGCUGAACAACUAGUAUGAAGCCAAGACUAUAACCAACGUGUGUCACAAAGAGAGCAGUCAAGACACCUCUCCAUAUACACACGGACACUCCAACCAUUAGCUCAAGUAUAAAAAGUACCAUUUGUGGAUGCAAAUUUCUUCCUCUUUGUUCUUGGACAAAAUUGCACCUACAAAACAAAUAACACCUUAGGUUAAGGCCAAUAGCAUCAUGCGCCCACGAUGAAUUGGGGGGGGGGCUUGGCCGAAGAACCUCCGAUGCAAAAGUUAGAAUUUUAAGGGAAAAAUGUUUGGAAAUUUUUGAGUAUUUAGUAAGAGUGUAGACCUAGGUUUUUAGAGAAAAUGGGAGAAGGUGGUUGGCCCUUUGUGGUGUUUUUGAGUGUAUUUUGUAGUUAAUUGGUAGUUUGAUUAGCCAUUAAUAGAUUAAUUAGGUAAUAAAUCUAUUAAUUAGCUAAUUAACAUAAUUUAAAAGUAAUGUUUUGGGGGUUACCUUGUGGAGAACAUGGAUGAAAUAGGUUUUGAAUAAAUACCUAUUUUGGGCACUUUUGAAUUGAUUAUGGGAUGAUUGUCCACUGCUCGCUCGUGGGAAUUUCGGUGCUUCUCAAGGGUAAUUUUGUCAUUUCUACCCAAAAAUCCACGUGUUGUCUCUUGAUUAUUUUUGGCUCCACAAAUGCCCCCACACCUAUUGGGCUGUUCGUAGGAAAGGGUAGCAGGUGCAGAGAUCUCCAACUUUGAUGCAGAUUCUCUGUUGGACUUGGAAUUAGAUUCUUCUAGGAAAGAGAAAUAAAUCGCCUCCAAAGCUUAUUUAAGCCUACCUUAAGUAGGGGAUUAAAUCAACUUCGGAGGGCAAUUAUUUAUCCCUACAAGAAAGAGAGAAAACGAUAUUUGUUCCCCCUCCCCUAGCACUUUUCUUUGCUUGCCCGUGCAAAGAACCGUCUUCCGUUGAUUUCUUUUUCUUCGUCGCGCCACAUUGAUGUAAGAAAAACUUAAUUCUUAUUGUCUUCUUCUUGGGAGGUGCUGCCACGGGGCAGCCAUCAGGGUGGUGCGGCACGUCGGCUGGCAGGGGCCAAGAGUCGGCUUGGCAUAAGCCAAUGAGGUGGUGUGGCAUGGGCCAUUGCUUGUGCUGUUUGGCUUAAUUAAAGCCAAGGAUUGGCUCGGCAUGGGCCGAGGAAGUGGCGUGGCAUGGGUAACGGUUUGGGCUGCUUGCUAAAAAUGAGGAAAUUGCUUAAGUUUGAUUUAUCAGCUGCCAUAGAUAGAAUAGUCAAGGGUAGAGCUGCCAAGAUCGGAGCUGUUGAAGAUGAAGUGUCGGAUGAGCGACUGUUAAGUGCAAAAAUGGCUGCUGCCCCCUGACCAUUUGAUGCCUAGUUAAUCUUCAAGCAUUCGAUCUUUUGAGCUAUGUUGCCUUCUCGCACUGGAGAGCUUACCCAUAUGGGUGUCGGGGAAUUAGUUUACCAUCUCGCACUUGAGAGCAAUUAGUUUACCCUCUCGCACUGGAGAGCAAUUAGUUUAUCCUCUCUCACUGGAGAGCAGACCCAUAUGGGUGUCGGGAAAUUGGUUUACCCUCUCGCACUGGAGAGCAAUUAGUUUAUCCUCUCGCACUAGAGAGCAGACCCAUAUAGGUGUCGAGGAAUUGGUUUACCCUCUCGCACUGGAGAGCAAUUAGUUUAUCCUCUCGCACUAGAUAACAGACCUAUAUGGGUGUCAGGGAAUUGGUUUACCCUCUUGCAUUGGAGAGCAAUUAGUUUAUACUCUCGCACUGGAGAGCAUACCCAUAUGGGUGUCGGGUAAUUGGUUUACCCUCUUGCACUGGAGAGCAAUUAGUUUAUCCUCUCGCACUGGAGAGCAGACCCAGAAAGGGUUUUUAGCAGUUGUUGUGGAUAGCAGUUGAGGAAAACUGGACUGCUGGACAACUGAAAUAAUCCUCAGCCUGCGAGGUCUUGUUUGGUGAACUGCUUGAGACUUCGAACUACUUGUGGAACCCACGUAAAGGUGUAAUCGCAGUGAGCUGCUCCUAGAAUUAUUGCGCCAUCAUUAGGUGUUUCGUCGUGUGCCCUUUUGAGGCUUGGUUAACGCAAGCACCAUGGUAAAAUCGACACGGCUGUGAGUCGUGGUGCAAGAUUGGCACAGUUAUGAGCCAUGUGAUAAUUCAAUGGCUGCCAGGAGCCGUGGAGCAGGUAGACAUGGAUGUGAAAGAAGGGCUUGGGCCAGGUUGCGCAUCAAAAGGAAUUGGACCACUAGGUCCGUGAUGAUCGGCUAUUGAUGAUGUGCUGCUUCAAUAUUAAAUCGUCUGGAGUGUUGAGAACAAGACAUGCCCUCGAUUCUUGGUAGUUGGGCUGGUGUGUCAUUCAAGUACUCAUCUGCCCCCGGUUUGCCAUUAGGCUGAGCUGCUGCGUUUGUCGGAACAUAAGUAGUCUUUGUAUCCGACAAUCUAUAUGGGGUAGUCCCGUCUGCUCGAUCUUGUCAUUGAAAUAUGACUCACUUAUGUUGGUCAUGUCUCAUCGAAGUGCCUUGUCAAUAGCUUCGUUACACGGGAAAUCGCGUAAUCGCUUGGUCAGAAGCCUUUAUACUUCUUCUUGAAUUUUCCUUUAUUGGGGGUGGCAGAGCUCUCGGCUGCCCCCGGUCGUUACCUGCUGGUAUAGGCUGCUCAUCCAUGUGUUUGGCUUGUCUACGGCUCGGCUGCGAUGCAUGUGGUAUGUUCCUAACUGGCGAGUAGGUAACUCGCAGGCUGUUGGCUGAACUUGAGCCAGAUUGAGAGACUGCUUCUUUCCGUCUGCUGUGCUGCCUACUUUGAUGUAAGGUGAAAAAUGCUCUUUGCGGGCAUUGCCGCAAAUGAACACUUCGCUUGGAAGGUUGCUCAUGUUGAUUAUCUGAGUGUGGCCCCAACCGUGAGUGUAUGUUUAUCCGUGGGCCUAACUGAAAAUGCAUGCUCCUCCAAGCUCUAAGACGGAAGUAUACGCUAUCUCGAGGGCCUAGUCGGGAAUGUACUCCGUUAGAACGCUCGGUUCGUGACUGGUCAAGUGGCUGCCUGCUGGGACGCUGCUGAAGAGAUUCUUCGUUUGCCCUUGUCUUACUGCGGGACACCUCGUCAGGGGCAUAUUGCAUUUCGGUGCGCUGCAAGAGCUGAUUCACUAAGGUCGUCUACUAUGCAAGGGCGCUCGUCAACUCUAUAACUUGUCGAGACAAGUAUUGUUCUCCAUUUAGGUUGGAAGAGCUUGGAAGGAAUGUAUCCCAUUGAGCAUUGGAAUUGUGGUAGACUCCUGACGUGAGAUUUGAGUUGAGAAAUGUCAAAUCUGCAGAAAAAUGUGGUGAAAAUGCUCCCGGUUCGAUCGUCAGUCUGGAAAUUUAGAGUCGAGAUGGUUGAACUAAUCUUGAAUCAAUUUGGGCUGCUUGGAAGGCAAUUGGAGCAGGCUGGGCCACUGGAGUGGGCUGCUCGGCGGGAGCAGGCUGGGCCGCAUGAAUGGGCUGCUCGAUGGGAACAGGCUGGGCCACAGGAGCAGGCUGGGCCGCCGGAGUAGGCUGCUCGGCGUGUGGCGCAUGCAGGUGUGAGGCUUAGGCUUGGCUUGGCAACGCGUUGGGCGUUGAGUGACUUGGCUUGGACCGUGACCUUGGUGUCAUGGGCCUUAGAUGACAUGACUCGGGUCGUGGUGGUGACACAAUGGACCUCGCUGCAGGUGGCUACUGUAGUAGCCACCAUGGUGGUUCCCGUGGUGGAAACUCGUGGUUGUGGUUUGUCUCCACUUAUUGUCACAUUUAACCUCGUGGAUCGCCGUGGUCCAAUUUCUUGAAUAUUGGAAUUUUCACUUUUGAAUUUUCUAAAUUUCUAGUCAUUGUAGUUCUUUUUUACGUUUUAUCAAAGAAUUUUUGCAAAUAAAAAAUUCUAAUAAUAAAAACGUACGAAAAAUCUACAAAUGGACAAGAAAAAUAGAAAAACCUUGGACGCGAGAGUCUUCUUCGAGUGUGGGACUCAGCUCUCAAUGAAAGCACCAAUUUGUGGAUGCAAAUUUCUUCCUCCUUAUUCUUGGACAAAAUUGCACCUACAAAACAAAUAACACCUUAGGUCAAGGCCAAUAGCCUCACGUGCCCACGAUGAAUUGGGGGGUGGGGGGGGUUUGGCAAAAGAACCUCCAAUGCCAAAGUUAGAAUUUUAAGGGAAAAGUGCUUGGAGAAUUUUGAGUAUUUAGCAAGAGUGUAGACCUAGGUUUUUAGAGAAAAUGGGGUAGUAUAUAUAGGGCAUGGCGGGCCUCCUUGGGGGAGAAGGUGGCCGGCCCUUUGUGGUGUUUUUGAGUGUAUUUUGUAGUUAAUUGGUAAUUUAAUUAGCCAUUAAUAGAUUAAUCAGGUAAUAAUCUAUUAAUUAGCUAAUUAACAUAAUUUAAAAGGAAUGUUUUGGGGAUUACCUUGUGGAGAAGAUGGAUGAAAUAGGUUUUGAGUAAAUACCUAUUUUGGGCACUUUUGACUUAAUUGUGGGAUGAUUGUCCACUGCUCGCGUGUGAGAAUUCCGGUGCUCCUCAAGGGUAAUUUUGUCCUUUCUGCCCAAAAAUCCACGUGUCGUGUCUUGAUUAUUUUUGGCUCCAUACCAGUAGUAUCCAUAUGGGUAAAAUUACAAAGCUUAGUGGUGCUACAAAAGUCCUUACAUGAAGCUCAAGAAGGUAGAUGGCCGCCCAUCUGUUCAUGAGCUCCAAGAAUAAAAUUAAAGUAACCAAUUGCCAUCCUUGGUACUGUAGUAUGAAAACGAAUAUCUAAAAGACCACACCAUAAAGCACGGCAAAGACAUGCAGUAGUAGCUAUAUAAAUAAUAGUAAACUGAGAAAGAACAUCAUCAAAAGAAGCCUGAAAAGUAAUCUAUUGGGCUAAACAAGAAAUCAAAGUAGGGGAACAAUAACCUGUAGAACACAAAACUUAAAUAUUAGGCAGUAAACCAUCCCUGAUAUUAGCAGUAAGCAUGUAACGACCCGUCCCAAAAUAUUGCUACUUUUAUAAUUUUAAAACGUGAAAUUAUGAAAAUGCCCUUUGAGGCAAAAACAUUGACUUUUGUUAACUGUAUUGUCGUGUCACAUAAGAUUCAUUUCCUUGACGUUUCCUUGUAGUAUUAAUUUGGAGUUACGAUGAACGUUUUACGGAAUUCAAAACUUAAGGUCAUUUUGGUAAUUUUCAAGUAAAGAUAUUUUCCACCUUGGAUCACUCCCGGGCUUACACGUGGCAGUUUUGCCCCCAUUUUCUGGGGAUGAUCUUCCCGUGAUUCCCCUUUCUCUCUAAAACUCUCUCUCUCUCUCUCUCUCUCUCUCUUUUCCCCUCAUUUUAUCUUUGUCACUCCUCGGUAAACACUUUCCCUUUCUCUCUGUUAGUUCCUUUUUCCCCCGAGCACAUUCACGACACCAUCACUACUCGUUAUUCUCUCUGGUGAGCACCACGAACCACCACCAUCCUUUGGCCCUUUCCUACAUCCUCGAACUCGAACGAAGGGCAUGAAUCACUGAGCUACGAUGCGAAGGAAGAACUCCAGCGAGAUUUCUCGUCUCUCCGAUUUGGGUGUUUUGGUGAAGGUUUAUAACUAUAACAACUCAUGAGGUUAAUUUCCAGAUUCCGGCAAGAAACCCAGCGGCUUUCGAGCCAUUUUCACGACCUCCAAUAGGUGCAUCGGUGGGAAGUACCUCAAUCCUCCCUAGUUCGAGCAGCUUCAGGGUAACAAAAUAUAUGUAAGUGGACCCUUUCUUAAAUUGGAUGUUUUUAUAAAAUAUUAGGCUUGCAUGCAUUUCAUAUUUCAUGAAUGAAGCAUGUUUUUUUAUUAAGUUUUAUGGAUUUCUAUAGUUAUGAUUUAUUUAAAUUGCUUUUACAAAAUAUUUAUGAUUUAUCGAAUUUACGUUUUACUAAAGGUUAAGAAUUAUCGAAUUCUUGUAUAUGAAAUUCUAUGGCUUUCAAAUAUGAUUUAUUUUACGGAUUUAUGAAUAUGAGUUAUCAUGGAUUUAUGAGAUGAGUCUUUGAGCUUUUAAGAUUCGGUUUUGAUGUAAGGCUUUUGAUGUAUGUUUUCGGUGCUUAUCUAGUGGGUUAUCAUACAACACAUACACACAACCGAGUAUGUAGACAUCUAUGGCCAUAGGACACAGUUGAUGAUAUUUAAGACAUACCCCCAGCUUCACUAGCCCGGGGCUAGUGUCGGUGUGAUAUGUUAUAUGUAUAUGUUUCUUCUCUGGCGUAACCCAGAGUCGUAUAGCUUCACCUUCUGGUGAUGGACCCAUUGCAUAUAUAUAUAUAUAUGUACAUCUCUUCUUUGGCGUAACCCAGAGUUGUACAUAGAUAUAUAUAUAUAUAUAUAUAUAUAUAUAUAGAUAUAUAUAUAUAUAUAUAUAUAUAUAUAUAUAUAUAUAUAUAUAUAUAUAUAUAUAUAUAUAUAUAUAUACAUACAUCUCUUCUUUGGCGUAACCCAGAGUCGUAUAGCUUCACUUUCGGGUGAUGGACCAUGAUUUCUUCACUGGCGUAACCCAAUGUCAUACAGCUUCACCUUUGGUGAUGGUUAUGCCUUCGGGACACUAUGAUACCCCUAGUGAGUACAACAUUGAUGAGAUUUACGGAUUUGCCCUCGGGCGACGAUAACAGCAUCAUUGAGCAUUGUUUUACACGUACUUAUUUUACGAAUGUUUUUCAUGGCAUGCUAGAGUUUUUAGAAAACCUAUUAUGUAGUAUUAUAUGUGUUUUCAAAACACGGGGUUAGUAUGUUCAUAAAUAAAAUGGUUUUGUUAUUAUUAGUACUAUUAUUAUAAACUUUGGUCCACUCACUCUUUUGGUUUUGCGCCCCCUUCAGGAUUUAGGUUUGAGGCACAUGAUCCUGGCGUCAGGGCACUUCCGCUUAGGUAUCUUUGAAUCUUCUCAGUGUAGGACUUAUUCCUUUGUUCGUACCUUUCUAUAAUAAUUCUUUCAAUUGUUUUUUAUUAGUUGUAUGCUCUGAACACAGUUCUGCAUUAGUAUAUUUCUUUCUAAUCACCUAUUUUAAUUCGUAUGCAUGUUUAAAAUGGUUUCGUCACCCUUAGGUGUCGGCCAGCACGUCCUAAUAUUUGGGGAUAUUAGGAUUGGGGUGUGUCAAAGCAAAGAAAGACCUAGUGAAUUCCAAUAAAAUGAAGGAAUAGAAUUAAAAGAAACCAUAGGUUCAAAAAUGCAAACCAAAUCCGGAUGAUAGGAAUGACAGACAUUGGAAAGCUCUGUACAUGUGUCAAAAUUACAAUAUUCCAGUAAACUAGCUUCAUUUGGAGGUAACAAUAACUUGUCUUCUUGCUCUAGUGACAUAGGGUUGGUCUUGCCUAGCUGCAUCAUCUUUUUAUUAUUUUUCUUUUGUUUUUUUUUUCUGCUGAGAUUUACUUAGAACUAAAGUAAAGUCAUUUCGAUCCAUCCACAACACCGACCUCUUUCGUUAAAUAAACCAGGUGGGACAUCCCUAUCAACCUCGUAAGCCACAUGGUCACUGUUAUUUCCUUCAGCAGGCUCACAUCCAAGGACGGAGCUAGAAAUGUUUUUGACUGGGGGCGUCCUAAAACAACCAAGUAAAAUAAUGGGUGUUAAGUUGUUGAGGGUCAGGCACAAUGAAAAAUCUCUAAAUUAAAAAGUUAAAUUUUAAAUUGUAAUGCCACAAACGAAUGUAUGAAGGAAAUUCAUAUAAAAUACUUUGCAGAGUAAAAUUUUUAUAUCAAGUUAUGAUACUUCAUCAGUUGAAUCCAAUCUAUUUAUGAAACCUCCAGUUCAAUUGAGUUUGAUUUAGGUUAGAAAACGUGGAAUAUUCGGAACCAAAAUCAAAAAUUUAAUUGUUGUUUUAUUUGUCAUGACAAUUUUUUUCAUCGCUCAAAAAUCUGAGUGGGGGCGGAUGCCCCCUCUGGCCUUAGGUAGCUCCGCCCUUGCUCACAUCCAAUCUCCCAUUAAAGAGGACCAUUUUAAAUGCGAAUGGGGAAAUAGAGGUAUUACCAAUAUUAUUGGCUGGUUGUAACUCUAGAAGGACAAGGAUUGUCUGCCCUUCCACUUUCGGUGCCCUUCCGUGCCCUCCUGUUUGUGUGGUCACGAUUUAGCCACGUCAACAUUUUAUAUUACUAUUCAUUUUUGUCUUAUUAUCUCUAUAAAAAAAUAAUAUAAAAUGUUGACGUGGCUUAACCGUGACCACACAAACAGGAGGGCACGGGAGGGCAACGGAAGUGGGAGGGCAGACAAUCCUUGUCCACUCUAGAAACGGUAUGUCUGAAUUUGUUAGUAAAUGCCCAUGAUUUUCUGUCAGUCUGAAUUUAAAUAUUUUUAUCUAAAAUGACAAAAUUAGCAUAAAAAAAAAACAUGUAAUUGGAUAACUGGACUUUGUCCCAAAACCAACUUAUGUUUUUGGAACUGGAUCCAAAUGCCCUUAACUUAUUUUGUAGUCUUUUUGAGCUGGGUUGAAUUUUAUUUUUGAUUUUUGAUUUAUUUUUGUAAGUUGCCUUCCUUUUCAAGGGUAAAUUGCCUUCCUGCAAGCAAAAGAGCAGUUGAAUCUCAAAGGGCGUGAAAUUGUGUAGAAUCUGACUCGAAGAGAUAUAAAGUCGGAGAUGAAGGAAGGCUUGUUAAAGUUAUGUAAAAUUAGUCCUUUUCUCCCCCUCUUUUGCUUGCAGUCCCACGAACUUAGAUUUAGCAAACAAUUUUGGGAUGUGAUAUCCACACACCCCUUUUUACUUCUCUCACACCUUUUUAAUUUUCGAUCGUCGGAUCGGAUGAAUUGAAGAAGAUCAAAGGACAAAAAUUAACAAGGGGUGUGAGAGAAGUAAAAAGGGGUGUGAGAGAAGUAAAAAGGGGUGUGUAGAUAGCACAUCCCACAAUUUUUUUCAUAUUAGUUAUAUGAGAGAGGGAGUUCGAUACAUAAUGAAGGAGGAAGAGGUACGGUAGAAUUCGCCGUCAGUGGAUGAUCAAAGGGCCUCAUUUCAUUUCGCCCGUUGGCCCCUAUAGCCAGGGCUGGCCAUGAUUCCAACUACACAACUUCGACUUCUCCUGGCCUCCCAUUGGCUUUGGCAGCAACCUCUGGGUACAAGGGACUGGCCUCCAUUUAGGACACUUGGCACUAGAAUUCUGUCAUCUCCUCUUUCAAUCUCAUUCCAUCCCUUUCUCUCACAUUCUCUAUUUUGUCUUUUGCUUUCUAUAAAAAAAUAAAAAUAUAAGAUGUUAACAUGACUUAACUGUGACCGUUCAAAUAGGAGAAGAGGAAAGAGAAGGGGAAAAAAAGAAGGGAGAAAAUCCUUUUCCCUCCAUUUAAGCCUCAGGUCUGCUGUCUCCUAUUUCGUGUUUCUUUUGUGUCUUCUUUCUAAUUUUUUAACACUUGUCCCACUAUUUAACUUAAUAUCUAACACUGUUAAACUUUCAAUUAAGUUUAAUUAAAAAACUAAAGAUUGAAGUUAAAACAAAAAAACAAAAAGCCCAACAACAACCCUUCCCAACCAACAUCUCACAAUCUCCUCCCCACCAUGCUUGUCAGCUGCAUUUUCUCACCAACGGCUAGGUUUCCUUUGUUGGGGAUGUAUGAUCUAAUUAUAGUCCAAGCAUUCCUUUCUUUCUAUUUAUCACUCUUCCUCUCUCUCGUCAGCGAAGCCGAAUCGGAUCUUGGAGUCGGCUUUGCGUCGGUUCAAAUCUCGGUGUUUGUUCAAUCCUUAUAGAUUUCACCAUCUCUUGGGUUUCCUUUCUUUUCAUUUAUCUCUCUUCCUUCCUCUUGUCGGCAAAGACGAAUUGGAUCUUAAAGUUGUCUUUGUGUCGGCUUAAAUCUCGACCUUCGUCGUUGGUUCAAUCCUUACAAAUUUCACAAUAUUCAAUUGAUUAGAUAUCUUCCUUCAAUCCCCAAAUCCUAAUAACUUGACAGAAUGUUUGCUAGUUCUAUAGUAUGCCGAUCCGCGGCAAUGGGUUGAAGUGGGUGGAACUUGGGAGUUUAUUUUUGGUUUUUGGGAAAUCCCGUUCUUGAAUUUCACUGUUAUAAUCUACAUAUUUGUAUUAUUGAGACUUUAUAAUUUUUUACAAGAAAUUAUAUUAAUUUAUUUGAAUUUAGAUUUUAAUUAAACUAGUUACGAAGUUGAAGUUUGGAAAUUAAUUAUCUAAAAUUUGUAGACCUUUCGAGGUCACAAUUUAUAUUUUUGGAGAGAUCUCGAAACCACGAACGCAUAGGCGAAAGCCCUUUGCGAGUCUGAAUUAUAAUGGUAUAGUUACAGACGUUUGAAGUUGUGAAACUUUAGGUUGUGGAAAUUAUUUAAUUUCCAUUGGAGGGUAAAAGGCCCAAAUAUAUAAGUGGGUUAAGGGAACCGGCUAUUAGGAGUAAGAAAGGGGGCAAUCCAAUUAUUAGAGGAUGAGAAAGGACUAAUAAGGGGAGGGGACAUUUUCUUUCCCCCAUUUCUUGAAACCGUGUACUCCACUAGCCAUUUUCAAAACCGGCCAACUCCAGACCAAUUUCUACCAUUUCUCAACUAAUUUUCUUAUCUCCUUCACCUGCAACCUGCUCAACUACAUUCCUCCUUCCAUCUCCACCAAAAAUCAAGGGUUUUUAAGGUCUAAUUCGGGUAGAACUCCACCGGAGAACCCGGGGGUUUUCGACGGCGAUUCGUCGUUCCGGUGAGUAUCACCAUUCACCAUCACCCUUAAUCAACUUCCUUUGGACUCAGGAACAAGACCCAACUGGUGGUUGGGGCGUUGGAACACCAAGGAAGCCGAAUUGAAGAACAUCCACCUUAGGGUUUUAGACGGGUGUGAGCCAAUUUGAGGGCCUUCCCGACCAAAUUGGACUCGACCACAUGUAUAAAGUUUACUCUACUUGUUGAGAUCUUCAUUCUUGUAAAAUUUGAGAAUUUUUGGAAAAAGUCAAAUUUUCCGAUGUGUGACAUUCGAUUUAUGAAAUGCUGUUGGUUGAGUAUAUUUUCGAUAAGGUCCGCCACUUGAAUAUUCUAGCAAUUGACGAUCUUACCAUUGAAUUGACACCAAAUUUUAGUAUGCUAUUGUAGAUAUUGUUUAAGGACCUUAGGGACUUACUAGUGAAAAUCUAGUGGUUGGAUCUUACUGAGCACGUGAUGUAAGAUCAUGGACUAUACCAUUGAUCGACGAUCUGAUUCUCAUUAAAUGUCGUUGUGGGAGACUUAUGAGAGUUUUGGGUAUGUGAAUUUAUUGAGAGAAAUCUAAAUGUGGACUUGUGCUUUGUUUGAGGUGGUGAUAGAGCUUGACGCCUUGAAUUCCAUGCUAGAGUGCGUUGGUGUGGACCUCAUGUGAGUGAUUUUAAUCUAUGUGAUAUGGUUAUUACUCUGAAAUCUUUUGUGCUAAUAUACUUUGUGGUUACACCAUGGAUUCUUAAAAUAGGUCUUAUGCUAAAUAAUUGUUGUUAUAAAGUUUGCCAUCGAUCUACUUAUGAAACAUUAUGUGACUUGGAUAUUUGAACUGUUGAUGGAUUGUGUUUUGAAAUAUAUAUUUGAUGGUUUGAUAAACAUGAGGGAUUGUAAAGGAUCGUUACCAAAGUGUCAUGGGGUUAAGUAACACUAAGUCCACAAAUUGUGAUUGAUGGUUGGUUUUAUCAUUAUUAUCACAUACUUUGUAUUAUCGCAGCUUAUCCGGGUUGUUGUUUGCCCGAUGCACCAUUUUCAUGAUGUAGGCACUUAUUUCACAUGUGACAGGUCUAGGUAAAUUAUGAGAAACAGUUUGAUAUUUUGGUUUCGUUGAGUAGUCCGGAACCCGAUAUUGUUGGAUUCCGUUGAGUGGUGGUCCGGAAUUCCUUCUACUCCGCGAUUCCGUUGAGUGAUGGUCCGGAAUCGUAUCCUGAUUUGGAUUCCGUUGAGUGAUGGUCUGGAAUCCCCUUUGGUGCCUUGGUUUCUUUGGGUGGUCCAAAAUCCCAUUUUCCAGAGAUGUAGUCUUUGGCUGAACUGUGUCGCUCUAGCCCCGCAUUUCGACGUGUUGUAUGUGUUAUUGAUGAUGUGAUGGUUGGCAUUAUUGAUUGAUGUGAUUAUGGAAUGAUGUUGGUUAUGGUUAUGGUAAUUAUGAUUAGACUCGUUGAACUUUAUGAUUAGUGAAUAUGAUUGUGCUCCGUCAUUUGUCCCUUAUAAUAUUGCAUGUUAUGCAUUGUGAUAUAUUAUUGAGACAUAGCGAUUUAAUUGAUGAAUAUUCGAGUGUAGUGAAAUGAUGGACUACGAAUGGCUUGAUCAUUGUUUAAGGUACGUAGGCAGUCUAACGAGAAUGUUAGAUGCAGCCAUGAAAUAUACAAAAAUUGCAACGCAAUUCGAAUAUUGAGUUAUGCUUUGUACAUAUCCCGGAGGCUGGGUAUGUUAGAGAUUCAGAUAUUUGGUGACAUCACUUGUUGAUCCGGGACGUAUGUUGGGAUCGGAGCGUGACAAUUUUUGUAUUACUUUAAUUUUUAGUUUUUUUAUUUAAUUUUAUAAAAAGUUAAUAGUGUUAAAUUUGAGUUAAGUUAAGAGAUACAUGUCAAAAUAUUAGAAAAAGAAACACAAAGGAAACACAAAGUGGGGACAGCAGACCAAUGGCUGUCCAUUUAAGGCACUAAUAUAGUGGUAGCUAUCUUUACCUUUUAAGAUGUGUGGUUUUCCGCUAGAAUGAUGAUCAGUUGCGAGAUGCGUCAACUGGUAAUCAUACCACAGCGCAUCGAAGGAGUAAUGUUGGAGUUUACAAAUCCAAGACAGAUAUGAAAUCAGAAGUCAUGGCACCUUUUGUCAACUUUGCUUCUCACCUUUUUGUCAACUUUGGACGGAUAUGAAAUCAGAAAUCAUGCAACCUUUGGCACCUUUGGCACCUUUUGCCAACUUUGGCUCACCUUUAAUCCCUUGUUUUGGGGGAUACACGUGUAGAUUACUUUAGUAUUGUGUUUGGCACACCUUUAAUCCCUUGUUUUGGGGGAUACACGUGUAGAUUACUUUAGUAUUGUGUUUGAUGUAAUCCCUAAAAUUAAGAGAGUUUUAACGAAAAACUCUCGGUACUGUUUACUUUGACGAAAAAACACAUUUUUAUACUAAAAAGUCAAUCAUGAUACUAUUCACUUUACCCUUUAUUUUGUCCUUAUCAUUAAAACUCAAAGUUUUCAAACUCUUUUCAUUAGUUUUCCUUUAAAGAGUUUUUGUUAGGAUAUGGAUUAUGAUUCUCUUCUCUCUUCUUUCCAUCCCCUUUCAUCCCUUAUUCUCACAUUCUUUAUUUUGUCUUUAUCUUUCUAUAAAAAAAGUAAUACAAGAUGUUGACGUAGCUUAACGGUAAUCGUUCAAAUAGGAAGGGAGGGAAGAAAAGAGAAAGAAAAGAGAGGAGAGAAUCUUACUCCUUUAGGAUGUAGCUUUAUCCAGUCUGUAGGUUUUAGUCUAAGGAUGGUUGGUUGUAACCAGUCCUCUUUUUCUUUAUGUGUUAUUGUACAUUCACACAAGAUAUGAAAUACACCAGAAACUUGAACCAAACUUUUACAAGUAAACUAGAGGUGUAUUUUCCUAGUUUGGAUCUAGUGUUCUUAAGCUUUGAGAAAAAUGCAUUCAUCAAUUUAUGCGAGAGUUGAAGGUCCUGAACUACAUCUCGGUCAUAUAGUAAGAGAAAUCUGCUGCGUCCUUCCUUCUAGAGAGUAAGGACAGCUUGAACAUUUAGCUUGGACCAGCUCUGUGCCAUCGCCGGAAGUUCAUAAGAAUUGACAUGCAGUUGUGCAUUCGUAUACCAAGGCAUGUCGCAUAGGCACUUGUGGCCUGACGUCUGCAACGGCAGACACAUUGAAGAACGACGAAAUUGCAAAUUAAGAUUUCUUUGAAGACAGUAAAGCAAAACAAUUUCAACUUGAACUUUUUUAUUUAAAGUUAUUUCGAAACAUUACAUAUUACACAUGAGCCAUAUAUGAAAGAUCCAAAAGCAACUUCUGAGCAUGUUCUUAAGACACUUCUGAGGCACUCUGCAGAUCACAUUAAAGGAUUUAACCGGAAAAAUAUAAUGUCCAGCAUCUCUUUGGAAAACUUAAGCAUAUAACAAACUUAAUUUCCCACUUAUUCGAUCGCCUCGUGCACUAAAUUAACAAAUUGCUGCAGGUUGCAGAAAUUCAAAACUUGAGGAAGCCCUUCUCCAUGAGGCUUUCAACAGUGUCCUUGAGACUCGUUUCCAGAGGAAGGAAAGUGAUUCCCAAACAUUUUGCUUUCUCCCUUGGACACUUGAAACUUGGAGCCAGAAGGAUUGCCAGGCUCACAAAGGCUCAGUGUGGGGUAAAGCUCUCGUAAAAUCUUUAGAGUAUCGGGACCAUCAGCAACUUGUGCAACUAAACAAUAUCUGCCACUAGCUGAAGGAACUUCAAAUGCUUGAAUAUGAGCAAAGGCAACAUCUCUAACAUCCACAAAUGCAUAGUUUAUAAAAGGUGUUUCGAUACCUGAGCACAAAAGAGAAACAAAACAGAAUAAACCCUGGAUGUAUCACAAGGAAUAGUGUUUUAACAUAAAGGGGGUGAAUUGUACCACUCAUUAAAUUCAGAAGAAACUCGACGGAGAGAUUAAGAGUUGGCUGUAAGAGUGGACCAAUCACAAUCCCUGGAUGUAUUGUUACCAAGUCAAUCCCAUUUCCUUUGGCAAAAUUUCCAGGCGGCCUCCUCAGCUAAAGUUUUUGAGAGAGGAUACCAUUGCUGAACAAAUAAAGAAGGAAGUUCUUAUGAGUUUGUAGUUCAUCAUGUACUGCUUUGUAUUGUGUUAAGCUUACAUCUGUCUAAAAUUAUUCAAUAGUAUGGGAACGCACGUACCUUGAUCGUCUCACAAAAAAGUGGAUCCGAGUACCAUGUUUCAUCCAUAACCACAUCAGAGGUCAGAGGUUUUCCACUCAACCUUACUGAAGCCAGAGAAGAUGUUAAAACCACUCUCUUGACGGCAGGGAAUUUUGCGCAUGAUUUUAGAACAUUAAGUGUUCCUUUCACUGCAGGCUCAAUUAUUUCUACCUGAAACAUAGAAACGAAAUAAUAUUAUUCUAGUUUCUACAUCAUUUCUCUUGAAGGUGUAUCGAUUUUCAAUGCAUUCGUGAGCGCACACACACGAUACACUUUUUGAUGGAUGCAUGAACUGAAGGGACAGACCUGUGGGUCAGUGGCUGAAAAUUGUGCAGGCGAUGCUGUAUGAAAAACACCUACACAUCCAUCAAUUACGCCGUCAAAUGAUCCUUCUUCUACUAGAUCGGCUUUGAACAAAUGAAGCCUCUCCUUUGCUCCAUCUAAUGAGAGCAAGUGUUCUGUUUUCUUUGCAUCAUCUGUAUGCAAAACCCAGAAUCUGAAAUUAUUGAAUGAAUUGUUUGAAGUUGAACAGUAUAUAUGAGCAAGUGUAGAAAUACUGACUUGGAUCGCGAACAGUGGCUUUGACGGUAUAACCCUUUUGCAGUAAGAGCUUCACCAGCCAUGAUGCUAUGUAACCAGAUGCUCCUGUUACACAUACAGUCUUUGAUUCUCCGGUACUCAUUUCUCUCUCUCUCUCUCUCUCUCUCUCUCUCUCUCUCUCUCUCUAGCUAAGAAUUAAUAAGCUUAAUUUGGUUCAGAAUUGUGUUUUUCAUGGUGAAAGGUCAGCUGGAAAUUAAAGGUCAAUGUUGCCAACUUGUCUUCUUCAGCUCUGAAUACUUUUGUAAUGGCAAGCCAUUGUUUAUUUUGAAUGUUGACUAAACAGGUGUUGGGCAGGAACUAAUCUUAAGUUAGGGGUAGCACUUGUUCCAAAUGGUUGCAAGAAAUAUUAGGAGUCCUUUAACUAAUAUUUCUUUAAAAGUAGUGAAGUGAAGCAACAACUUCUUAGUAGGAAUCUCGUUUUAUUCUAGCAAAAACAGGAUACGGACUAGGAACCAUGUAUAUAGGACUCUUAUUUAUUUCACCAUCUCCCUUUUUUUCUUCAAUAUCUUAUACGGUAAUACACGCCACUGGGACAUGAAAUGGCUAUGAGAGAGAAUCUCUCACUAAAACUUAUGUCAUGGCAAAUUAUAGUUUAUUAUGAAUGUUGACAAAACAAAAUAGAAAAAUAUUAUGAAGGAAGAAGAAAUAUUAGUAUUGGCAGGAUAUUUCAAAUUCAAACACUUUGCAAACAUUUCAACACCUAAUCAGAAAUGAUUCAACAAACCAGUUUUUUCAUGCCUUUCUAAGAUUAUUUAUUUAUUUAUUUGGAAAAUUGUCCAUAUAUAUAUAUAUAUAUAUAUAUAUAUAUAUUUUGGUCAAGAAUAAAACUUACAAUUAAUUCUAGAAAGGCCUAAACCUAAACAAAACACAAUACCCUACACAACAAAGCAAUACAUAAAAUAGAAGACAAGCUCAAAAAGGAGAGCUACAACCCCAAUUACAGAGCGAGGCCCAUACAAAUUUAGGCCCGUUGACAACAACAACAAAAAAAAAAAACAAUAAAAAUCCUAAUCUCCAGCCGCCAAAAGUCAGUCACCACCGCCGUUAUCUCCACGAAACAUGUUACACUCCUGUAUUCUGUUAAAUCACAAGAACAUUACUACAAACAGAUGUCAAUCAUGUUCUAGGACAGUAAGGGGAAGCAACAAAUUAACUAGAGUGCACAUCGAUUUGACAACAUAAAACCCCAACACGUGAGGAAACGUCCUUGGACACUCCUUAAUUAGGGGUGCUUUAACAAAGAUUCUUUUAAAGUUGUGAAUUUGGACACUGAGAUCUAGUCACCUAUGUGGCUGUCUGCCGAUCAAUCUAAGAAACUAAGAAAGUCUUGACAGGAAAGACAUUGUUAUUUUUUGGGAGAGCAAUGAAUCAAAGUGACGCAUAACUGAAUCUCAAUGGAUCGAGCAUGGCAGCUAGGCCAAAUUAUUUUCAUUGGAAACAGGAAACAGAUGACUUUCAUCAUGUCUUUGGAGUACUCAAGCAGAAAUCAAACUUCCGUUGCCGAAGAUACUUGAACUGUUGUCCGAGUUGGAUAAAUCAAAUCUGCAGGAAGCCCUUCUCCUUCAUGCUUUCAACAGUGUCCCUCAGAGGUGAUUUCCAAUGGGUGGAAGCUAAGUCCCAAACCUGUUGCUUUCUCUGAGGAUACGUGAUAUCUUGGGUCUGAAGUAUUGCCAAUCUCAAAUCUGCCAACAAUUACCAAAAACAAUAGAAUAAUAAAUCCCUUAGAAAUAAUUCUUGUAAUAGAAAUGUCGAGCUUUCGGUGUACACAAUUGAGUUAUUUUGUACAAGCAUCUUUAAUUAUUGGAAGAAAUUCCUAACUGGUACAGAUUUCGUUUCCAAGUCCAAAUCUUAUGUUUAUUUCACUCUCUGAAAGAACUUACCUUCAAACAGAUUUGACCGUGUUUAAUUCUACAGAACGAUAUGACAUUAUGUGUGGUAAAGUAAACGGGCACAAAUUUGAGGCAUUUUGCAUAUGAAACUUACUUUUCAAGAAGCAAAGUGGGGGUAAAGUUCGUGUAAAAUCUUCAGAACCUCGAAAAUGUCUGCAACAUGUCCAACUAAACAAUAUCUUCAACUUGCUGAAGGAACUUCAAAGGCCUGAAUGUCAGCAGAGGCAACAUCUAUAACAUUAAUGAAUCUGCAGUUUGAAACAGUCGAUUGGGUACCUGCACAAUAGUGAAACAUAAGCCAAUCAACUGCUUCAAUAAAAAAAUUAGUGGAAAAUAAAAAUGGAAGCUGUAAGAGUGGACCAGUCACGAACCUCGGAUGUAUUGUAGCUAAAUCAAUCUCAUUUCCUUUAGCAAAUUCCCUGGCAGCUUUUUCUGCAGAACAAAAAGAAAAGGGGCAGAUAAUACUAAGCAUUAUCCAUCUCUUUUAUAAUUGCACCCAGACACCUUGUUUGGUGAUUAGAUUAGAUUAGAUUUUGUUUCAGCGCGACACAGAAAUAUAACAAAUUAACAAUGAAAAAAGAUAAUAAGAAUCGGAAAUUCAUACAUACCUUGUACUUCUCGCAAACAAGUGGAUCUGAAUACCAUGUUUCAUCCAAAACUACAUCAGAGGUCAGAGGUUUUCCGCUCAUCAUUACUGUACCCCUCUCUUGACAGUUGGAAAUUUCACACAUGGUUUUAGAACAUCAAGCGUUCCAUUCACGGCUGUGUUAACUAGUUCUGCCUGACAUAUGGACAGAAAUAUCAUGCUGGUUUCCACAUCAUUUGUCUUGAAAUUAUUCAUUCUACACGUGCACGCAGGAACAUAUGAUAGAGUAUUUGAAGCAUAAAGUGAACGGACAAACCUGUGGGUCAGUAGCCGAGAAUAGUACAGGUGAUGCUGUGUGAAAAACGGCUUCACAUCCAUCAACUGCAGCAUCGAAAGAUCCUUCUUCCAAUAAAUCUGCUUUGAACAAAUGCAGCCUGUCUUUUGCUCCAUCUAGUGAGAGCAAGUGUUCUGUUUUCUUUGGAUCAUCUGUAGCAUACAUGAACAGAACUAUGAGUUGAACCAAGAAUAGUACAACCACAUUAGAUAGGGACGUAUGUGUACAAGGCAAAGUAGCAAACAUUGACUAUAGUCAUUGCCAAUUGGCAAUUGAGCUAGGCCUACCAUAGUAUCCAUAACGAAAAAAAAAGAAGGCAAAUACUUGGUUCCUCCAAUUGCAAAUAGCAUCCUAUCCAAUCACAAUUUUCAUGUGUGCAGAAAUUGUUCUUUUUUUGUUUGUAACGAGUUAUUUCUGCAUACUUGUCAAACUCUGAUUUACGGGACAGAGAGACGACUUUCCAGGAAAGAGCCAAGAAGUGUCCAAAACAGAGUACAGAUUUGAUACGAAUUGUUUCAACUCUAUCAUUUAUGCAUAAAGUUUUGGCUAAUAAGCUUGAUCACUAACAGCUAGCAAGAAUGUCAAACCAGUUCAAGGCCUGGCAUUAACUGGACUUCAAGAAAUACACUAGAACUACAGAUGAAGACCUACACCGAAAAUUUUAGGAUUUUCUCUUGCUGGACGAAACGAUAUACAAAACACAGAACUAUCAAUCCAACAUCAAAUGAUCAUUAAUUCUUUGCUUCUUUACAAAUGACAAAUUCCAAAUGAUGUAAUCAGAGUCUAAACACUUUAUAGCACAUCUCAUACAUGAAAGUUAAUGCUCUAAAAUUCAACUCUCUCUCCUAAACCAUGAAAAGAGCAUCCAAAAAGUUCACCAAUUUUUUCAAAAAGCAAACUCUCUGCAAAUGCAAUUUCCUGAAAAAAAAUCCUGCUGAUCACUUUCAUUAGGGUCCAACUUUAGCUUGAUCACCUCCAUAUUCUUCCUUGCCCAACAAGUCACCCAAACCCCUAUUUCUUUUCUUGAACCUCUCCUCAACGCUCUCCAAACGCCGAAGCACAGUCUCCACCAGAAAAUCCUUGCCCCUGCAGUUAUCGAAAAACAAGUGCUUCAGCAGUGUCUCUGACGCCGGCCUCUUCGCUGGGUCUUGAUCAAGGCAAGAACCCACCAAGUCCUUGAAAGCCACAGAGUACUCCUUGUUCUUGAAAUCUUUGAUGAUGUUUUCGUAGUCAGAAAACUGGUACCUGUUCUUGACCUUUAGAAUCUGAGAUUCCAAUAACGGUGGCAGGCCAGACAGGGGAGGACAGCCGCGAGCCAAUUCCAGUGCCAUGAUCCCAAAUGCCCAGAUAUCCACCUUGCAUCCAUCUCCGUAGGGCGCCACCCUAUCUGGCAUUGCCGAAGUGUCGUUUGUCCCAGUUGGCGUUGCCGAAGUGUCGUUUGUCCCAGUUGAAUGAUCGGCGCCGUAGAAAGAAGCAGAGACCCCGAAAUCGGCGAGCUUAACGGACCCAUCAGAGUCAACCAAGAUGUUUCCGGGCUUGAUGUCGCCGUGGGUGUGUCCCUGGCCAUGGAGAUACGACAUGGCGUUUAGCGUCUCUUUCAGGAAGACAGCAAUGCAGGGCUCUGGUAAUCCUUGAGGGAAAGCAGGGGAGGAGAUUAUUAUGGACUGCAGAGAGCCGAAGGCCAUGAAUGGCAUGACCACCCAGAGACGGCGCUCGGCGGUGGUGAAGGAGCAAUGGUUGCUGAGAAUGUUGGGGUGGGAAAGAGACAGAGUCUUGGUGUCGCGGAGCUUGCUCUCGAAAUCGGCCGUGGAUUGGUCGAGGUCGACGGACUUUAUUGCGACGACUGCAGAGUUCAUGGGGAUGCAGACGGCCUUGUAGACGACAGCCUUGUCGCCAGAGCCAAUUUCUUGGAGGUUUUCAUACGCGGCCGAGUCCAACGGGAAUUGGACCUUUUGUGGGUUAUCUUGGCGGGUGGAAGAAGACGAAGAAGUCGCCAUUGGAUACGACAAAGAUGAAAUCUUGAAGAAUGGAAGUGGGUUGUUUUGAUUUCUGGGAAAUGGCUUUUGAUGGAGAAGAUGAAUGUAGGGAUUCUGCAGUACUAAUUCUAGUGAAAGGUUGAUGCUUUGGGAGGAAGACGACGAUGUAUGAGAAUGUGUGUGACUGUGUACUGCUCUGCUUGUACUUGCUUAUAUAAUAAGAAAUGGUAAGAAGAUGAGGGUAUUUUGGGGAUUUUCCAUUCCAAUUGGGGGUUGAAAUUAUAGAUAAGUUUUACUUCUUACCCCUAGAUUUUUUUAAUUAGCAAAAUCAACAACAUUCUGUUGUGAGGCGGUUUUGGUGAUUAGGAUUGGGUGAGGUUGGUUAAGAUAAAAUACAAUUGGUUCGUUUUCUGUUAUUUUCCAUCUCAGCAAUGUCUUGGGAGGCAAGGCAUUGUUAGUCCUGUUGUGAGUACCUCGUAUAAAUAUUUCGAAAGGAAUAUAAGCAUACAAACAAAAUACGUAUUUGAGACCCAAUUCCAAGAACAAAACUGACCUACUAACCUAUUGAAAUCAUUCUUCAAGACUAGAGAGACCAAAGUUUUAAACAAAUUUUGUAAACAAUACGACGUGAUUGUUGAUAACUGAAGUAAAUAAACCUAAAUACAAGAACUUAGACCAAAGACGACAUUUUAUUUCACAUGCUCACUUAUGAGCAGAAUGGCAUGAGAGAAUAUCCAAGUAGAUAUGUCAUGAAUUGUCGACGAUUUUGCUGACUAGCCGAACAACGAGGAGUUCCAUGAUCAGAAGAAGUUCUUCUCCUUCAAACCUUCAGCGGUGUCCUUCAAAGACACCUCCCGAGGAGUAAACUCAACAUCGAAAGUCUGAGCUCUUUCCUUGGAUAUCUGGUAAGUUGGCGUGAAAGGUCGAUCAUCUUUACAUCUACCCAAAAUAGAGUCACAUCAAUGUCAUGGAUCCCUUUAGCAAAACUACGUCUCUAGAUGACUUGACCAAAUCAACUCAAAAGAAACAGCAACCGAACAGUACCUUAGUGCAUAAGCAAACCUGUACUAUCCUUAGAAGCAGUUCAAUGUAGGACUAAGACGCAACAAUUUGGUUAUGUUUAGCAACUUACUUUUCGGGAAGUUUGAGAGCAGGGAAGAGAUCACGGAAAGUUUUGACAGCCACAGAACAGUGUGCUACGCUUCCAACUAUAGAAUACCUCCCACUAGCUGAAGGAUUCUCAAAGGCUAGAAUAUGCCAUUAGCAACAUCUCUAACAUCAACCCAUCUAUGAGUUACAUUUGGAUACUUUUUCGGUUCUUGCAUAAAUUGUACAUCCGGAACAAUUAAUAUUUUCAUAGAUUGUAAGUUAUCACAGACACAGAGGUAAUGAAGACAGCACAUGUGAUAUUACUACUACUGCCUACUGGUAGCAAGAGUUGCGUACUCAUGAUAACAGAAGGGAAGGGAAAAGAAAUUGUAAUUGAAUUUGAAUAUAGAAGAAACCGCAAAUAAUACUCGAGAAAGUCCCAAACAAUUAUAAAAGAUGUGCAUGAAACCAGUAAAAUGAACUUUGGAUGCAUGAGUUGUAUUGGUAUAGAAGUGAGAUAUGUUAGUUACUAAUAGCUUUCGAGGCAAGGAUUUAAAUGUAAGUCCUCUCUUCUGUACAAAAUGAAAAAGUUCUGGUGGAGAAACAUCGACUUGGCGACAGCUAAAAGAGAUGAAGGAAGUAUUAGCAUCUCAGAUUCUUACACUUACCAAAGACGUAUGGAUCUGGACACAACCAUUCCUGGAUUUACUGCAACCAAAUUGAUUCCAUUCUCCUCUGCAAACUUCCAAGCAGCUUCCUCAGCUGAGGUUUUUGAAAGCGGAUACCAAAGCUGAUAAAAACAAAGUCUCAAUGAGCACAAUGAACAUAUUUUUAUAUCAUGAAAGAAAUAAGAUUUAAACCUUCUCCGGUGAUGUUUUUAUUACAAGAGGAAUGCUAUGCAAUGCAACCAGACCAAGAUGAAUAAACAUACGAGCACCGAUUGUUCCAGUAUAUUUAGUAAGAAACUACGUCUUUCAGUUCAGAUUCACUACCUGGCAAGGCAUUUUUAAAGAGUUGUAAUAGCCUAAAAGUUACUCAGAACUAAACUCACUAAGAAAACCGAGGCGUAUUAGAUAAAGCAAAACAAGAAGUGACUUCUGCAAUGUAUGCAGUAAACAAUCAAACCAUUAAGAACAGAGAAAGAAAACAUAGUAAGAUGGUAAAGCAGAAAUUACAUAUUAUUGUAUGAACCUGGAUGCAUAUAAAUAUAUAAGGCCAAGUUCCAUCUGAUUUUCCAUUACAUAAACUAGAUCUUCAAGUGAAGCAUUCCUGAAUAAUGAAAGAGAAUUAGCGUAUUGUGUACAAACCUUUGAUUUUUCACAGAAAGCUGGAUCUGAAAACCAAGAUUCAUCGACUACUGCAUCAGCAGAAAGAGGUUUUCCAGUAAAUACAAUUGAUACGAUGGAGGAUGUUAGAACCAGUGGACUCCUAGAAAUGCAGCUUGUGUACUUAAAACUUCAGGUGGAGUUCCUGUUAGGUUAUUAGCUGAUACACGGAAAAACUUCAAGUUGCAAAGUAUCCCUAUGGAGCUCGGAAUCCCACCCUCGACAUUUUUGAACAAAAGAUAAAAAUAGGUAAGAGCUGUCAUGUUGCCAAAGGAAGCAGUGUCAUGUUGCCAAAGUAUCCCUAUGUAUUCUACUUAAAUAUUUUCGACUUGGGAUUACAGAAUGUUCAGGAUCCAAUACAAAGUUCAAACUUCAUAUUUCACAGUAUUUAAAACGUAGUUGAAACAAAUUCCAAAGUACAAUUAAACUUCACAGAAAGAGGUCUCAUGCAAGAGUUUUGUGAAUGUUGGAAGAAUGCAUGCAAGUCAUAUCUUGUGUUAAAAUACAUGCAUGAAAUAAACAUGUUGGAUGACUAGUGAAGUUAGGCUAGUCAACAUUCUUUGUGUAAAUUAGGCAAGUUAGGCAAGUUAGGAAAUUAGGCAUGUUAGGCAAGUUAGGCAAGUUAGGCUUAUGUCUACUUUCUUUUCCUAUAUAUAUGUUUCAUUUGUAAUUGUUUCUUCAUGAAAUACACAUCAAAAAUUCUACAUGGUAUCAGAGCAGGUUCAUUUGUAACCUGUCUCUGCCAUUCUUGCUGCUGCAAUUUUUUCUUUCUUUCAAAGUCUAAGUCAUGACUGAAGAAAGUUCUGUGAACCAUGAUGAGGAAACCCGGCACAAUCUCUCUCCAAACUUCUCAGACGUUGAGGUUAACACCAAUCAAUGUUUGUGUUCAGUUCUCUUGAACGAGUUCAAUUAUCUUCCUUGGUCCCGAGCUGUUUCACUAGCUCUUGGAGGCAAAGGGAAGUUAGGGUUUGUAAAUGGAAGCGUGGAAGCUCCAAACAGUUCUUCCUCUACAUACAAUGCAUGGCUCUGCAAAGAUCAACUUGUCAUGUCCUUGCUGCUCAACACCAUGGAGAAACAUGUUGCUGAAAUUUUUAGCUACUCCAAUUCCGCACAUGAUCUUUGGAAAGCUUUGCAGGAUAUGUAUGGAAAUCAAAACAACUAUGCACGGGUCUUCCAAUUAAAGAAGGACAUUGCCAGUGCUCAACAAGAAGGGAAAGCAUUUGUUCAACACCUUGGGAGCCUCAAAGCCAUGUGGAAUGAGUUGGAUGUAUAUCUUCCUCAUACCACAGAUCCUACCAUUCUCCUAAAACGAGCUGAGGAAGACAAAAUUUAUCAGCUGUUAGGGAGUUUGAGCUCUGAGUACGAGGACCUAAGGAGUCACAUCUUGAUGAGUCAAGACCUGCCUACCUUCAACAAUGUUUGUGCAACUAUCCAACGAGAAGAAGCAAGGAAGAAGGUUAUGAAUGUUGAUCACAAUCCUAGAUUAACAGAGACUCGGGCAUAUGCAUCAAAGUACAAGAACUCAGAAGCCAAGGUAUACAAGGGAAGAAACACACAUCUAAAAUGCAAAUAUUGCAAUGGUGUUGGUCAUGAGGAAGACAAGUGUUGGGAACUUCAUCCUGAACUCAAGCCUAAGUUCAGCAAAGAUGGAAGGAUGAUACCAAGGUCCUCACAGCAAUUUCAACCUCAUUUCAAGGCACAACUUGUUAAUGCUCACGCUCCUACUAUCUCACAAGGAUCCAUGGAGUUCACUGCCAAUCCAUUGUCAUUGAUCAAUGAAUUUGCAGCUUACCUACAAAGUAAGGGGCACGGAGGAGGCUCACAUGGUCAAGGCAAUGAAGAGGGUAGUCACACAGCUAUGUUGGGACAAUUUGCCGGAUUUCUUGCUGGAAAUGAGAAAGUUCCAAAGGGAGAAGCAUCAGGUAUACUCAAAGCCUUUACUACUGCCCUAUUAACUAGUACUGAAAUUGAUUGUUGGAUAAUUGAUUCAGGCGCCACAGAUCAUAUGACAAACAAAGUUACAAAUUUACAUCAUUUUAAAAAAUUUUCAAGCCCCUCACAUGUGUCUGUUGCAAAUGGAAAAAAUGUCUUAGUUUUGGGAAAGGGAGAAAUAAACUUACUCUCUCAAAAAACACCUUCCACUGCCCUCUAUGUACCAACCUUUCCCUUUCAACUUUUGUCAAUUGGAAAGAUCACCAACACCCUAAACUGCCGUGCUAUUUUCUCACCAAAUAAAGUAAUGUUUCAGGAUGUUCUCACCAUGAAGAUGAUUGGUGAAGGGGUCUUCAUAAAUGGACUUUACUACUUGUGCAAGAAUGCAUGUUUCACUCAGGCUCUUCAAGCUCAAUCAAAGUCCAUAGAUGAAAACCAACUUUGGCAUAAGAGAUUAGCUCACCCCUCUGAACUUGUCUUGUCGAAACUGUUUCCAAAUUUUUGUAACCCCUAUCCUACUUGUGAUACUUGUCAAUUUUCUAAGUUUACUAGGCUACCUUUUGGUAAUUCAAUGUCUAGGACAAGUAAACCUUUUGAAAUGGUACACACCGAUGUAUGGGGACCUGCAACUGAAUCAAUGGAAGGUUUUAAAUAUUUUGUUCUAUUUGUUGAUGAUUUCUCUCGAACAAGUUUUCUAUAUCUUAUGAAAUCAAAAAGUGAAGUCCCUACCAUUUUCAAAGACUUUCACAUGCAUGUUAAAACGCAAUUUCAAUCAAACAUUAAGGUUUUAAGGUCAGAUAAUGGCACUGAAUUUCUAUCCAACAACAUGCUUCAAUACAUAAGUUCUCAGGGUAUCAUACAUCAAACCAGCUGUGUGGGAACUCCCCAACAAAAUGGAGUAGCCGAAAGGAAAAAUAGAGAUCUCUUGGAAAAAACUCGUGCUCUCAUGAUUCACAUGCACGUUCCAAAGAAAUUUUGGUCGUUUGCCAUCCUUACUGCCACUUAUCUCAUAAAUCGACUUCCAAGUCGUGUGCUAGGGUUUAAAUCUCCAUAUGAAGUUCUCAAGGGGAGGAAAAUAGAUUUGACACAUCUCAAGGUGUUUGGUUGUGUGUGUUUUGUUCACAUCCAAACCUUGAACCGUGACAAACUAGAUGCCAGGGCAAUCAAGUGUGUGUUUAUGGGAUACUCGACCACUCAAAAGGGAUACAAGUGCUUCAAUCCAGUCACUAAGAAGUGCACAGUUUCAAGAGAUGUGAAGUUCGAAGAAGACUAUCCCUAUUUUACAAGUCAGGGGGAGGAUUUAGUUGACAUGUUCCCACUCCCUCAAAACUUUAAUUAUCCGAUGUUGGAAAAGAGAUCAGUCAUUUUAAGUCCAGAUUGUGAAGAAGUUCAAACUGACCAAAUUACUGCCAAUGAGAGUGAAGACGAGCCCUACUCUGAUCCUUCUCCGCCUUCUACAGAGUCUCAGGUGAUUAAAAGAAAUCCUCCUCGAAUCAGAAAACCUCCAGCUAGGUUGCAGGACUAUGUUACAUAUGCCUCACGACAUCCAAUCAAUGAAUGUAUCAGCUUUAGUAAGUUCUCAACAUCUCAUGCUGCAUUUCUCAGUGAAAUUGAUAAGCACUAUGAACCAAGAAGCUUUCAAGAAGCUUCUCUUCUCCCACAAUGGAACCAAGCCAUGAAAGAAGAGAUUCGUGCACUGGAAGAGAAUUGCACCUGGAGCCUAGUUCAACUACCACCAGGAAAAAAGGCUGUUGGAAGUCGUUGGAUUUACAAGACUAAAUUCAAAGCUGAUGGAUCUAUCGAGAGACACAAGGCUAGACUUGUUGCUCGAGGUUUCACCCAAACCUUUGGUGUAGAUUAUAAGGAAACAUUCGCACCGGUGGCCAAGAUGAACUCAGUCAGGGUUUUACUGUCAGUUGCAAUCAAUUGUGGAUGGUCACUCUACCAAAUGGACGUGAAGAAUGCUUUCCUUCACGGCGAGCUGCAGGAAGAAGUGUAUAUGCAACCUCCUCCUCCAGGCUAUGAUGGUAUUAAAGGCAACAUGGUUUGUAAAUUGCACAAGGCAAUAUACGGAUUGAAACAAUCACCAAGAGCUUGGUAUGCCAAGCUUAGUUCUGUUCUGGAAAAGGCUGGAUUCAUGCGAAGUAAUGCUGAUUCUUCGUUAUUUGUAAGAACUGGCACCAGGGGGAAGUUGGUGGUCCUCGUCUAUGUUGAUGAUCUUAUCAUCACUGGAGAUAAUACCGUGGAGAUUGAGGCACUAAAAACUCUCACUACAUCAAGCUUUCGCUAUCAAAGAUUUGGGGAGGUUAAAGUAUUUUUUGGGGAUCGAAAUGGCAACAUCUUCAAAAGGACUGUUUCUACAUCAAAGGAAAUAUGUAUUGGACCUCCUUCAAGAAGCAAAAAUGCUUGACUGCAAGCCUGCUAUCACUCCCGUUGAUUGUAAACUGAAGCUCAGCAUAGAUGGAGAAGCCAUGCAUGAUGUAAGCUACUAUCAACGAUUAGUAGGCAAGCUCAUAUACCUCACUAUCACUCGUCCAGAUAUCACAUAUGCAGUGAGCUUGGCUAGUCAGUUCAUGCACUCUCCCACUGUUGAUCACCUUAACCUUGUUAAGAGAAUCCUUCGUUAUCUUAAGGGUUCAAUUGGGCAAGGAAUUACAAUGCAUAACAAUCAGUCCACUGUCAUUAGUGGCUACACAGAUGCAGACUGGGCAGGUAAUGCAAUUGAUAGGAAAUCAAUCACAGGCUAUUGUACAUUUGUUGGUGGAAACCUUGUCACAUGGAAGAGUAAGAAGCAACAGGUAAUUGCUCGUUCCAGCGCAGAAGCUGAGUAUCGAGCCAUGGCAGCCACUGCGUGUGAACUCAUUUGGCUUAAAGGGCUUCUUUCAGACUUAGGGUUUCCUAGUUCUACUCCUAUGACGCUUAUGUGUGAUAAUCAGGCAGCCAUGCACAUUGCUGCCAAUCCUGUGUUCCAUGAAAGAACCAAACAUAUUGAAGUGGAUUGUCAUUUCAUCCGAGCUCAAGUUCAAACGCAAAUCAUCCGGACCAUGUUCACACGAAGCCAUGAUCAACUAGCAGAUCUUUUUACAAAGGCACUAGCAUCAUCUCAGUUUCAUCGGUUAUUGGGCAAGCUUGGCUCAGUGAAUCCCUUCGAUCCAGCUUGAGGGGGAGUGUUGGAAGAAUGCAUGCAAGUCAUAUCUUGUGUUAAAAUACAUGCAUGAAAUAAACAUGUUGGAUGACUAGUGAAGUUAGGCUAGUCAACAUUCUUUGUGUAAAUUAGGCAAGUUAGGCAAGUUAGGAAAUUAGGCAUGUUAGGCAAGUUAGGCAAGUUAGGCUUAUGUCUACUUUCUUUUCCUAUAUAUAUGUUUCAUUUGUAAUUGUUUCUUCAUGAAAUACACAUCAAAAAUUCUACAGUGAAACACCAAUUAUUUUCUGUAACAAAUUUUUACAUAGUUGAUAAAAUGGGACUUGACGUUACAAUGGUAAGUCCCAAGUGAUCCAUGGCUAGAAGAAGUUUUUCUCCUUCAAACUUUCCACGGUAUCCCUGGUAAGUUGGUGUGAAUCAUUUGUCAUCUGCACAUCUGUGAAGAACACACAGACGUUAAACUUUCAAAUCUGAAGUCCAAAUUAUCUGUCACACAAAUUAGCAACUACGAAGAAUAUGCAAAUCACUCACUGUACAGACCAUUUCACUUGCAGUUUGUACAUCACUCACGGUACCUCAGACCAAGGCAGGGAUUCUUUAUGAAAUACUUAGUUUCUCAAAGGCUAGAACGAUAUAGGCUUGAUAAAGAUAUUGUUCUAUAUUAAUAGGAUCUCAGGCAUGCCAGUUGUAACCCAAAUAUCCUCAGACACGAAUACUACAAAUUAUAUGCAAGAUGGAAUUGCCGAGGGUUCAAUUGGCAAUUUAGCUAGGCCAACCUUAGUAUCCAUAACCGAAAAAAAGAAGGCAACUACUCGGUUCCUCCAAUUGCAAAUAGCAUCGUACUUACAUGCCAAUCACAAUUUCAAUAUUUCACGUGUGCAGAAAUUGUUCUUUUUGUUUUUGUAAUGAGUUAUUUCUGCAUACGUGUCAAAGUAUAAUCUACAGGACCAAGGGAUGACUUCUUCCGGGGAAAGAGCCAAGAAGUGUCCAAAAAAGAGAAUACAAAUUUGACACGAACUGUUUCAACUCUCAUUUAUGCAUAAAGUUGUGGUUAAUAAGCUUAAUCGCUAAAAGCUGGCAAGAAUGUCGAAAACAGUUCAAGGCCUUGCCUUAACUGGACUUCAAGAACUACACUUGAACUCCAGAUGAAGACCUACACCAAAAGAUCUUCUUUCGCUGAACGAAACGAUAUACAAAACACAGAACUAUCAAUCCAACAUCAAAUGAUCUUUAAUUCUUUGCUUCAUUACAAAUGACAAAUUCCAAAUGAUGUAAUCAGAGUCUAAACACUUUAUAGCAUAUCUCAUACAUGAAAGUUAAUGCUCUAAAACUCAAUUCUCUCUCUUUCCUAAACCAUGAAAAGAACAUCCAAAAAGUUUACCAAUUUUUUCAAAAAGCAUACUCUCUGCAAAUGCAAUUUCAUGGAAAAAUCCUACUAAUCACUUUCAUUAGGGUCCAACAAGUCACCCAAACCCCAAUUUCUUUUCUUCAACCUCUCCUCAACGCUCUCCAAACGCCGAAGCAUAGUCUCCGCCAGAAAAUCCUUGCCCCUGCAGUUGUGGAAAAACGAGUGCUUCAGCAGCGUCUCUGCUGCCGGCCUCUUCGUAGGGUCCUGAUCAAGGCAAGAACCCAUCAAGUCCAGAAAAGCCACAGAGUACUUCUUGGUCUUGAAAUCUUUGAUGAUGUUUUCGCAAUCUGAAAACUGGUACCUCUUCUUGACCUUCAGAAUCUCAGACUCCAAAAACAGCGACAGACGAGACAUAGGAGAGCCACCGUCAGCCAAAUCGAUCGCCGUCCUCCCAAAUGCCAAGAUAUCCGCCUUGCAUCCACCUCCAUUGGGCGCCACCCUAUAAGGCGUUGCCGAAGUGUAGUUUGUCCCAGUUGAAUGAUCGGCGCCGUAGAAAGAAGCAGAGACCCCGAAAUCGGCGAGCUUAACGGACCCAUCAGAGUCGACCAAGAUGUUUUCGGGCUUGAUGUCGCCGUGGACGUGUCCCUGGCCAUGGAGAUACGACAUGGCGUUUAGCGUCUCUUUCAGGACGACAGCAAUGCAGGGCUCUGGUAAUCCUUCCGGGAAAGCAGAGGAGGAGAUUAUGGACUGCAGAGAGCCGAAGGCCAUGAACGGCAUGACCACCCAGAGACGGCGGUCAGCGGUGGUGAAGGCGCAAUGGUAGCUGAGAAUGUUGGGGUGGGAAAGAGAAAAAGUCUUGGUGCCGCGUAGCUUGCCCUCGAAAUCGGCCGUGGAUUGAUUGAGGUCGACGGACUUGAUUGCGACGAUUGCAGAGUUCCUGGAAACGCAGAUGGCCUUGUAGACGACGGCCUUGCCGCCGAAGCCAAUUUUUUCGAGGUUUUUGUACGCGGCGGAGUCUAUCGGGAAUUGAACCUUUUGUGGGUUAUCAUGGUGGGAGGAGGAAGACGAAGAAGUCGCCAUUGGAGACGACAAAGAUGAAAUCUUGAAGAAUGGAGAAGAUGAAUGUAGGGAUUCUGCAGUACUAAUUCUAGUGAAAGGUUGAUGCUUUGGGAGGAAGACGACGAUGCAUGAGAAUGUGCGAGUGUGUACUGCUCUGCUUGUAUUUACUUAUAGAAUAAGAAAUGGUAAGAAGAUGAGGGUUUUUUGGGGAUUUUCUAUUCCGAAUGGGGGAUAAAAUUAUAGAUAAGUUUUAAUUUUUUGCCCCUUGAUUUGGUUAAUUAGCAGAAUCAUCAACAUUCUGUUGUGAGGCGGUUUUGGUAAGCAGGAUUGGGUGAGGUUGGUUAAGAUAAAAUACAGUAAGUUCGUUUUCUGUUAUUUGCCAUCUCAGCAAUGUCUUGGGACGCAAGGCAUUGUUACUCCUGUUGUGAGUACCUCGUAUAAAUAUUUCGAAAGGACUAUAAGCACACGAACAAAAUACGUAUUUGAGACCCGUAAGUUCAUGAACAAGACUGAUCCACUAACCUAUUAAAAUCAUUCUUCAAGAUGUCAUUAAAAGUCAAGUAAGCCUUAAAAAAAAAAAAACAGGUGAUUUUUUUUUUUUUUUGCUAAUGUAACCAAAUUGUGUAAAAAAAUAUGACGUGAUCGUUGAUAAUUGAACUAAAUAAACCAAAACGCUAGAACUUCCUCUGGACCAAAGAUGACAUUUUAUUCCACAAGCUCACUUAUGAGCAGAUUGGCAUGAGAGAAUAUACAAACUCUGUGCAACAAGAUUCUUAAGCUGGCCCAACCAUUCCAUCAACUUUCCAGGUAAUUGAUUGUUCCCCAAAUGAAGAAGAGAAGGUGUAUAAAUUAAACAAAGAACUGUAAGGACUCAAGCAAGCCCCCCGAGUUUGGUACAGUGAGAUUGACUCUUACUUCAGCAAUAGUGGAUUCAACAAAAGUCCUAGUGAAGCUGCACUCUACACAAAGUUUCCGUCCUUUCAAGGGUAAUUUUCUUAGAUGGGCCCAAUCUCAAAGUUUCCGUCAUAUCGAGCUAAAAAUAUAGGUAACGGGUUAAGAUGUGUGGUUUUCCAUGAGAACGAUGAUCAGUUGGGAAGAUGCAUCAACUGGUAAUCAUACUACAGCGUAUCAAAAGAGUAAACUAGAGGUGUAUUUGCCUGGUUUGGACCUAGUGUUCUUAAGCUCUGAGAAAAAUGAAUUUGAUUGAAAAUUCACAAUUUUUGUGAGUUGAAGGUCCUGAACUACAUCUAGCUUAUAUAGUCAAAGAAAUCUGCUGUGUCCUUCCUUAUAGGGAGUGACUAAGGGCAAUUUGAACAUUUAGCUAGGACCAGCUCUGUGCCAUCGCCGGAAGUUCAUACGAAUUGACUGUGCGUUCGUACGAAGGCAUGUCGCAUAGGCACUUGUGCCUGACGUCUGCAGCCGCAGACACAUUGAAGAACGACGAUAUUGGGGAAAGAAAUCUUAAUUUCAAGAUAUAUCAAGAGUGCCCUAAUUAGGAUUUCUUUGAAGAGUAAAGACAAUUUCAACUUGAACUAUUUCAUUUAGAGAUAUUGGGCAACAUUAUUAAUUACACAUGAGCCACAUAUCAAAGAUCUUAAGCAACUCCUGAGCAUUUUCGUAGACAAUUCUGAGGCUCUCUGCAGAUUACAUUUAAAUUAUUUAACAGGAAAAAUCUAUUGGCCCUCUUUGGAAUAUUUAAGCAUAAAACAAACUUCAUUUCCCACUUAUUCGCCUCGUGCACUAAAUUAACAAAUUGCUGCAGGUUGCAGAAUUCAAAACUUGAGGAAGCCCUUCUCCUUGAGGCUUUCAACAGUGUCCUUGAGACUCGUUUCCAGAGGAAGGAAAGUGAUUCCCAAACCUUUUGCUUUCUCCCUGGACACUUGAAACUUUGUGUCAGAAGGAUUGCCAAGCUCAGGAAGGCUCAAUGUGGGGUAAAGCUCUCGUAAAAUCUUUAGAGUAUCGGUACGGUCAGCAACGUGGGCAACUAAACAAUAUCUGCCGCUCGCUGAAGGAACUUCAAAUGCUUGAAUAUGAGCAGAGGCAACAUCUCUAACGUCCACAAAUGUGUAGUUUACAAACGGUAUUUCAAUCCCUGAGCACAAAAGAGAAACUUAACAGAAUCAACUGCUUGCAUCACAAGGAAUAGUGUUUUAACAAAAGGGGCUGAAUUGUACCACUAAUUAUAUUCAGAAGAAACUCGAUGGAGACAUUAAGAGUUGGCUGUAAGGGUGGACCAAUCACAAACCCUGGAUGUAUCGAUACCAAUUCAAUCCCAUUUCCUUUGGCAAAUUUCCAGGCGGCCUCCUCAGCUAAAAUUUUUGAGAGAGGAUACCAUUGCUGAACAGAUGAAGAAGGAAGUUCUUAUGAGUUUGUAGUUCUUCAUCAUGUACUGCUUUGUCUUGUGUGAAGCUUACAUCUAUGUCCAAAAUUAUUCAAUAGUAUGGGAACGCACGUACCUUUGUCUUCUCACAAAAAAGUGGAUCCGAAUAGCAUGUUUCGUCGAAAACCACAUCAGAGGUCAGAGGUUUUCCACUCAUCCUUACUGAAGCCACAGAAGAUGUUAAAACCACUCUCUUGACAGCGGGGAAUUUCGCACAUGAUUUUAGAACAUUAAGUGUUCCUUUCACUGCAGGCUCAAUUAUUUCUGCCUGAAAUAUAAAGAAAAGAAAUAUAUCAUUCUGGGUUCUACAUCAUUUGUCUUGAAAGUAGGUUAAUUUUCUAUGCAUUCGUGAACGCGCACACACGCUAGAAUAUUUGAUGCAUGGAUGAAGUGAUGGGACAGACCUGUGGGUCAGUGGCUGAAAUUUGUG